UUUUUUUUUCUUUUGUUCUUGUGUUUUUUGAGGUUUUUACUCAGUCUUUCCUAAUUACCCGAAAAAUGCUAGAUUUUUGGAUCCGGUUUUUCUUAUCCUCCUAAAUGAAUUGCAAGAAGCUUCUUCCCUCGCGAUGAGGUUCCUCAAGAAAAGAAAAGAUAUGAACCAGCUUGUACGCAGCUUUGAACUCUCACUUCAGAGUUCAGGCAGAAACAAUAACCGACUUAGCAAAGCGACUAUUUUUCAUAAGCCAUCAAAGAUAGUGGGAACCAUGAAGCUACAAGAGACUCUGUACUCCUUACAGAAUCUACCAAAAGAGACAUCAUUUUAUACUCCUAUAUCUAAUGUGCGUACUAUCAUAAGUUCAUAAUAAUAACAUCUCUAAUACUUGGUCAGGGGGGGUUCAAAAUUUGCGUGCGGAUCAGGACUGCACGCAUGGGACCAAAUUGAGAUGAGCUAGCUAGCUAGGAAAGACCCACGUCGCCGUCGGCCUUCUCUCUCAUGUUGCAAGCUUCUCUUCUACAGCAGCCGGUUGUGCCUCGGCGUGUGGCGCCUCGGAUGGCCGUAGUCCUUGGUCAUGAACCACCUCAUCCUCUUUCUCUCCUCGGCCCACUCCUUGGCGUGCUGCCUCCUGCCGUCGUCAUGGCUCGCAGUCGCAGCACCUUCUCCUUGCACGGAAGGGAAAAAAACUUCUGUUUCUUCAGUAACAGACAGUGAAUGAAUGUUCAUGCAGCAAAGAUACUAGGAACUACUCAAGGUAACAGCAAUGGCUACUGCUCUACGAACUUACCAACGAGCACUUGCUGGUGAAGCAAAGACCUGAAGCUUAACAGGAAGAUCAGAGCAACCAGGCUCACAAGGCCAAGGAACCUCAUCGCUGCGUUUUUCCUCGCUCUGUGCUCUGCUCUCAGUCACAGCCUCACCAUGAGUGGAGCAGGUAGGUGGUGUGUAUAAAUAGGCCAGGCCUCUCAUGUCAGAGCAUUUCAACAACGCGCAGAGUUGACAGUCAAACUGUAGGAAAUUUUGGAGGAAUUCACAGAUUCAGGGUACAGUUGCUCUGUCCCGUCAAAAAGAAAAAAGGACGUCUUUGCCCUUUGGCCUAAUUAACUAGUCUUCCGAGAACUGCAUGUCCUAGCUACGAGAAGAAUCUCUUGUUCCUGGAGCUAGCUCAUCGGUUAAUUAACCAAACUCCAAGUCUUUCUUCCUUGCGGUUGCCGCACUCUCCUUCUGGGUCCAAGUGCAGCUGCAGGAUUAGUUUAAGGCUCGACAGCGUGUGCUCAAUUUCGCGCAACCAAGCAGAACCACGUGGCAUUUAACUUGAUGUCUUGCAGACACGCACUCGGAAGCAAGUUUCUGCUCCAGCGAGGAUCACUCUGACUUUUGUUCCUUUUUCGAUCGGCAAAAUGGUAUUCGAAAGCAUCGUUUCCCCUUGAAUUAACUAUGUGUUCUAUCGGCUGGUCGUAAAUGAAAAGUAUCAUAUACUAGUAUCAUGCAUAUCAUAUUAGUGUAUGAUACUACAUCCGUAGUGCAUAGUAUCAUAUAUUAUUAUUAUAGAUGACUUCAUUUAUUAGCAUGCAUGACACAUACUCCCUCCGUUCCUAAAUAAUUGUUUUUAGAGAUUUCAACAAGUGACUACAUACGGAGCAAAAUGAGUGAAUCUACACUUUAAAACAUGUCUACAUACAUCCGUAUGUUGUAGUCCAUUUGAGAUGGCUAGAACGACAAUUAUUUAGGAACGGAGGGAGUAGUAGCAAAACAUUUAAUAUGAUAUGGUAUCAUGAUAUGAUACUCAACUUUCUCUUUCUUCAUUUAAUUUUAUGCCACCUCAUCAAAUUUACCUAGUUGGCAUGCAUGAUACUACCUAUGAUACUCUCAUUACAACUAGCCUACUAGCUGCUUCCAAUGACUAUGUAGUUGCCCAGUGCUUCUGGCUCGAGACUCGAGACCAAGCGCACUUGCUGGUAACACAUGUGAUUUAAAAACGAUGUGAAUAUACAUAGAUGUACUCAAAUCUUUUUUAGAAAAGGAAGAUAACCCCGGAUGUACUCAUGUACAUUGCAUCCAUAGAAAUGAAGUAGGACCUACAAAAUUACAUUAUUUUUAUCCUAAUACUUAAAUGUACUAUUUUUUCCCAAGGGUUAACUGUACUACCUUGACAGCUAGUGGAAUACCCGUGUGUUAUUACAAGCUGUAAUGCAUAUCUAUAAAUACGGUAUGCUUCCUAAUUUUAAGGCCUCAUAAUCAAUUGAGGUCUCAAAUUUGAGAUUGGGUAUCUGAUUUUGACCGGGUCAAGAAUACUCACUAUGCUUCUACAAAUACACCAUGCUCACUAAUCCUAUGCUCCUUAAGUUUUAAUGCCUCAUCAUCAAUUGAAGUCUUCAAUUUAGAAUUGGAUCAUCCGAUUUGACCCGAUCAACAAUUUUUUUAGAAGCUCUUUCAUUUAAUGUUUUGAAGUCACCAUGCUCUUUAAAUUUGGAGUUUCCAUUCGAUUGAGGUAUUCAGAACUUGGUCGAUAAUUUUGACCGAGUCAACAACUUUUCCAAAUCAAUCGGCGGCAAUCGGCAUAUACAAACAUAUCAAACCUGUGCACCCUCUCAUCAAAAGAAAGAAAGAAAAGAAGCGUCAACAUGUGAUAUUACAACACAAAUAUAGUAUAUGCAGACACAGGCGUAGAAAAUCUUCCAACACAAGUAUGGGUUGAUUAGCAGAUAACAUAUAAUUAUCCCUCAAAAGGCCCACUAAAACACCGCAUUAUAAAUAAAAGAAAAACACACUCCAUGAUCUUCCCAACUCACCAACAAAAAACUCCUUCUGUUCCAAAUAUAAGGUGUGUUUGUUCUUUUUUAAGUCAAAUUUCUUUAAUUUGGACCGACUUCAGAGCCAAACAUAUUGGCAUCCACGAUACUAAAUGAAUAAAAUAUGAAAAAUAAUCUUAUGAUGAAUCUAAUGAUCGAGUGGAAGCCGCUGCCAAUGUCCAUGUGAGCCAAGUCGUUAACGCAGUAGUACAGACGCUCUACAGCCCCGGCAUGGUUGCUGCCUUAAAGCUGACUGCCAUGGGCAUCAUGGAGCGAGGCGUCGAGCUUUGCGAUGCAUCGCUGCCUAGGCACAAAUGUCCUGGACAUCGUGUGUGGAACAUGAGUCGACUCUGCUUCGCCCACAAGCUUCUCUCCAAGCCGCGCAUCUUCAUCCUGCUUGGCAUCCUCCUCCGCUGCCGCUUCAUCGGCCUCCCGUGUCGGCCCUCGCUGGCCACCUUUGUGCACCUCUAUUCGGCCCUCCGCCGCCUUUUCUAGGCCCGAUCUCCCGCCGCCCUCUCGUCCUCGCUCUCCACCCUAGCCCUUACGCUCUGCAGCCCUGCGUGGGACAGGGAAAAGCUUGUGCAUUGCCCCGGAAAAAAAGUAGUGAUUAAAAGUUUGUUUUAAUUUAGAUAAUGUGUGUCGUGUAUGACUACAUGUUGUGUUUCCGUACAUAUAUAAUGACAAACUGACUUUCUGUCCUUCUCCUCAUUCUAGGAAAUUAUUUGUCUCGUUAAGUACCAUCUCUUUACAAGAAAACAAAGUGAUAUCAUUAUUCCACGAAAAUCUAAUUCGGUGCCCGGGUCCAGAUGAACCCAGUUAACAGUAACUCCAUGAAAAAUAGAAAAAAAUCAAAAAAAAUCGAAGUUUUUUUGCUUGUAAGAUGUUCGAGUGCAGGAUGUGCGUGCAAACAUAACUUCCAUUUGAACAUCUGUGGAGCUCGUGGCAAAAAUGAGAAAACCGGCCAAAACAGUGCAUGAACAGUAACCUUACUCACAUAGCCGAAUUUUGUUUUUUUGUCCCGUGCUCCUCUAGUGUCAAAACUCCACCAAAUUCUGCACGAACAUCACGCACAUAAGUACCUUGCUUGCAAAAAAAAAAAACAGAACCUUUUUAUUUCUUUUCUAUUUUUUUGUGUUUUUUCGAUUUUGCACACUCUUCUUCCUCUACACCUUUAUUCUAGUCACCAUCUCUCGGACCUCUUUCAAAAUCUUACGUCUCUACAAAUUAUGUUUUUUUUAUUCUAGCCAACUCUCAGCCCUUGAUUCAAAACCUUAUACCUCUACAAAUUAUGUUUUUUAAUCAUUAUGAAAAGUUAUUUUGAUGUCCCUUUUUUGACGAUGAGUCAAUUGAAUAUUUGGGGCCAGUAAUUAGGUCCCCAGUCGGCGAGCUCAUGGCCGCCGCCUGCACCCCAUCUUACUCAAGGACAUCACAUCAUUGAUUGAAACCGGAUUUUGCUUCUCUGAAUGAAUGAUUCUCUUGUAACAUCUACUCUUGCAUAACCACAAAAGGUAUUCUUGAAACUUGAGACAACUGAGUGACCGAUGCAUGAUUGAACAUUCAGAUCCUUGUUCUUCAAGGCAUAUGUAAAAUCCUGGUCACAACCAUACAUAUGUUACAUUAGUUCGCUGUCCUAUCCACGAUGACAUGACAGUAGUUUAGAAACUCUCCUAGUACUCCAAAUACCGGCAAUUAAAGCUCUAAAUUUACAGCAUCUGCAGCAGGCAAUCAAAUUUAUGCACCAAGUACAUUUAGUAGAAGCAACCGACUAUCAAGAGUUCUUAUGCUCACACAAGUGACAAGUGUGACUAAGUUUGUAAGAAGGUUUGGAUUCAGAACCUAAAAAGGGUACCGUUCUAUCACUACUUCAGUUGCUCUCUGAUCUCAGUAGUAAACAUGAAGAUCAUCUCUGUUCGUGUCUGCCUCAAGGACAGGGUGCGCUUAGAUCCGAUAACGCCAAGGAACAAACAAUGCGACGGGAUCAGGUCAAGGACAGUGGCAAUGAAUGACCUAUAAAGUAACAGAAGUAGCAAAGCAUGUCAAGAUAAUUCAAGCUAUCCUUGAACAUAAGCAUAAACAAGAACAUGUAUACUGAAAUGGAGGGAGUAUGUUACAUCUGUGCACUUCAGAAAUGGUCAAAACUUAAUUAAUUAGGUAUGAUGUAACAUUACCUUUCAGCCAUACGGCUGAAAAAUGGUUUUCACAUCUUCAAACACCUCAGGGAUUGGUUUUGCAACAUUGAUCUAGUUAAACAGUGGAUUGGUGUAACACCCCAGAUGUAACUUUCCAUAUUUGUAACUCCGACUCUUGCCAUUUUCUGCUAUGUGAUAUGAUAUUUCUUUCGUGGUUGGGUUUUGCAUCUCGUUUUGCAUUUUGUUCAUGUCAUACAUUCCAUCUCAUGUCAUUAUGUGCAUCUCAUUUGCAUUCGCGUUCGUCUCAUGCAUCCGGUCAUUUUCCCCGUUGUCCGUUUCGCAAUCCGACGCUCUCUCGUGCACCCCUCUAAUCUUGUUUCGUGAGCAGGAGAACAAUGUUCUCGAAAUGGGUCGAGAUUUGUCGAGUGGCUUUGGUACACCACCGGUAGGCCGCCUGUCAAAUUUCGUUCCAUUUGAAGGUCGUUUGAAGCCCCAACGGUUAACCGGGUAACCGUAAAAGCCUCUAUCUUGUUGCAGCCCAACACCCCUCCAAAACAGCCCACUAGCCCAUCUAAACCUCCUCCAUGCUCUUUAUCGUUGGAUUACGAUCGUGUGGGCGAAAACCGCACCUCAUUUGGACUCUCCUAGCUCGCUCUACCUAUAUAUAUAUGCAUCUCCCCCAAAAUCUCGGGUCCAAAUCCUAGCAAAUCGCCCACUCCGCCGCUGGACACGUCCGGAUCCCACCGGACGAGUCGCCGCCGCCGCCCACAGCCAGCGGCGUGCUGCCACAUGGCACUCGCGCGCCCACCACCGCCGAAGCCCGCCGGGCCCGCGGGAGGCCCUCCGGCCCAAGCCGCCCCGCGUCGCCCCCGCNNNNNNNNNNNNNNNNNNNNNNNNNNNNNNNNNNNNNNNNNNNNNNNNNNNNNNNNNNNNNNNNNNNNNNNNNNNNNNNNNNNNNNNNNNNNNNNNNNNNNNNNNNNNNNNNNNNNNNNNNNNNNNNNNNNNNNNNNNNNNNNNNNNNNNNNNNNNNNNNNNNNNNNNNNNNNNNNNNNNNNNNNNNNNNNNNNNNNNNNNNNNNNNNNNNNNNNNNNNNNNNNNNNNNNNNNNNNNNNNNNNNNNNNNNNNNNNNNNNNNNNNNNNNNNNNNNNNNNNNNNNNNNNNNNNNNNNNNNNNNNNNNNNNNNNNNNNNNNNNNNNNNNNNNNNNNNNNNNNNNNNNNNNNNNNNNNNNNNNNNNNNNNNNCGCUGCCGCCACCGCCCCGUGCCCGCAGCUCGCCGGAAGCCGUCGCCGUCCCGACCGGACACCUCGCUGAUGCCUUCUCCGACGAGCUUCCCCGCCGCCGACCACCGUCUCCUUCCACUCCAGCCACUUCUCCGGUGAAGAUCCCGGCGAACCUCGUCAUCCGCGCAAACCCUAGAUCUGGAUCUCGGAUGGUAUAUUUCUCUAAGUCCCGGAGAUCCCUAACAUUUUAUGCCUCCUUCAUCAUGUCGUAUCUCCAUGAACGUAGCUCCGAAUCAUGCAUAUGAUAUAUCGAAAUGUUCGUCUCAUGAUUCUCUUCAUGUUAGAGUCAUUUGCAUGCAUGUUACUGUCCAUAUUGAUGCCAUUAUCAUCAUUGCAAAAGUGCUAUAAAAUGUUGUCUGCUGGAUCUUAGCAGAACUUGAUGAUUUGUCAUUUUCGUUGCAUUUUGUGUGUGCAUCCUAUGAGCAUGAUGUCUAAAUGUUUCAUGAUCUCCAUAAUGCCAUCUUUAAAGGGGUGCAAGUCUUGUAUUUUUGUGAUCUAUGUGGUUACUAGCACAGGCAUGCAAAAUAGGCUUCAUAAUGUUGCUGAUUUCAGACACUUAGUGAUUUUGCUAAGUCCUUUUCUUGCUACAUUUUGAUGCCAUGUAAACUUGUUGCUACCAUGAGAUCCAUGAAUAUUUUGAGAUAGUUCGGUAAGCAUGUUUUCUAGAUGUGGUAUUGAUAUAUCCAUUCAUGCUUCUGGUUGAAAUUAUGGAGUACUCUAGCAUGUCAUUGCCUUGCUCUACUUUUGCUAAAUAUUAUUUCUGACAGAUUGUUAAUAUGAUAAUCCAUAUUUCCAUGUGUUUUGCUAGUGAUGCAUGUACCCAAUGAACUUGCUCUUGCCAUGUUUAGUUACUUAAAUAUGUCUACUUAAUGUUGGUUACCUUUCUAUACCAUGAAAUGCUUUGUAGUGAGUGGCAUGAGCUUGCAAAGUGGCUAUCAUGAAUCUUUUUCUACCAUGUCUUGUUUUUCUUUUAAGUCUGAAACUGUUAAUAUAACUUGCCAUGUUUGCAUGGGUGCCACAUCAUUUUCCAUGCCUCUUUGGUUAAAGUUUAGUAAGGGAGUUUUGUUCUAUGUGUUUAGCACUAGCAUGCCAUGCCUUUGUUUGCCAUGAUAUGUUCCUGUAGAAUGUUGUUUGCUAGCUCUAAACAUUGCUAUAUGCUGCUGUUUUGUCAUGCUUAGUAUUUUCUCUAAGUCUGUGAAGCUGAUAUCUUUUGCAUUUUUGCCAUGCUAUUUUGAGCUUGUUCUAGUGGGAACUAGUAGGAGCUCAGUGUUCAUGAUUUGUAGAUCUUCAUGUGUAUUUUAUGCUCAUAUGCUUUGUUUCUAUGUUGGAGUGUUGUAGCAUAGUUUCUUGUUGCAUUCUAAGUGCUAUCAAGCUAUUAAUCGUAGAUUUGCAUCAUUCUUGUUUUGCUUGUCAUUUGCAAACCGUGCAUCCGUUUGAAGGAAAUAUGCCCUAGAGGCAAUAAUAAAGUUGUUAUUUAUAUUUCCUUAUAUCAUGAUAAAUGUUCAUUAUUCAUGCAAGAAUUGUACUAACCAGAAACUUAGUACAUGUGUGAAUACAUAAACAAACAGAGUGUAACUAGUAUGCCUCUACUUGACUAGCUUGUUAAUCAAAGAUGGUUAAGUUUCCUAGCCAUGGACAAAAAGUUGUCAUUUGAUAAACGGGAUCACAUCAUUAGAGAAUGAUGUGAUUGACUUGACCCAUCCGUUAGCUUAGCACGAUGAUCGUUUAGUUUACUACUAUUGCUUUCUUCAUAACUUAUACAUGUCCCUAUGACUAUGAGAUUAUACAACUCAUGAAUACUGGAGGAACACUUACUGUGCUAUCAAACAUCACAACAUAACUGGGUGACUAUAAAGAUGCUCUACAUGUGUCUCCGAUGGUGUUUGUUGAGUUGGCAUAGAUCGAGAUUAGGAUUUAUCACUCUGUGUAUCAGAGAGGUAUCUUUAGGGCCCCUCUCGGUAAUGCACAUCACUAUAAGCCUUGCAAGCAAUGUGACUAAUUGGUUAGUUACGGGAUGUUGCAUUACAGAACGAGUAAAGAGACUUGCCGGUAACGAGAUUGAACUAGGUAUUGAGAUACCGACGAUCGAAUCUCGGGCAAGUAACAUACCGAUGACAAAGGGAACAACGUAUGUUGUUAUGUGGUUUGACCGAUAAAGAUCUUCAUAGAAUAUGUAGGAACCAAUAUGAGCAUCCAGGUUCCGCUAUUGGUUAUUGACCAGAGAUGAGUCUCGGUCAUGUCUACCUAGUUCUCGAACCCAUAGGGUCAGCACGCUUAACGUUCGGUGACGAUCGGUAUUAUGAGUUUAGGUGUUUUGAUGUACCGAAGGUUGUUCGGAGUCCCAGAUGUGACCACGGGCAUGGCGAGGAGUCUCGAAAUGGUCGAGAUAUACAGAUCGAUAUAUUGGAAGCCUAUGUUUGAACAUCGUAAUGGUUCCGGGUGAGUUUGGGAAUAUAUCGGAGUACCGGGAGGUUACCGGAACCCCCCGGGAAGUAUAUGUGCCUUAUUGGGCCAUAGUGGGAGAGAGGAGAAGGGAGCCUAGGAGGGGGCGCCCCCCAAGCCCAAUCCGAAUUGGGUGGGGGCCCGGCCCCCCUUUCCUUUCCCCCUCUCUCCCCUUCCUUCCUCUCCUAAUCCAACUAGGGAAGGGGGGAUCCUACUCCCGGUGGGAGUAGGACUCCCUUGGGUGCGCCAUAGAGGGUCGGCCCCUCCCCUCCUCCACUCCUUUAUAUACGGGGGAGGGGGCACCCCAUAGACACACAAGUUGACAAUUGUCUUAGCCAUGUGCGAUGCCCCCUCCACCAUAAUCCACCUCGGUCAUAUCGUUGAAGUGCUUAGGCAAAGCCCUGUUCUGAUAGCUUCAUCAUCACCGUCAUUAGGCCGUCAUGCUGACGAAACUCUCCCUCGACAUUCAACUGGAUCUAGAGUUCGCGGGACGUCUCCGAGCCGAACAUCUGCAGAUCGCGGAGGUGUCGUACCUUCGAUGCUAGGGUCGGUCGGAUCGUGAAGACAUUCGACUACAUCAACUGCGUUGUCAUAACGCUUCCGCUUACAGUCUACGAGAGUACAUGGACAACUCUUCCCUUCUCGUUGAUAUGCAUCACCAUGAUAGAUCUGCGUGUGCGUAGGAUUUUUUUUGAAAUUACCGCGUUACCCAACAGUGGCAUCCGAGCCAGGUCUAUGCGUAGAUGUUAUAUGCACGAGUAGAACACAAAGGAGUUGUGGGCGUGGGUAUAUACAUAUUGCUUGCCGUCACUAGUUGAUUCUUGAUUCAUCGGUAUUGUUGGAUGAAGCGGCUCAGACCGCCAUUACGUGUACGCUUACGCGAGACUGGUUCUACCGACGUGCUUCGCACACAGGUGGCUGGUGGGUGUCAUUUUCUCCAACUUUAGUUGAACUGGAUUCAAUGAACGUGGUUCUUUCUGAAGAUCAAAAAGCAAUCACUAUACCACAUUGUGGUUUUUGAUGCGUAGGUAAGAACAAUUCUUGCUCAGCCCGUAGCAGCCACGUAAAACUUGCAACAAUAAAGUAGAGGACGUCUAAUUUGUUUUUGUAGGGCAUGUUGUGAUGUGAUAUGGUCAAGACAUGAUGCUAAAUUUUAUUGUAUGAGAUGAUCAUGUUUUGUAACAAAGUUAACGGCAACUGGCAGGAGCCAUAUGGUUGUUGCUUUAUUGUAUGAAAUGCAAUCACCAUGUAAUUGCUUUACUUUAUCACUAAGCGGCAGCGAUAGUCGUAGAAGCAAUAGUUGGUGAGACGACAACGAUGCUCCGAUGGAGAUCAAGGUGUCAAGCCGGUGAUGAUGGUGAUCAUGACGGUGCUUUGGAGAUGGAGAUCAAAGGCACAAGAUGAUGAUGGCCAUAUCAUAUCACUUAUAUUGAUUGCAUGUGAUGUUUAUCCUUUAUGCAUCUUAUUUUGCUUAGUCCGGCAGUAACAUUAUAAGAUGAUCUCUCACUAAAUUUCAAGGUAUAAGUGUUCUCCCUGAGUAUGCACCGUUGCUAUAGUUCGUCGCACUGAGACACCAUGUGAUGAUCGGGUGUGAUAAGCUCUACGUUCACAUACAACGGGUGCAAGCCAGUUUUGCACACGUGGAGUACUCGGGUUAAACUUGAGAAGCCUAGCAUAUGCAGAUAUGGCCUCAGAACACUGAGACCGAAAGGUUGAGCGUGAAUCAUAUAGUAGAUAUGAUCAACAUAGUGAUGUUCACCAUUGAAAACUACUCCAUCUCACGUGAUGAUCAAACAUGGUUUAGUUGAUAUGGAUCACGUGAUCACUUAGAUGAUUAGAGAGAUGUCUAUCUAAGUGGGAGUUCUUAAGUAAUUUGAUUAAUUGAACUUUAAUUUAUCAUGAACUUAGUACCUGAUAGUAUUUUGCAUGUCUAUGUUGUUGUAGAUAGAUGGCCCGUGCUGUUGUCCCGUUGAAUUUUAAUGCGUUCCUAGAGAAAGCUAAGUUGAAAGAUGAUGGUAGAAAUUACACGGACUGAGUCCGUAACUUGAGAAUUAUCCUCAUUGCUGCAUAGAAGAAUUACGUCCUGGAAGCACCGCUAGGUGACAAACCCGCUGCAGGAGCAACGCCAGAUGUUGUGAACACCUGGCAGAGCAAAGCUGAUGACUACUCGAUAGUUCAGUGUGCCAUGCUUUAUGGCUUAAAACCGAGACUUCAACAAUGUUUUGAACGUCAUGGAGCAUAUGAGAUGUUCCAGGAGUUGAAGUUGAUAUUUCAAGCAAAUGCCCGGAUUGAGAGAUAUGAAGUCUCCAAUAAGUUCUACAACUGCAAAAUGGAGGAGAAUAGUUCUGUCAGUGAACAUAUACUCAGAAUGUCUGGGUACCACAACCACUUGACUCAACUAGGAGUUAAUCUUCCUGAUGAUAGUGUCAUUGACAGAGUUCUUCAAUCACUGCCACCAAGCUACAAGAGCUUCGUGAUGAUCUAUAAUAUGCAAGGGAUGGAUAAGACGAUUCCCGAGCUCUUCGCAAUGCUAAAGGCUGCGAAGGUAGAAAUCAAGAAGGAACAUCAAGUGUUGAUGGUCAACAAGACCACCAGUUUCAAGAAAAAGGGUAAAGGGAAGAAGGGGAACUUCAAGAAGAACAACAAGCCAGUUGCUACUCAAGUGAAGAAACCCAAGUCUGGACCUAAGCCUGAGACUGAGUGCUUCUGCUGCAAAGGAACUGGUCACUGGAAGCGGAACUGCCCCAAGUAUUUGGCGGAGAAGAAGGAUGGCAAAGUGAAAGGUAUAUUUGAUAUACAUGUUAUUGAUGUGUACCUUACUAAUGCUCGCAGUAGUGCCUGGGUAUUUGAUACUGGUUCAGUUGCUAAUAUUUGCAACUCGAAACAGGGGCUACGGAUUAAGCGAAGAUUGGCUAAGGACGAGGUGACGAUGCGUGUUGGAAAUGGUUCCAAAGUCGAUGUGAUCGUGGUCAACACGCUACCUCUACAUCUACCUUCGGGAUUCGUUUUAGACCUAAAUAAUUGUUAUUUGGUGCCAGUGUUGAGCAUGAACAUUAUAUCUGGAUCUUGUUUGAUGCGAGAUGGUUAUUCAUUUAAAUCAGAGAAUAAUGAUUGUUCUAUAUACAUGAAUAAUAUCUUUUAUGGUCAUGCACCCUUGAUGAGUAGUCUGUUUUUACUAAAUCUUGAUAGUAGUGAUACACAUAUUCAUAGUAUUGAAGCCAAAAGAUAUAAGUUUAAUAAUGAUAGUGCAACUUAUUUGUGGCACUGCCGUUUAGGUCAUAUUGGUGUAAAGCACAUGAAGAAACUCCAUGCUGAUGGGCUUUUGGAAUCACUUGAUGCUUGCGAACCAUGCCUCAUGGGCAAUAUGACUAAGACUCCGUUCUCCGGAACAAUGGAGCGAGCAACAGACUUGUUGGAAAUAAUACAUACUGAUGUAUGCGGUCCAAUGAGUGUUGAUGCUCGCGGUGGGUAUCGUUAUUUUCUUACCUUCACAGAUGAUUUGAGCAGAUAUGGGUAUAUCUACUUGAUGAAACAUAAGUCUGAAUCAUUUGAAAAGUUCAAAGAAUUUCAGAGUGAAGUGGAAAAUCAUUAUAACAAGGAAAUAAAGUUUCCACGAUCUGAUCAUGGAGGAGAAUAUUUGAGUUACGAGUUUGGUCUUCAUUUGAAACAACGCGGAAUAGUUUCGCAACUCACGCCACCUGGAACACCACAGCGUAAUGGUGUGUCCGAAUGUCGUAAUUGUACUUUACUAGAUAUGGUGUGAUCUAUGAUGUCUCUCACUGAUUUACCGCUGUCAUUUUGGGGUUAUGCUUUAGAGACAGCUGCAUUCACGUUAAAUAGGGAACCAUCAAAAUCCUUUGAGACGACACCUUAUGAACUGUGGUUUGGCAAGAAACCCAAGUUGUCAUUUCUUAAAGCUUGGGGAUGCGAUGCUUAUGUGAAAAAGCUUCAACCUGAUAAGCUCGAACCCAAAUCGGAGAAAUGUGUCUUCAUAGGAUACCCAAAGGAAACUGUUGGGUACACCUUCUAUCACAGAUCCGAAGGCAAGAUAUUCGUUGCUAAGAAUGGAUCCUUUCUAGAGAAGGAGUUUCUCUCGAAAGAAGUGAGUGGGAGGAAAGUAGAACUUGAUGAGGUAACAGUACCUGCUCCCUUAUUGGAAAGUAAUUCAUCACUGAAAUCAGUUCUAGUGAUUCCUACACCAGUAAGUGAGGAAGCUAAUGAUGAUGAUCAUGAAACUUCUGAUCAAGUUACUACCGAACCUCGUAGGUCAACCAGAGUAAGAUCCACACCAGAGUGGUAUGGUAAUCUUGUCCUGGAAGUCAUGUUACUUGACCAUGACGAACCUAUGAACUAUGAGGAAGCGAUGAUGAGCCCAGAUUCCGCAAAAUGGCUUGAGGCCAUGAAAUCUGAGAUGUGAUCCAUGUAUGAGAACAAAGUGUGGACUUCGGUUGACUUGCCCGAUGAUCGGCAAGCCAUAGAGAAUAAAUGGAUCUUCAAGAAGAAGACUGACACUGAUGGUAAUGUUACUGUCUACAAAGCUCGACUUGUUGCAAAAGGUUUUCGACAAGUUCAAGGAGUUGACUAUGAUGAGACUUUCUCACCCGUAGCGAUGCUUAAGUUCGUCCGAAUCAUGUUAGCAAUUGCCGCAUUUUAUGGUUAUGAAAUUUGGCAAAUGGAUGUCAAAACUGCAUUCCUUAAUGGAUAUCUUAAAGAAGAGUUGUAUAUGAUGCAACUAGAAGGUUUUGUCGAUCCAAAAGGUGCUAACAAAGUGUGCAAGCUCCAGCGAUCCAUUUAUGGACUGGUGCAAGCCUCUUGGAGUUGGAAUAUACGCUUUGAUAGUGUGAUCAAAGCAUAUGGUUUUAUACAGACUUUUGGAGAAGCCUGUAUUUACAAAAAAGUGAGUGGGAGCUCUAUAGCAUUUCUGAUAUUAUAUGUGGAUGGCAUAUUGCUGAUCGGAAAUGAUACUGAAUUUCUGAAUAGCAUAAAAGGAUAUAUAAGAAUUUUUCAAUGAAAGACCUCGGUGAAGCUGCUUAUAUAUUGGGCAUCAAGAUCUAUAGAGAUAGAUCAAGACGCUUAAUUGGACUUUCACAAAGCACAUACCUUGAUAAAGUUUUGAAGAAGUUCAAAAUCGGUCAAGCAAAGAAAGGGUUCUUCCUGUGUUACAAGGUGUGAAGUUGAGUCAGACUCAAUGCCCGACCACUGCAGAAGAUAGAGAGAAAAAUGAAAGUCAUCGCCUAUGCUUCAGCCAUAGGUUCUAUCAUGUGUGCAAUGUUGUGUACCAGAUCUGAUGUGUGCCUUGCUAUUAGUUUGGCAGGGAGGUACCAAAGUAAUCCAGGAGUGGAUCACUCGGCAGCGGUCAAGAACAUCCUGAAAUACCUAAAAAAGACUAAGGAUAUGUUUCUCGUUUAUGUAGGUGACAAAGAGCUCGUCGUAAACGGUUACGUCGAUGCAAGCUUUAACACUGAUCCGGAUGACUCUAAGUCACAAACCGGAUACAUAUUUUUAUUAAAUGGUGGAGCUGUCAGUUGGUGCAGUUCCAAGCAGAGAGUCGUGGCGGGAUCUAUAUGUGAAGCGGAGUACAUAGCUGCUUCGGAAGCAGCAAAUGAAGGAGUCUGGAUGAAGGAGUUCAUAUCCGAUCUAGGUGUCAUACCUAGUGCAUCGGGUCCAAUGAAAAUCUUUUGUGACAAUACUGGUGCAAUUGCCUUGGCAAAGGAAUCCAGAUUUCACAAGAGAACCAAUCACAUCAAGAGACGCUUCAAUUCCAUUCGCGAUCAAGUCAAGGAGGGAUACAUAGAGAUUUGCAAGAUACAUACCGGAUCUGAAUGUUCCAGACCCGUUGACUAAGCCUCUCUCGCGAGCAAAACAUGAUCAGCACCAAGACUCUAUGGGUGUUAGAAUCAUCACAAUGUAAUCUAGAUUAUUGACUCUAGUGCAAGUGGGAGACUAAAGGAAAUAUGCCCUAGAGGCAAUAAUAAAGUUGUUAUUUAUAUUUACUUAUAUCAUGAUAAAUGUUUAUUAUUCAUGCUAGAAUUGUACUAACCGGAAACUUAGUACAUGAUGAAGCUAUGUACCUAGGGUAGGGUCAUAGGCCCGACCUGGACGCCCUCCCCAAGGUCAUCGCCCUGAAGCUAGAAGCAUUUGAAGGGUACCAUCAUCCACUCGAUCAGAGGCAUUCCACUCGGAAGAAUCAAUGACACUCGACCGUCACAGAAACCACUCGACGUACAGAAGACCUAAAGCCACUCUACGCAACAAUGGUCGGGCGUUUACUCAUAGACUUAAUUAUCAUUUAUAUCACUUAAUGCUAGCGUUACCAGUAACUUUCCACUCUUAAUGUAUAUUGAACUCUGUGCAACAGAGGGGAGCUGGGGCCCUGGCGUACUCUAUAUAAGUCACCCCCUCCUCUGGGACAAGGGUUCGCAUCCUUUGUAAACACACACAUAUACAUAAUCCAGUCGACCGCCUCUGGGCACCAAGACGUAGGGCUGUUACUUCCUUCGUGAAGGGCCUGAACUCGUAAACUCGUGUGUACAACUACUCCAAAGCUAGGAUCUUGCCUCCUCAUACCUACCGCCCAUUCUACUGUCAGUCUUAGAUCCAUGACAGUUGGCGCCCACCUUGGGGAAGGUGUCUUAGAAGUUUGUUGGAGAAGUUGCGAUUUUUUCGAUUCCCAUCAUCAUGGUUUCCGGCGGAGGAUUGGCUGAGGGCCGUGAGAUCCGUCUUGGUGCGCUCGUCUUCAUCGUCGACGGCUCCGCUUGGCUCCACGAGGCUCCACUCGACGUCGACGCGCUCCCCGUCCGCGGGGCAACGCACUUCCGUGUGUGCGUCCACAGCGUCCUUCUUCGACAGCCGUCGACUCGGUAUCAGUCGGCUCCUACGGCGUCCUCGCUCCCCGCUGCUCGCCGGCGCAAGCGAUCCAGUCGGUCACGGCUCCAGCGGUGGGUGAGGCAUGCGCUAGCCCGCCAAUCGGCCACCCCACAAAUCGCGGCGAUCGAGCCCGAUGAAACUCUCUACGGCCUGUUCGACUGGCUCCGUCGAUACUGCAUCCAAGUGCGAUAGCAGUGACCCUGCGGCGGAAGUCUUGAUGGUCAAUGGACCAUGCAGUCCUCCUAGCUACACCCGCGACGAUGGUGGCGGUGGAGUCGGUGAUCCGUCGCGCAUCCACAAGGAGUACCGCCCCGAACCCCUCUCUUCACAGCAGAGGGAAGAUCCUCGCCGCCGCAAUAUGGAUGCACUUCACACUCCUAUCGUUGGAGAAACCCCCGAGGCCCGGGCCUUGGAGGAGGCGCGCCUGGCCAACUUGGCUUAGCGCACUCGACUGGAGAACCUCUAGCGCGCACUCGACGAGCGUGCUCGGCAGCGAAUUCCUGAGUCCAAUCUAUGACAACUUUUUUCGCCUCCGACUCAGGUAUACCAAACUCCAAUCCAGAAUCUCACAGUGGCAACCCGAAUAGCAGAGUCAAUUCAGCCUUCCCAGUCGGAAGCUGGCCGAGGUUUGAUGCAGAUCCGGGCUUUACUCCGGGCAGUAGGAGAGCAGAAUACAUCAGUAUCUUAGUCGCGGAAUAGGAUUCAUAGCAGAUCUGUGGUGGCAGACACUGUCCAAUCUGCUCAUAGCCCAAGAUCGCCUCCGCGGCGUGAGGGACGUGGGCAUCGGCAGGAUCAGUACAGGAACCGUGAGCAGUAUGAUCAUCGACUCGACCAUGAUGACCAUCGUCGAGUGCCCAAGCCUCCUCCGAGGAGUGGGUCAUACGUGCAUCGGCGGCAAGAGGACAGGCGCCCCCAUAACGGCGAACGAAGAAUUCCAGUCGACCCUAGAGAGCCAGGCUUUGAUGCGAGAUCUAUUCUCGUUCAAGGUCUGGUCGACAGGAACAGGGCACACAGAGAGGGCCAUGAUAGAGAUUAUCCGACUGGAAGCAGGGUGCAUGUUUCAGGUCCCGAGUGUUUUAGCAGGGCCAUCAGAGCAGCAGUGAUUCCUCCCAACUUCAGGUUGGCGACUGGAGUCAGCAAGUUCACUGGCGAGUCCAAGCCUGACACUUGGCUUAAGGACUACCAAGUGGCUGUGUAGAUCGGUGGCGGCAAUGAUGAAGUGGCCAUGAAGCACCUUCCUUUGAUGUUGGAGGGCUUAGCCAGGGCGUGGUUGAAUCAGUUAGCACCUGGCAGCAUAUAUAGUUGGGAGGAACUUGCCUGAGUGUUUGUUAGAACCUUUGAAGGUACAUGCAAAAGGCCGGCGGGGUUGACAGAGUCACAGUCCUAUGUGCAGAAGCCGAAUGAAACCUUGAGAGAUUAUAUCCAGAGAUGGAUCACAUUGCACCACACAGUGGAGAAUGUGUCGGGUCACCAAGCAGUUUGUGCCUUCAAGGAAGGUGUUAAGUACAGAGAGUUGAACCUAAAGUUCGGUCGGACAGGAGAUAUGUCCCUGAGUCGAAUGAUGGAGAUUGCCACCAAGUAUGCCAAUGGUGAAGAGGAAGACCGACUCCGGAGCGGCAAGCACAAAACAGUCGCCCAAGAAAUCGGAGGAGGGAAUUCCAGUUGGAAACAGAAGCGCAAGGCCGAACCAGCUGCGCCUGGAGAAGCUUUAGUUGUGGCCCAAGGGAAAUUCAAGGGGAAGCCCAAAGGGCCCUGGACUCCCAAGAAAGUUAAAGAUCAAGAUGGGAAUGAUGUGUUGGAUUUACCAUGCCACAUUCAUACCAAAAAAGAUGAAGAGGGGAAUCUCAUUUACCCUAAGCACACCACUCGACAGUGUCGUCUCCUGAUCCAGCAGUUCCGAGAGAAACAACCCAAGGAGAAGGAAAAGGAGUCGGACAAGGGUGAGGAAAGGGAAGAAGAUGAUGAUGGUUUUCCCAAUGUCAAUUCAACUCUGAUGAUUUUUGCUGAUGUUGAGAGCAAAAGUCGAUUGAAAGUUAUUAACAGAGAGGUGAACAUGGUUGCUCCUGCAACACCCACUUAUCUGAAAUGGUCCCAGACUGCCAUCACAUUCGACCAGUCGGAUCAUCCAGCACAUAUAGCCACCCUUGGGAGGCAAGCGCUGGUAGUCGACCCUAUUGUUGAAGGCACUCGACUGACUAAGGUACUGAUGGAUGGUGGCAGUGGUCUAAAUAUCCUUUAUGCUGAAACUCUGAAAGUGAUGGGCAUUCCGAUGUCCAAGCUUAACGAAAGCAAUAUGAGUUUCCAUGGAGUUAUACCUGGCAAGAAGGCCCAGUCACUUGUCCAGAUCACACUUGAUGUGGUUUUUGGUGAUUCCAAGAAUUACCGCGAGGAGAAGUUGACAUUUGAAGUGGUGGACUUCAAGAGCGCUUACCAUGCUAUUCUGGGUAGGCCCGCUUAUGCAUGUUUUAUGGCUCGACCAUGUUACGUGUAUCUCAAAUUGAAGAUGCCUGGUCCCAGAGGGGUGAUCACUAUCACUGGCAAUCGGAAAAAGGCAGAAGAGUGCUUCCAAAAGGGCUCAAACAUUGCCGAUGCACAAAUGGCAGUAGUAGAAUUGCAAGAGUACCAGAAAAAUGCAAAUCCGAGUGAUUUGCUGCGAGCUAAGAAGCCUGCCACAGACUCUGCAUUUCAGUCGUCUGGAGAAACGAAACCGAUUCAUAUUCACCCAACCGAUCCCAAUGCUGCUCCGACUCAUAUUUCAACGACACUCGAUAGCAAAUAGGAAGAAGCGCUCAUCCAGUUUCUCCGUGAGAACUGGGACAUCUUUGCAUGGAAACCUUCUGACAUGCCGGGUGUACCCAGUGGACUGGCUGAGUAUCGUUUGCGAGUCGACCCGAAAGUGAAACCUGUCAAGGAACAUCUCCAACGGUCCGUCGUCCAGAAGAGAAAAGCAAUUGGGGAGGAAGUGGCUCGGCUCCUGGCAGCUGAGUUCAUCCGAGAAAUCUACCACUCCGAGCGGCUUGCCAAUGUUGUCAUGGUACCCAAGAAGGACGAUUCACUUCGCAUGUGCAUUGACUUCAAGAAUAUCAAUCGGGCCUGCCCGAAAGAUCAUUUUCCUCUCCCCCGCAUCGACCAAAUCGUCGACUCGACUGCGGGGUGUGAGCAUUUGUCUUUUUUGGACGCCUAUUCUGGGUACCAUCAGAUCCAGCUAUAUGGACCAGAUGAGAUAAAAACGGCUUUCAUCACUCCAUUCGGAUGCUUAUGUUAUGUCACCAUGCCAUUCAACCUGAAGAACGCCGGAGCCACAUUCAUGAGGAUGAUCCAGAAGUGUCUGCUCACUCAAAUCAGUCAAAAUGUGGAAGCAUACAUGGAUGACAUUGUGGUCAAGUCACGUAAGGGUUCCGACCUGCUGGCUGACCUUAAUGAAACCUUUGCCAACCUCAGAAGAUACGCUAUCAAGCUUAAUCCAUCAAAGUGCACAUUCGUAAUUCCUGGCGGAAAGUUACUCGGUUUCCUCGUUUCCGAACGAGGGAUCGAUGCUAACCCAGAGAAAGUUGGUGCUAUACUUCGGAUGAAACGCCCUAUGCGUGUGCACGAUGUCCAGAAGCUUACUAGUUGUUUGGUCGCCUUAAGUUGAUUCAUUUCUCGCCUCGGUGAAAAGACAUUGCCUCUUUACCGACUGAUGAAGAAGUCUGGUAAGUUUGAGUGGACUCCGGAAGCUGAUGCAGCGUUUGUAGAGCUCAAAGCCCUGCUUUCCACCCAGCUGGUGCUUGCUGCACCAAUCAGCAAAGAGCCUUUACCGCUUUAUAUUGCAGCCACUGGACAAGUUGUCAGUACAGUACUCACGGUUGAGCGGGAAGAAGAAGGAAAAGCCUAUAAAGUUCAGCGCCCAGUAUAUGACGUUUCUGAAGUUCUGACUCCAUCGAAGUAAAGAUAUCCACACUAUCAGAAGCUUGUUUAUGGGAUUUACAUGACCACGAAGAAGGUUGCGCACUAUUUCUCUGAUCAUUCCAUUACAGUCGUAAGUGACGCUCCAUUAUCAGAGAUUCUGAACAACAGAGAUGCAACUGGUCGAGUGGCAAAGUGGGUGAUUGAACUCCUUCCCCUGGACAUCAAGUUUGAGGUAAAGAAAGCUAUCAAGUCCCAAGCAAUAGAAGAUUUUCUCGCCGAGUGGAUCGAACAACAACUUCCGGCCCAAAUUCACUCGGAGCAUUGGACCAUGUUCUUUGAUGGCUCCAAAAUGCUAAAUGGAUCCGGUGUUGGGGUGGUGUUGGUAUCCCCCCGUGGUGACAAACUCAGCUAUGUUCUCCAGAUUCACUUUGACUCUUCCAACAACGAAGCCGAAUAUGAGGCACUUCUGUACGGGUUGCGUAUGCCAUUUCACUCGGCGUCCGUCGCCUCAUGGUCUAUGGCGACUCAGAUUUAGUGGUCAAUCAGGUGAUGAAGGAGUGGGACGUCAGAAGCCCAGCUAUGACUGGUUAUUGCAAUGCAGUGAUAAAGUUAGAAAAGAGGUUUGAGGGGUUGGAGCUCCAUCACAUACCCCGACUGAAAAAUCAAGCAGCUGAUGAUCUAACAAAGAUAGGUUCCAAGAGGGAAGCCAUUCCCAGCAAUGUGUUCCUGUAACAUAUUCAUACACCUUCAGUUCAAGAAGAUCCUUUCACUGAAGAGCCCUCGCAACCAAAGAGUGCCACUGAUCCCACUGAAAUCGAGGUCCCAACCGUGGUCGAUUUGAUCAUGGAGGUUUUAGUCAUCACUCCUGAUUGGACACUACCAUAUAUCGCGUACAUUCUUAGAAAGGAACUCCUAGGGGAUGAAGAAGAGGCUCGACAGAUUGUCCAUCGAUCCAAAGCCUUUACCGUGAUAAGAGGACAGUUGUUCAGAGAAAGUGUGACUGGAGUCUGCCAGAAAUGCGUAACACCUGAAGAAGGUUGAGUGAUCCUCAAUGACAUCCACUCGGGGACCUGUGGUCACCAUGCGUUCUCUCGGACCAUUGUGGCCAAAGCAUACCGAGCGGGAUUUUACUGGCCACGAGCAAAUGAGAUGGCAAAAGAAAUAGUCGACAAAUGUGAAGGUUGCCAGUUUUACUCCAACAUGUCUCACAAGCCUGCGUCGGCCCUGAAGUCAUUCCACUCGUCUGGCCUUUUGCUGUUUGGGGAUUGGAUAUGGUUGAACCUCUGAGGAGUGGUAGGAGCGGAUUCACUCAUGUGCUUGUAGCAGUCGACAAGUUCACCAAAUGGAUUGAAUCCAAGCCUAUCAAGAACCUUGAAGUCAGCACUGCUGUCAGCUUAUCAGAGAGUUAACAUUUAGAUAUAGUGUUCCACACAGCAUCAUCACUGACAACGGGUCAAACUUUGAUUCUUAUGAGAUUAGGACUUUCUGUGCUUCUCAAGGUACUCGAGUCGACUAUGCUUUAGUCGCCCACCCCCAGUCGAAUGGGUAAGCUAAAAGAGCAAAUGGAUUGAUUCUCAAAGGACUGAAACCCCGACUGAUGCGUGACCUCAAACACACAGCAGGAGCUUGGGUCAAUGAACUUCCAUCGGUAUUGUGGGGACUGAGGACAACUCCCAAUCGGUCGACUGACAGAACUCCCUUUUUCUUUGUUUAUGGAGGUGAAGCUGUACUUCCGAGUGACUUGCUCCAUAAUGCGCCCUGAGUCGAGCUUUUCUCAGAAGAAGAAGCAGAACAGGCACGGCAAGAUGCGGUUGAUCUCCUGGAGGAAGAAAGGGAGAUGGCCUUGAUCCGAUCGACCAUUUAUCAGCAAGAUCCGCGUCGAUUCCACGCCAGAAACGUAAGGGGUCGAGCAUUUCAAGAGGGAGACUUGGUUCUUCGAGUGGACCAGCAGAAACCACACAAGCUUGCUCCUUCCUGGGAAGGCCCCUUCGUUGUCCAGAGUGCUCCACAACGGAGCGUACCACCUCUAUAACGUCGAGCACAAGAAAGACAAGCCGCGCGCUUGGAAUGUGGAGCUACUCCGCCCCUUUUAUACUUAAACACUCAGUCUGUUGAGAUGUAAUAAGAAGCACAUUUGUAGUUUGUUUAUCAAAGACAAGAGUUUUACAAUCUUCUAAAAAUAUUGUUGAUUACUUACGUUUGUGUCUAAAACCCCCUAGUGGGUGGCUUAGCUGCGAAUCCGUUCGCCUAAGUUAAAAAAAAUCCCGCCGAGUGGUGAGCAAGUCUCUCACUCGGGGGCUUAGCUGCGAAUCCGUUCGCCUAAGUUUCAAAAAUCCUACCGAGUGGUGAACAAGUUUCUCACUCAGGGGCUUAGCUGCAGUCCAGUACUCGCCUAAGUUUAAAAAAUCCUACCGAGUGAUGAGCAAGCCUAUCACUCGGGGGCUUAGCUGCAGUCCAGUACUCGCCUAAGUUUAAAAAAAAAUCCUACUGAGUGGUGAGCAAGCCUCUCACUCGAGGGCCUAGCUGCAGUCUAGUACUCGCUUGAAUUUAAAAAAUCCUACCGAGUGAUGAGCAAACCUCUCACUUNNNNNNNNNNNNNNNNNNNNNNNNNNNNNNNNNNNNNNNNNNNNNNNNNNNNNNNNNNNNNNNNNNNNNNNNNNNNNNNNNNNNNNNNNNNNNNNNNNNNNNNNNNNNNNNNNNNNNNNNNNNNNNNNNNNNNNNNNNNNNNNNNNNNNNNNNNNNNNNNNNNNNNNNNNNNNNNNNNNNNNNNNNNNNNNNCUUUCCUAAGUAUUAAAAGUCCUACUGAGUGAUGAGAAAACCUCACACUCGGGGGCUUAGCUGCAGUCUAGUACUCGCCUAAGUAUUAAAAAUCCUAUUGAGUGAUGAGCAAACCUCACACUCGAGGGCUUAGCUGCAGUCUAGUACUCGCCUAAGUAUUAAAAAUCCUACCGAGUGAUGAGCAAACCUCACACUUGGGGGCUUAGCUGCAGUCCAGUACUCGCCUAUGUAUUAAAAAUCCUACCAAGUGAUGAGCAAACCUCACACUUGGAGGCUUAGCUGUAGUCCAGUACUCGCCUAAGAUGACGAGAUGCAAGUCGACUGCAACUCUCUCCUCGGAGCUGCGCCACAAGUACAACAUGCGCUCCAUCCCUAUCCGCAAGGAUGACGAGGUGCAGGUCGAAUGCAACCUUCUCUUCGGAGCUGCACCACAAGUACAACGUGCGCUCCAUCCCUAUCCGCAAGGAUGACGAGGUGCAGGUCGAAUGCAACCUUCACCUCGGAGCUAUGCCAUAAGUACAACGUGCAUUCCAUCCCUAUCCACAAGGACGACGAGGUGCAGGUCGACUACAACUCUCUCCUCGGAGCUGUGCCACAAGCACAACGUGCGCUCCAUCCCUAUCUGCAAGGAUGGAGAGGCGCAGGUCGACUGGGGUAUCUCCCUCAGGGCUGCAUUUCAAGAAAUAUUCCGAGUGAAGAAUAAGUUCCACUCGAAGGCAAACGCAAGCACAUGCAGAAGAUAAACCAAGAUCGAAUAAAACCUCAAAAGUUUCAAGACAAAGAUAAAAGUACUCGGGCAUAAGGACCAAAGGAGUUUAACGGUUACAAAAAUCACUCGGCAUUCCGAGGCAAAUUUAAAGGAAGUUUACAUAUCAAGUUUGUUCACUCAGCAGGAGGAGGGCUUGCAGGCUUGACAAACUCGUCCAAAUCGAUCCCGUCCGUGAUCCGAGUGGUAGCAGCAAUGAAAGUUUCCAUGAAGGAUUGAAAGUCAUGCCUUUUGGUGUUGGCGACCUUGAUCGCCGCCAUCUUCUCUUCUCGAGCUUCUUUGCAGUGGACCCUAACUAGCGACAGAGCCACGUCAGCGCCGCAUCGGGCAGAUGACUUCUUCCAUUCCUGCACUCGACUAGGGACCUCAUUGAGCCGAGUCAUCAGAGACUCGAGAUCAUUCUGAAGUGUUGCCCUUGGCCAGAGUGAUGAGUCAAUGCGCGACACCGCCACCUUCAGACGAGCGAGAUAGCUGGUAACACUGGCGACACGGGAUUCCAGUCGAGCACAUUCAUGGCAGCCUCGUCACCGACUGGAGAAAGGAUAGGACCCAAGCCCGUCUCGAUCCGUCCAGUCUCCUCUUCAAAGUUUUGGCAGAAUUCUGCAGAGUCAAAGAGUUAAUGGGUCGACUGGUCAAGACUAACUUGCAAACAGUAAAGCAGUCAGAUAAAAAGGGAUACCUUCAAGCAUAAGGAAGAGCUUCUUGGCGAGGGCUUUCAGAUAAGCCUCCAAGUCGUUCCUCCUACGAGUCAUGCUUUCCAGCUGAUCGUUCAGAGCCACUUUAUCUUUUUUCAGACGAGUCGCCUCUCGGCUGGAUUCAGUGAGAGACGACUUCAACUUGGUGAUUUCCUCCUCUAACGCUCCGACCGAAGCCAGUUUCUGGUCAGCAGGGGCAGUCUUCUCCUCAGCCUCCUUCUGCGUAGUUGCAAGGUCCAAGUCCUUCUUCUCCAGGGCCAGCCUCAUUUUCUCUACAAAAUACACAUUGAGAUCAAAUAGAAGAACGAAGGGAUAACUUGAAGGAUGUUCAAGAUAAGCAGUAGACAGGCCGUUACCUUUCGUACCAGCGACUUCAUCUUGAGCCUUCUUUAAGUUUUGCCGAGCCAGCUCCAGGUCAAGGUUGAGUUGCCUCUGCUUUUCCUCAAAUUUGAUGAACUUGGAGAUAAGCAUACAAGAUUUCUACAGUGAGUAAAAUGUUGGGGAACAUUGCAGAAAACAAAAAAAAUUCCUACGUCUCACCAAGAUCAAUCUAUGGAGUCAACUAGCAACGAGAGGAGAGUGCAUCUACAUACCCUUGUAGAUCGCGAGCGGAAGCGUUCAAGAGAGCGGGGAUGAUGGAGUCGUACUCGCCGUGAUCCAAAUCACCGAUGACCAAGUGCCGAACGGACGGCACCUCCGCGUUCAACACACGUACGGAGCGGAUGACGUCUCCUCCUUCUUGAUCCAGCAAGGGGGAAGGAGAGGUUGAUGAAGAUCCAUCAGCACGAUGGCGUGGUGGUGGAUGCAGCAAUGAUCACAGCAGGGCUUCGCCGAGCUUCUGCGAGAGGGAGAGGUGUAGCAGGGGAGAGGGAGGCGCCAAGACUUGAGGUGCGGCUGCCCUCCCUCCCCCUUUAUAUAGGCCCCCUGGGGGGGUGCCGGCCCUAGGAGAUGGGAUCUCCUUGGGGGGCGGAGGCCAAGGGGGAGGCUUGCCCCCCAAGGCAAGUGGAGGCGCCCCCACCCUAGGGUUUCCAACCCUAGGCGCAGGGGGGCCAGGGGGGGCGCACCAGCCCACUAGGGGCUGGUUUCCUCCCCACUUCAGCCCACGGGGCCCUCCGGGAUGGGUGGCCCCACCCGGUGGACCCCCGGGACCCAUCCGAUGGUCCCGGUACAAUACCGGUGACUCCAAAUCCUUCCCGAUGGCCGAAACUGCACUUCCUAUAUAUAAUUCUUCACCUCCGGACCAUUUCGGAACUCCUCGUGACAUCCGGGAUCUCAUUGGGACUCCGAACAACUUUCGGGUUGCUGCAUACUAAUAUCUCUACAACCCUAGCGUCACCGAACCUUAAGUGUGUAGACCCUAUGGGUUCGGGAGACAUGCAGACAUGACCGAGAUGCCUCUCCGGUCAAUAACCAACAGCGGGAUCUGGAUACCCAUGUUGGCUCCCACAUGCUCCUCGAUGAUCUCAUCGGAUGAACCAUGAUGUCGAGGACUUAAUCAAUCCCGUAUUCAAUUCCCUUUGUCAAUCGGUACGUUACUUGCCCGAGACUCGAUCGUCGGUAUCCCAAUACCUUGUUCAGUCUCGUUACCGGCAAGUCACUUUACUCGUACCGUAAUGCAUGAUCCCGUGAUCAACCACUUGAUCACAUUGAGCUCAUUAUGAUGAUGCAUUACCGAGUGGGCCUAGAGAUACCUCUCCGUCAUACGGAGUGACAAAUCCCAGUCUCGAUUCGUGCCAACCCAACAGACACUUUCGGAGAUACCUAUAAUGUACCUUUAUAGUGACCCAAUUACGUUGUGACAUUUGGCACACCCAAAGCACUCCUACGGUAUCCGGGAGUUGCACAAUCUCAUGGUCUAAGGAAAUGAUACUUGACAUUCAGAAAAGCUACAACAAACGAACUACACGAUCUUUGAGCUAAGCUUAGGAUUGGGUCUUGUCCAUCACAUCAUUCUCCUAAUGAUGUGAUCCCGUUAUCAAUGACAUCCAAUGUCCAUAGUCAGGAAACCAUGACUAUCUUUUGAUCAACGAGCUAGUCAACUAGAGGCUCACUAGGGACGUGUUGUGGUCUAUGUGUUCACACAUGUAUUACGAUUUCCGGAUAACACAAUUAUAGCAUGAACAAUAGACAAUUAUCAUUAACAAAGAAAUAUAAUAAUAACCAUUUUAUUAUUGCCUCUAGGGCAUAUUUACAACAGUCUCCCACUUGCACUAGAGUCAAUAUUCUAGUUACAUUGUGAUGAAUCGAACACCCAUGCAGUUUUGGUGUUGAUCAUGUUUUGCUCUCGGGAGAGGUUUAGUCAACGGAUCUGCUACAUUCAGGUCCGUAUGUACUUUACAAAGCUCUAUGUCUCCAUUUUGAACACUUUCACGAAUGGAGUUGAAGCGACGCUUGAUAUGCCUGGUCUUCCUGUGAAACCUGGGCUCCUUGGAAAGGGCAAUAGCUCCAGUGUUGUCACAUAAGAGAGUCAUCGGGCCCGACGCAUUGGGUAUGACUCCUAGGUCGGUAAUGAACUCCUUCACCCAGACUGCUUCGUGUGCUGCCUCCGAGGCUGCCAUGUACUCCGCUUCACAUGUAGAUCCCGCCACAACGCUUUGCUUGCAACUGCACCACUUACUGCCCCACCAUUCAAAAUAUACACAUAUCCGGUUUGUGACUUAGAGUCAUCCAGAUCUGUGUCGAAGCUAGCAUCAACGUAACCCUUUACGACGAGCUCUUCGUCACCUCCAUAAACGAGAAACAUUUCCUUAGUCCUUUUCAGGUACUUCAGGAUAUUCUUGACCGUUGUCCAGUGUUCCAUGCCGGGAUUACUUUGGUACCUUCCUACCAAACUCACGGCAAGGUUUACGUCAGGUCUGGUACACAGCAUAGCAUACAUGAUAGACCCUAUGGACGAGGCAUAGGGGACGACACUCAUAUUUUAUCUAUCUUCUACCGUGGUCGGGCAUUGAGCCAUGCUCAAUCUCGUACCUUGCAAUACAGGCAAGAACCCCUUAUUUGACUGAUCCAUUUUGAACUUCUUCAAUAUCUUGUCAAGGUACGUACUCUGUGAAAGACCAAUGAGGCGUCUCGAUCUAUCUCUAUAGAUCUUGAUGCCUAAUAUAUAAGCAGCUUUUCCAAGGUCCUUCAUUGAAAAACACUUGUUCAAGUAGGCCUUUAUGCUUUCCAAGAAUUCUAUAUCAUUUCCCAUCAACAGUAUGUCAUCCACAUACAAUAUGAGAAAUGCUACAGAGCUCCCACUCACUUUCUUGUAAAUGCAGGCUUCUCCAUAAGUCUGCAUAAACCCAAACGCUUUGAUCAUCUCAUCAAAACGAAUGUUCCAACUCCGAGAUGCUUGCACCAGCCCAUAAAUCGAGCGUUGGAGCUUGCAUACCUUGUCAGCAUUCUUAGGAUCGACAAAACUUUCCGGCUGCAUCAUAUACAAUUCUUCCUUAAGGAAACCAUUAAGGAAUGCCGUUUUGACGUCCAUUUGCCAUAUCUCAUAAUCAUAGAAUGCGGCAAUUGCUAACAUGAUUCAGACGGACUUCAGCUUCGCUAUAGGUGAGAAAGUCUCAUCGUAGUCAACCCCUUGAACUUGUCGAUAACCCUUAGCGACAAGCCGAGCUUUAUAGAUGGUCACAUUACCAUCCGUGUCUGUCUUCUUCUUAAAGAUCCAUUUAUUUUCUAUGGCUCGCCGAUCAUCGGGCAAGUCAGUCAAAGUCCACACUUCAUUUUCAUACAUGGAUCCUAUCUCGGAUUUCAUGGCUUCCGGCCAUUUGUCAGAAUCCGGGCCCGCCAUCGCUUCUUCAUAGUUCGAAGGUUCACCGUUGUCUAACAACAUGAUUUCCAAGACAGGGUUGCCAUACCACUCUGGUGCGGAACGUGUCCUCGUGGACCUACGAAGUUCAGUAGUAACUUGAUCUGAAGCUUCAUGAUCAUCAUCAUUAACUUCCUCUCUAGUCGGUGUAGGCACCUCAGGAACAUUUUCUUGAGCUGCGCCACUUACCGGUUCAAGAGGUAAUACUUCAUCAAGUUCUACUUUCCUCCCACUUAUUUCUUUCGAGAGAAACUCUUUCUCUAGAAAGGACCCAUUCUUGGCAACAAAGAUCUUGCCUUUGGAUUUGAGGUAGAAGGUAUACCCAACAGUUUCUUUAGGGUAUCCUAUGAAGACGCAUUUUUCCGACUUGGGUUCGAGCUUUUCAGGUUGAAGUUUCUUCACAUAAGCAUCGCAUCCCCAAAAUUUUAUAAACGAGAGCUUAGGUUUCUUCCCAAACCAUAAUUCAUAUGGUGUCUUCUCAACGGAUUUCGACGGAGCCCUAUUUAAAGUGAAUGCGGCAGUCUCUAAAGCAUAGCCCCAAAAUGAUAACGGUAAAUCGGUAAGAGACAUCAUAGAUCGCACCAUAUCUGAUAGAGUGCGAUUACGACGUUCGAACACACCAUUACGCUGAGGUGUUCCAGGCGGCGUUAGUUGUGAAACUAUUCCACAUUUUCUUAAGUGUGUGCCAAAUUCGUGACUCAAGUAUUCUCCCCCACGAUCUGAUCGCAAGAACUUGAUUUUCCUGUCACGUUGAUUCUCAACCUCACUCUGAAAUUCCUUGAACUUUUCAAAGGUCCUAGACUUGUGUUUCAUUAAGUAGACAUACCCAUAUCUACUCAAGUCACCAGUGAGGGUGAGAACAUAACGAUAGCCACCGCGAGCCUCAACACUCAUUGGACCGCACACAUCAGUAUGUAUGAUUUCCAAUAAGUUGGUUGCUCGCUCCAUUGUUCCUGAGAACGGAGUCUUGGUCAUUUUACCCAUGAGGCAUGGUUCGCACGUGUCAAAUGAUUCAUAAUCAAGAGACUCUAAAAGUCCAUCUACAUGGAGCUUCUUCAUGCGUUUGACACCUAUGUGACCAAGGUGGCAGUGCCACAAGUAUGUGGGACUAUCAUUAUCAACCUUACAUCUUUUAGUAUUCACACUAUGAAUAUGUGUAGCAUUACGCUCGAGAUUCAUUAAGAAUAAACCAUUCACCAUCGGAGCAUGACCAUAAAACAUAUCUCUCAUAUAAAUAGAACAACCAUUAUUCUCGAAUUUAAAUGAGUAGCCAUCUCAUAUUAAACGAGAUCCUGAUACAAUGUUCAUGCUCAAAGCUGGCACUAAAUAACAAUAUUGAGGUUUAAAACUAAUCCCGUAGGUAAAUGUAGAGGUAGCGUGCCGACGGCGAUCACAUCGACCUUGGAACCAUUCCCGACGCGCAUCAUCACCUCGUCCUUCGCCAGUCUCCGCUUAUUCCGCAGCUCCUGCUUUGAGUUACAAAUGUGAGCAACCGCACCGGUAUCAAAUACCCAGGAGCUACUACAAGUACUGGUAAGGUACACAUCAAUUACAUGUAUAUCACAUAUACCUUUCGUGAUGCCGACUUUCUUGUCUGCUAAGUAUUUGGGGUAGUUCCGCUUCCAGUGACCACUUCCCUUGCAAUAAAAGCACUCAGUCUUGGGCUUGUGUGUAACACCCCGGAUGUAACUUUCCCAAUCUGUACUCCAACUCUUGCCGUUUCCGGCGUUAAGUUAUUUUACUUUCUCGGGUUCGGGUCUUUGUCUCCGUGUGUUGUUAUCGUUGUCAUGCAUCUCAUAUCAUGUCAUCAUGUGCAUUGCAUUUGCAUACAUGUUCGUCUCAUGCAUUCGAGCAUUUUCCCCGUUGUCCGUUUUGCAUUUCGGCGCUUCGUUCUCCUCUGGUGGUCAUUUCUACCUUUCUUUCAUGUGUGGGGAUUAAACAUUUCCAGAUUGGACCAAGACUUGCCAAGCGGCCUUGGUUUACUACCGGUAGACCGCCUGUCAAGUUUCGUAUCAUUUGGACUUCGUUUGAUAGUCCAAUGGUUAACCGAGGGACCGAAAAGGCCUCGUGUGUGUUGCAGCCCAACACCCCUCCAAUUUGGCCCAAAACCCUCUCCAUCACCUAGAGCAUUCGAUCACGAUCGCGUGGCCGAAAACCGCACCUCAUUUGGACUCUCCUAGCUCCUCCUAUGCCUAUUUAAAGAUCCCCCGAAAAUCUCCUUCUCUCCCCCCCCGAAAACCCUAGAUCCACUCGUCAUCGCGCGCCGCCGGACACUUUCCCCGCCGACGGACACGUCCGAAUUCCGCCGCCGCCACCACGUGGCAUCACGCCAUUCGUCCGCGCCCGGUCCCCAGAUCGCCGCGCCGCCCGGGCCCGGGAAGCCCAAGGCCGGCCCCCGCGGCCCAUCUCCCCCGUGCCGCGGCCCGAAGCCACCCGAGGCGCCGCCCAACCCCGCUCACCGGCCCCGCCGCCUCCGCCGCCGCACCAUCUCCGCCGCCGCACCAUCUCCGCCCCACCGCCUCGGCUUCCGCAGCCGCCACCCGUCUCCGCCGCGGCCGGCCAGCUCCCUCCUCCGGCCAGAUCCGGUCGAGGAGCGACCGGAUCCGGCGCCCUCAACCUCGUCGGCCGCCGUCUUCGUCUUCUCCGGCGAGCAGCGCCACUGCCUCGUUUUGCGUGCCCGGGUCAAACCCUAGAUCCGGAGGUCGAAUUUCUACUAAGUCCCUGUUUCUUUCAGUUUCAAGUGCCCAUGUUCAUCGUGUUGUAACUCCGCAUCCGUAGCUCCGAUUCAUGCAUAUAGCAUAUCAAAAUGUUCAUCUCAGAGAGUACAUCAUUUUAUUCCAUUGCAUCAUUUUCAUUUGAGUUCAUAUUGAUGCCCGAAAUGCUGUUAGAAGAGGGCUACUUGAGAUAAUUGUCAGAUCUGCUACUCCAUUUAGAUAUUUGUCAUUUUUGCCAUGAUUAUUGUGUGCAUGAUAUGCCCAUGAGUUCUACAUAUGUUUUGUUAAGGGUUUUGUCAUCUUUCCAGAGGUGCAACCCAUGUAUUUUUGUGAUGUGUGUGGUGACUAGCACGAGCUUGCCAAGUGAGGCACUUGGUAAUUCUGUUUUCAGGGACUUAGCAUUUCCACUAAGUCCUUGACCUGUUUAUCUCAUGAUGCCAUAUGUUCAUGUUGUUUCCUAGUGAUCCAUGCCUCUUUUGAGGAUGAUCAAUAAGGAUGUUUUGUUAAUAUUGUAGUGACAAACAUCACAUGCAAUCAAAUAGUGACAUGAUAUGGCCAAUAUCAUUUGCUCCUUUGAUCUCCAUCUUCGGGGCUCCAUGAUCAUCGUUGUCACCGGCAUGACACCAUGAUCUCCAUCAUCGUGUCUUCUUGAAGUUGUCACGUCAACUAUUACUUCUACUACUAUGGCUAACGCUUUAGCAAUAAAGUAAAGUAAUUAAAUGACGUUUAUGUUGACACGCAGGUCAUAAAUAAAUAAAGACAACUCCUAUGGCUCCUGCCGGUUGUCAUACUCAUCGACAUGCAAGUCGUGAUUCCUAUUACAAGAACAUGAUCAUCUCAUACAUCACAUAUAUCAUUCAUCACAUCCUUUGGCCAUAUCACAUCACAAAACACUUGCUGCAAAAAGAAGUUAGACGUCCUCUAAUUGUUGUUGCAAGUUUUUACGUGGUUGCUAUAGGUUUCUAGCAAGAACGUUUCUUACCUACGCCAAAACCACAACGUGAAUUGCCAAUUUCUAUUUACCCUUCAUAAGGACCCUGUUCAUCGAAUCCAAUCCGACUAAAGUGGGAGAGACAGACACCCGCCAGCCACCUUAUGCAACUAGUGCAUGUCAGUCGGUGGAACCGGUCUCACGUAAGCGUACGUGUAAGGUUGGUCUGGGCCGCUUCAUCCCACGAUGCCACCGAAUCAAGAUAAGACUAGUAACAGCAAGAUAAUUGACAAUAUCGACGCCGACAACUACUUUGUGUUCUACUCGUGCAUAGUAACUACGCAUAAACCUGGCUCUGAUACCACUGUUGGGGAAUGUUGCAGAAAACAAAAAAAAUUCCUACGUUUCACCAAGAUCAAUCUAUGGAGUCAACUAGCAACAAGAGGAGAGUGCAUCUACAUACCCUUGUAGAUCGUGAGUGGAAGCGUUCAAGAGAACGGGGAUGAUGGAGUCGUACUCGCCGUGAUCCAAAUCACCGAUGACCAAGUGCCGAACGAACGGCACCUCCGCGUUCAACACACAUACGGAGCGGAUGACGUCUCCUCCUCCUUGAUCCAGCAAGGGGGAAGGAGAGGUUGAUGAAGAUCCAGCAGCACGACGGCGUGGUGGUGGAUGUAGCAAUGAUCGCAGCAGGGCUUCGCCGAGCUUCUGCGAGAGGGAGAGGUCUAGCAGGGGAGAGGGAGGCGCCAAGACUUGAGGUGCGGCUGCCCUCCCUCCCCCCUUUAUAUAGGCCCCCUGGGGGGGCGCCAGCCCUAGGAGAUGGGAUCUCCUUGGGGGGGGCGGCCAAGGGGGAGGCUUGCCCCCCAAGGCAAGUGGAGGCGCCCCCACCCUAGGGUUUCCAACCCUAGGCGCAGGGGGGCCCAAGGGGGGGGCGCACUAGCCCACUAGGGGCUGGUUCCCUCCCCACUUCAGCCCAUGGGGCCCUCCGGGAUGGGUGGCCCCACCCGAUGGACCCCCGGGACCCAUCCGGUGGUCCUGGUACAAUACCGGUGACUCCGAAUCCUUCCCGAUGGCCGAAACUGCACUUCCUAUAUAUAAUUCUUCACCUCCGGACCAUUCCGGAACUCCUCGUGACGUUCGGGAUCUCAUCCGGGACUCCGAACAACUUUCGGGUUGCUACAUACUAAUAUCUCUACAACCCUAGCGUCACCGAACCUUAAGUGUGUAGACCCUACGGGUUCGGGAGACAUGCAGACAUGACCGAGACGCCUCUGCGGUCAAUAACCAACAGUGGGAUCUGGAUACCCAUGUUGGCUCCCACAUGCUCCUUGAUGAUCUCAUCGGAUGAACCACGAUGUCAAGGACUUAAUCAAUCCCGUAUUCAAUUCCCUUUGUCAAUCGGUACGUUACUUGCCCGAGACUCGAUCGUUGGUAUCCCAAUACCUUGUUCAGUCUCGUUACCGGCAAGUCACUUUACUCAUAUCAUAAUGCAUGAUCCCGUGAUCAACCACUUGAUCACAUUGAGCUCAUUAUGAUGAUGCAUUACCGAGUGGGCCCAGAGAUACCUCUCCGUCAUACGGAGUGACAAAUCCCAGUCUUGAUUCGUGCCAACCCAACAGACACUUUCGGAGAUACCUGUAAUGUACCUUUAUAAAAGACGUAUCAAUCGACAAGAUCAAAGAUUAUUUACUUCCAAGUGAAUAAAACUUCAAGACUACUCAGACCCCAACCGACUGCCAGCAUUCGACCGCAGUCUCGGGGACUACACCCAGUGGGUACACUUAGCGUGCCCCCACUGGUUCGGGUUCCACUCGGCUGGCCCGCCCAGACCAAGUAAAAAAAAGAAGUAUUCAGACCCCAAGCGACUGCCAGCAAUCGACCGUGGUCUCGGGGACUACACCCAGCGGGUGCACUUAGCAUGCCCCCACUGGUUUGGGUUCCGCUUGGCUGGUCCGCCCAGGCCGAGUAAAAAAACGGAGAAAGUAGUGCUCAGACCCCAACCGACUGCCAGCAGUCGACUGCGGUCUCGGGGACUACACCCAGUGGGUGCACUUAGCGUGCUCCCACUGGUCCAGAUCCCACUCUACCAGGCCGAGUGGAAGAGUGAAAAUAAUAAAGAUGACAAAACACCCACUGGGUGUAUAGUCUCGAAGUGCAAGAUAAUGAGGGAUUGCGCGAAGGAGAAUAUUCGGGUAGCAUAUCCUAAUAGAACAAGUUCAGUCGGAAGUCAACUUACCUGGACAUUGGCUCGAAGAGCCACACUGGCGUCAUAAGCAGCCUGACUGCUUUCGUGCACCGCCUUCACCCGCUCCAUCAUUAUGCCAGCCUGACGAAUGGCCUCUGCAGCGGCAUCCUACUGGCUUUCUGGAACAUGAUGAGUGGCAAAGAAGGGGACCGACGGUCCAGGCGCAGCGGCUUGGAGAUCCGAGGCAUGAAGUUGGAUGGUUGAAGCAAGCACUGGUGCAGUCGACGACGCAGGGCGCACACUCAACACUGGGUCAGCAAAGGUUAUAGAAACCUUACUCGCAUCUUCGAGCUGUUGAACUACUGGCUCUGCCGCCGGUUCCGACUGGGAUGUCUUGCCAGCUGUUGCCUUCUUCCUCCUGGGCCUUGGCGGCACGUCCUCGUCAUCAUACGGAAGUUCAAUGACAUUGGGAGGGGCUGCAAAGAAGUCAGUCAACCCUAGAUGAGUCGCCAGAAUCUAAUCAACCAUGUAAUCAAGAGCGAGAUCACGAGACUUGUGCCUGGGUUGGAGGCGACUGCAUCUUCCAUCUCAUCGUCUUCAUACUGGCGGGUGGAAGUCCCAGAGGUAGCGGCUCUGCAAAUUUCAAUAUUCAGUCGGUCAUGUUUGUUACACCGAGUCAACCAAAGAAUCAGGUCGGAUUAUUACCCAGAGAUAGUAGGAAUGACCAUUUUGAUCUUGGGCAAAGCCUUCGGAGGUUUGGAUGAUGCAACCUUCGGUGGUUUCGGCGCUGGAGGAGGUGCAACUUUAGAUUGCUUCAGUGUCCUCUCAGUCGGCACUAGAGAGGACGUCCGGGGACGCUUCGAAGACUGCCCAGUAGGUGCAGCCACCGUGUCAUGGAGGCUUUUCAGGUCGUGAGCGUGCUUGGACCUUUUUUCUCUGCGAGGAGGGGAGUCGACCUCUUCUUCGUCACUUGGGUCGCCGCUCUCCUCGCCCUCCUCCUCGUCCGAGUGCCACUCGCCGCUAUCGCCUCCGCUCACCUCCUCCUCCUAGUCCUGCUCCUGCUCUCCGUUGGGCAUUGAAUACAUCUCAGUGAGAGCCUGAAAGAUAACAAGCAAAGCAAAAAACAAGCAGUCAUCAACAGGCAGUUACAUGAUUAAUCAAAAAAGUACUCGGCAAUCCAGAGUCAGACCUGGUCUGGCUGGCGCGAAUGGUCGAAUGGAGCGACCCUCCUGGACCCCUUGGGGUUAUCUUUGUUGCCUGUGAUGCCUCUCAGCCACUUCUCCACCGUGUCCUCGUCGACCUCCUCCGGGUGGAUCGGAGUGGAAUCCUCAAUGCCCGAGUACAUCCACAUUGGAUGAUCACGAGCUUGGAGCGGCUGGAUGCGUCGUUUGAGGAAUACCUCCAGCAGAUCCAUACCAGUCACGUCGUCCCGGACGAGCUGGACCAACCGCUCGACCAACACCUUCACCUGAGCUCUCUCCUCUAGGAUCACUUUCAAUGCGAAGGGCUUCUCGACCCGAGCCAUGGAAAAAGCAGGGAGCCCGGUCGACUGACCUGGAGUCGGCUGGUCUUUGCAAUAAAACCAGGUUGACUACCAACCUCGGACCGACUCGGGAAGGAUCAUGGCUGGGAACGUGCUUUUACUUCUCAUCUGAAUCUCAAGACCCUCGCACAUUUGAAUCACGCACGUUCUCUCAUCACUCGGAUUGGCUUCUUGACCGACUGAGAACGACAAGUGAAAAUGUGCUUGAAAAGACCCCAGUGUGGCCUACAACCUAAGAAGUUCUCGCACAUGGACACAUAGGCGGCAAGAUAUACGACGGAGUUGGGAUUGAAGUGGUGAAGUUGUGCUCCAAAGAAAUUCAAGAAUCCCUGGAAAAAAGGAUGGGGAGGCAGAGAAAAUCCAUGGUCAACAUGAGUUGCGAGGAGAACGCACUCACCAUCUCGCGGAUGCGGUUCGGUCUCUCCUUCCCUGAGCCACGCCAAUUCAUGGGGAAUCAGCCCCCCUCGACUAGAUCAUCAAUGUUGUCUUGGCUGAUCGUCGACUGGAUCCAGUCUCCCUGGAUCCAGUCGCGCGGCAGGCCGGAUCUCGAUGAGGAUCUGCCCUGGUUGGACCUCUCCCCCUUCGCCUUCUCCGUCGCCUUCUUUGCACGCUCCAGGGCCACCGUCUUCUCCUUCCCCAUGGUCGCGGGCAAAGCUCGAACAAAGCAGCGGCACUGAGAGCGGAGAUGGGGAUGGCGGAGAGAGCAGAGGAGAAAGGAGGAGAAUGGGGAAGCGCUGUGCACAAAACCCAAUCUGGCACCUUAUAUAGGGCCGCUUCCGAGUGGCUGACCUGUCAGGCCGGAUGAUUCAAUCAAAUCCCACAACAGUUACGCGCGAGGUACAUGGCGAAAAAGGUGGCGCGGUGAUCAAGGCGGCCUCACCUGAUCCCACCCGAUUACUGCGGACUCCUCCGUCUCGCGCGCUUCCCCAAAUACAAAAUCCCACGAUAUCUGCGUGCAACAAAGAAACCUGUCAGGCGGAAGAUCUUUUCCAUAUCAGCACUCAGAGCAUUGCAGUAAAAGUUCACUCGGCAGAACCAAGAUUGGAUCAAGGCAACUGAGAAGAAAUUGGGAUCAUCUUAAUUGUUCGCUUGGUCACAAAUAAGACGCUCCCGAAGCACGAGAAUUGAAUCGGAGGAAUUCUCAACUCCUUCUCCACUCAAGCCCCGAACCAUUCGGGGGCUAAUGGUGAAGCUAUGUACCUAGGGUAGGGUCAUAGGCCUGACCUUGACGCCCUCCCCAAGGUCAUCCCCCUGAAGCCAGAGGCAUUUGAAGGGUACCAUCAUCCACUCGACCAGAGGCAUUCCACUCGGAAGAAUUAAUGACACUCGACUGUCACAGAAACCACUCGACGUAUAGAAGACCUAAAGCCACUAUACGCAACAACGGUCGAUCGUUUACUCAUAGACUUAAUUAUCAUUUAUAUCACUUAAUGCUAGCGUUACCAGUAAUGUUCCACUCUUAAUGUAUAUUGAACUCUGUGUAACGGAGGGGAGCUGGGGUCCUGGCGCACUCUAUAUAAGCCACCCCCUCCUCUGGGACAAGGGUUCGCAUCCUUUGUAAACACACACAUAUACACAAUCCAGUCGACUGCCUCCGGGCACCGAGACGUAGGGCUGUUACUUCCUCCGCGAAGGUCCUGAACUCGUAAACUCAUGUGUACAACUACUCCAUAUCUAGGAUCUUGCCUCCUCAUACCUACCCCCCAUUCUACUGUCAGUCUUAGAUCCACGACAGUACAUGUGUGAAUACAUAGACAAACAGAGUGUCACUAGUAUGCCUCUACUUGACAAGCUCGUUAAUCAAAGAUGGUUAAGUUUCCUAGCCAUGGACAAAAAGUUGUCAUUUGAUAAACGGGAUCACAUCAUUAGAGAAUGAUGUGAUUGACUUGACCCAUCCGUUAGCUUAGCAUGAUGAUCGUUUAGUUUACUGCUAUUGCUUUCUCCAUAACUUAUACAUGUUCCUAUGACUAUGAGAUUAUACAACUCCCGAAUACCGGAGGAACACUUAGUGUGAUAUCAAAUGUCACAAUGUAACUAGGUGACUAUAAAGAUGCUCUACAUGUGUCUCCGAUGGUGUUUGUUGAGUUGGCAUAGAUCGAGAUUAGGAUUUGUCACUCCGUGUAUCGAAGAGGUAGCUUUAGGCCCUCUCGGUAAUGCACAUCACUAUAAGCCUUGCAAGCAAUGUGGCUAAUGGGUUAGUUAUGGGAUGUUGCAUUACGAAACGAGUAAAGAGACUUGUCGGUAACGAGAUUGAACUAGGUAUUGAGAUACCAACGAUCGAAUCUCGGGCAAGUAACAUGCCGAUGACAAAGGGAACAACAUAAGUUGUUAUGCGGUUUGACCGAUAAAGAUCUUCGUAGAAUAUGUAGGAACCAAUAUGAGCAUCCAGGUUCCGCUAUUGGUUAUUGACCGAAGAUGAGUCUCGGUCAUGUCUACAUAGUUCUCGAACCCAUAGGGUCAGCACGCUUAACGUUCGGCAAUGAUCGGUAUUAUGAGUUGAUACGUCUCCAACGUAUCUAUAAUUUUUGAUUACUCCAUGCUAUAUUAGCUACUAUUUUGGACUAUGAUGGGCUUUAUUUUCCACUUUUAUAUUAUUUUUGGGACUAACCUAUUAAUCGGAGGCCCAACCCAGAAUUGCUAUUUUUUUGCCUAUUUCAGUAUUUCGGAGAAACAGAAUAUCAAACGGAGUCCAAACGGAAUAAAACCUUCGGGAACGUGAUUUUAUCACCGAACAUGAUCCAGGAGACUUGGGCCCUACUCCAAGGAGUCAAAGAGGCGGUCACGAGGGUGGGGGGCGCGCCCACACCCCUAGGGCGCGCCCCCUGCCUCGUGGGCCCCUCGGUGCUCCACCGACGUACUCCUUCCUCCUAUAUAUACCUACGUACCCCCAAACGAUCAGAACAGGAGACAAAAACCUAAUUCCACCGCCGCAACUUUCUAUAUCCACGAGAUCCCAUCUUGGGGCCUGUUCCAGAGCUCCGCCGGAGAGGGCCGUCAUCACGGAGGGCUUCUACAUCAUCAUAGCCCCUCCGAUGAAGUGUGAGUAGUUUACCGUAGACCUUCGGGUCCAUAGUUAGUAGCUAGAUGGCUUCUUCUCUCUUUUUGGAUCUCAAUACAAAGUUCUCCCCCUCUCUCGUGGAGAUCUAUUCGAUGUAAUCUUCUUUUUGCGGUGUGUUUGUUGAGACCGAUGAAUUGUGGGUUUAUGAUCAAGUCUAUCUAUGAAUAAUAUUUGAAUCUUCUCUGAAUUCUUUUAUGUAUGAUUAGUUAUCUUUGCAAGUCUCUUUGAAUUAUCAGUUUGGUUUGGCCUACUAGAUUGGUUUUUCUUGCCAUGGGAGAACUGCUUAGCUUUGGAUUCGAUCUUGGGGUGUCCUUUCCCAAUGAGAGAAGGGGCAGCAAGGCACGUAUUGUAUCGUUGCCAUCGAGGACAACAAGAUGGGGUUUAUUUCAUAUUGCAUGAAUUUAUCUCUCUACAUCAUGUCAUCUUGCUUAAAGCGUUAUACUUUUUUCUAACUUAAUACUCUAGAUGCAUGCUGGAUAGCGGUCGAUGAGUGGAGUAACAGUAGUAGAUGCAUAAUUGUUUCGGUCUACUUGUCACGGACGUGAUGCCUAUAUACAUGAUCAUGCCUAGAUAUUAUCAUAACUAUGCUCAAUUCUGCCAAUUGCUCAACAGUAAUUUGUUCACCCACCAUAGAAUACUUAUGCUCUUGAGGGAAGCCACUAGUGAAAUCUAUGGCCCCCGGGUCUAUUCUCAUCAUAUCAAUCUCCAUCACUUUAAUCUUGCUUUGCUUUUUUACUUUGCCUUUUACUUUUCACUUUGCAUCUCUAUACCAAAAAUACCAAAAAUAUUAUAUCUAUCAGAUCUCACUCUCGUAAGUGACGGUGAAGGGAUUGACAACCCCUAAUUGCGUUGGUUGCGAGUAGCUAUCGUUUUGUGCAGGUACGAGGGAGUUGAGCGUGGCCUCCUACUGGAUUGAUACCUUGGUUCUCAAAAACUGAGGGAAAUACUUACGCUACUCUGCUGCAUCAUCCUUUCCUCUUCGGGGAAAUCCAACGCAAGCUCAAGAGGUAGCAAGAAGAAUUUUUGGCACCAUUGCCGGGGAGUCUACGCAAAAAGUCAACAUACCAAGUGUUGAGGAUAUAACUAUUUGAGUAAACCGACUGUGAGGGGUCGGGCUAUGUAAAGAAGACUCAUCAUGAAAGAAGCCCAAGACCCAGCAUAAGGAUGGCGGUUCAUAGGGCUUAAAGCCCGUAGUGACAAACCGCCAUGAUGGCAUGACUUGUAACAUAAGGUAAAGGUAACUAGUCACCGAGCCGGACACUGUUUAUGAGCCGGCCAGGACUCUGUAGGCCGCAGGGCGUCAACCCGUGUAUAUAAGGGGACGACCCGCCGGUGGCUUAAGGGCAAGAAACAACCAAUCGAGAACCGGGAAUAGCGUAUCUCGCUCCCUGGCCAUCGAAACCUCAAGCAAUACAAACCUAACUAGACGUAGGCCUUCCUUCGUCAUAAGGGGCUGAACUAGUAUAAACCUCGCAUGUCCUUUGUCCCGAUUAACCCCUUUAAGCUUCCUAGUUGCGAUGGCUCCAUGAUCAAGUCCUUGCAAGAGGACAUCUGCCGUGACAAUUCCAUGACAGUUGGCGCCCACCGUGGGGCCAGCGCACGGUGGAUUUGAGUUCUUGAAGGGCAGCUUCAAAGGGCUCAAGGGAUACGCAGUUGGCCGGAUGACCAAGAGUCGUCGCGGCAAGAUCUACAUCAACGACGAAGGCUGGGGCCCCGACGCUGGCUCAAUUGAGUACGGCUACCGGGUCCCCUUUGGCGGAAUUCACGUCUUCAUCGGUUGGAUUGGUGAGCCGGGCCCUGAGCCGGACAGCUGCACCGACCUCGUCGAGACGGCUCAGCGUGUGAAACCUGCCCGAGCUGAACCCGUCGUGAAGCGUGCCUUUGUGGAUUGCAUCCAUGGAGGUGAACUUCCUAAAGGAUCUGAAGGUGAUGGUGAGCCGGCCGUCCUCUCUGACGAUGAUUCAUCCGCCGGCUCAACAGAUUCGAUGUAUCAAGUUCAAGAUGGCGUGCUUGGGGGCUGUUCCGAUGGCAGCACUAUUCUGGACCUCUCAGAGUCGCCAAACCGGGCAGGAGUCUUCAUGGCUGGUACUCAACCCGGCCAAAAUUCUACGGCUUCAACGGCGAUAACGUCCGGGUUAGGAGUAGCCGGGGCAGGAGGCCUCGUGCGCUCACCGGCUCAGGUGCUGAUGGAUCUCAUGGAUAAGCUUACGGCUUUGUUAACUGUUACAGUCAUCCCUGCGUACCAAUCUGAGCACGAGGCUGAGGUGGCACAGGUUCGCGACGAGAUCGCCCGGGUCAAGGAAACCUUAGCAGCUAAGGACGCUAGAUUAGCAGCAGAGCGUGCGGCUUUGGACGUACGAGCGCAGCAACUUCAGGCAGAGGCCUUGGAGCUCACGUUGAGCCUAAACGCAUCUAAUGAGGUAAUGAGGAGGAGACAUCAGAAGACUCAGUCCCGUUUACCUCUUUGCUACACCCGGGGCCGGCCCAAGUAACCCGCCAGGUGCGAAUCAGCUUAUUACAUCCGGAGCGGGAGGUCCAGUCCGGCCUCAGGGGAUGGCACCGCCUCAUGGCAAUAUGGCACCGCCCAAUUACGUACCAGUACUGCAGGGUCACUUCUCCAUCCCCAUGGAGAACUUAAUUGCAGCAUCAGCAUGUUUGGCAGCCCUCCCAGUAGAUGGGGAUGAUCCGAUAGCGGUGGAAACCCGGAAGAUCAGAGAACUUGUUCAAACAGCCCUGGCUCAGCAAGAGACCUACUCCUACAGCCGGGAUAGGAUUCACUCGACUCCUCCACCCUGGUUAGCCCCGCUUCGUCAAAACCGGAGCCCGAGUUACAGUAGACACAUGGAGUCAGAGGCUUUGUCAAGUAACACUCAGCGCCGGAACUAGCCCGGCGGGUAUAACCCGGUUCAAGAUUGGAUACGUCGGGAGGACGAGCGGGCGACUCAGCUAGCGGCUCAGCUAGCAGCCCAACAUAACUCACCGGCUUACCCAACGGUUUCCGUGGAGGUGGGAGUGGCUACUAGAACCGGAGGAGUUCCUUGUCUGGUACCGGCUCUACGUAAUGUACGUCUGCCCAAGGAUUUCAAGGGACCUCGGAAGGUGCCAAAUUAUACGGCCGAUUUAUAGCCUGGGGCGUGGAUUGAAAGUUACGAGAUGGCUACGGAGCUGCUGGAGGUGAGUGAUGAAGCGAUGGCUAAAUAUUUCACCAUGAUGUUGGAUGGAACGGUCCGUUCUUGGUUAAAGGGUUUGCCACCCAACUCCAUUAGUUCAUGGGCAGAGUUAAAGGCCCGUUUCAUCUAGAACUUCAAGGAUACUUGCAAGCAGUCUAUGUCAAUUGUGGAUCUGACAAAUUGUAAACAGGAAGAAGGUGAAUCUACGACUCAUUGGGUGCGCCGGGUCAAGGAUAUAAUACAUUCGUCUGACAAGAUGGAUGCCGGCUCAGCAGUUCUCAUGCUGGAGAAGAAUUGCCGCUUUGAGCCUCUGAGACAAAAGCUGGGGCGCCUUAAGCGUGGUUGCAACGAUAUGGGGACGCUGAUGGCGGCUUUAGUCAAGUAUGCCGAUUCUGAUAGUACCAAGGAUCCCGCGUCUGAUGAGGAAAAGGCAGGGAAGGGAAAGAAGAAGGGUAAUGGAAAGGGUCAGCAGCAUAACCCGGCAAGUCAAGGAGGCAAUAAGCGUAAGGCGGACGGUAACCCGGAAUUUGUGGCCAAUGCACAGGGUAAUAACCAGAAGCGCAAAGGGAAGCCACCCCGGUUUGGUGGGUCAGGUCCGUCUCUUGAGCAAUUACUCAAUGAGCCCUGCCCGAAACACGGCACCCGGGAACGACCAGCGACUCAUUUGUGCAAGGAUUGCGCAAUCAUGAAGGCUUUCAAGAAUUCUAAUACGUUUGAUGGCAAUCAAGGCCCAGGCGGCGGCUCAGGAGCCGGCGGCUUUCAUGGCCCGGGCGGUGGUUCAGGAUCCGGUUUUCAGGGAAACCAGAGUGGUUAUAAUCAACAGCAGUCUGGUCAGGGAGGUCAGCAGCAGCAACAGUCAGGUUAUUAGAGCCAUCCAAAACAGUUAGACAGUGGGCAGUAUCACGUGUUCACCACAAGUUUGUGUAAACGUGAUCAGAAAGUUCAUAAGAGGGCUAUGAAUUCUGUUGAACCGGCAGUCCCGCGUUACUUGAGGUGGUCGAAAUAGCCUAUUGUCUGGAGCAGGGAGGAUCACCCUCCCCGGGUUGAUAAUCCGAGUCAACUGGCCCUAGUGGUGGCACCACAGGUUGGUGGUUAUAAAUUUACUAAGGUACUCAUGGAUGGAGGUAGCAGCAUCAACAUCCUCUAUUACGAGACCUUUCGGCGCAUGGGCUUAACUGACAAGAAUUUAAAGACUUCCAACACCGUCUUCCAUGGAGUAGUGCCCGGUAAGUCGGCGUAUCCUGUGGGUAAGAUUGAGCUAGAGGUGGCCUUCGGAGACGAACAUGAUUCUAGGGCGGAAAAAUUAACUUUUGAAGUGGUCAAAAUCAAGAGUCUGUAUCACGCUUUGUUCGGGCAGCCAGCCUAUGCCAAGUUCAUGGCACGGCCGUGCUAUGUUUAUCUACAGCAAAAGAUGCCGGGUUACAAGGGUACCAUCACUAUGCAUGGAAGCCGAAAGGUGGCCCUGGAGUGUGAAGAAGGCGAUGCGGCUUACGCCGAGUCUGUCUAUGCAGCAGAGGAGCUCAAAUUUUAUCAAGAUAACGUUGACCCGGCAGAUAUGACUUCUCUCAAGAAGCCGACUACGGAGCAUGACACGGCCAUGAAGUUUAAAUCGGCUGCAGAGACUAAGCUUGUUGAUUUUACUCUGGGCGAUUCUUCUAAGUAAUUCAGCAUCAGUGCCAACUUGGAUCCUAAAUAGGAAAGCGCGCUCAUCGAGUUCAUCCGUGAGAACCGGGACAUCUUUGCAUGGAAACCUUCUGACAUGCCGGGUGUACCGAGAGGACUCGCUGAGCACACUCUUAAUAUUGAUCCAAAGUAUAAGCCGGUCAGGCAGUUUCUGCGGUGAUUCAAUGAAGAGCGACAAAAAGCUAUAGGAGAAGAGGUCGCCCGACUCUUGGCGGCUGGGUUUAUUGUCGAAGUUUUUCACCCGGAGUGGUUGGCUAACCCGAUGCUCGUACUCAAGAAAAACGGCACCUGGCGGAUGUGUGUGGAUUACACGGAUUUAAAUAAGGCUUGUCCGGCUGAUCCUUUUGCUCUCCCCCGUAUUGAUCAAAUCAUUGAUGCUACAGCAGGUUGUGCGCGUUUGAGCUUUUUGGACGCUUAUUCUGGUUAUCAUCAGAUCAAGAUGGCAGUUAAGGACUAGGAUAAGACGGCUUUCAUCACCCCGUUUGGAUCCUUUUGCUAUGUGUCUAUGCCUUUUGGGCUCAAGAGUGCCCAGGCAACUUAUCAACGGUGUGUACAGAAUUGUCUCCACAAUCAGAUUGGGCGCAAUGUUCAUGCUUAUGUGGAUGACAUACUGGUGAAAUCCAGAGAGGCGAAAACCUUGAUAUCUGAUCUCAGAGAGACCUUUGACAAUCUCCGGGUCUACAAAAUGAUGCUUAACCCGGAGAAGUGUGUAUUUGGUGUGCCUGCAGGCAAGCUUUUGGGAUUCUUGGUCUCAAACAGGGGCAUCGAGGCUAAUCUAGAGAAGAUUAAGGCAAUCACUUCUUUGGCUAAACCGGCAUGUAUUAAUGAUGUUCAGCGAUUGGCGGGUCGUGUUGCCGCUUUAAGCCGGUUUAUAAGUCGGUUAGGUGAGAAGGCCCUACCGCUGUACCAAUUGAUGAAGAAGGCAGACACCUUUGUCUGGAGUGAUGCUGCUAAUGCUGCUUUUGAGGAUUUGAAGAGGCAGUUAUCUGAGCCACCAGUUCUUGCGGCUCCGAUUGACAAGGAACCUUUGCUAUUAUAUGUGGCUGCUAACUCACGAGUCGUUAGUGUGGCAAUUGUGGUAGAACGCAAGGAGGCCGGUAAGGAACAUCCGGUUCAACGGCCGGUUUAUUAUGUCAGUGAGGUACUCAUCGAGUCAAAACAAAGAUAUCCUCAUUGGCAGAAACUUGUUUACGGGGUGUUCAUGGCAAGCCGGAAGCUGAAGCACUACUUCCAAGGUCACCCUAUCAUUGUGGUAAGUUCUGCCCCCUUGGGAGACAUCAUUCAGAACAGAGAGGCUACGGGACGGGUCGCUAAAUGGGCCAUCGAGCUCGGACCUCAUGAUCUGAAGUACUGUUAGACUGUAUUUACAUGUGUAUAUUGUAACGUUGUAUACCACCUCAUUAUAUAUAUAUGUGAUAGGCCACCCCUAGAGGGUUGUGCCGGUUUCCCCCAAAGCCUAUUGUCUUACAUGGUAUCACGCUAGGUUACGUCCGCUUCCGCCUAAAAACCCUAAACCGCCGCUGCCGCCACCGCCGCCGCCGCCGCGCCCGCCGUCGCUGUCGCCCGACUGCUAUGACGUUCGCCGCUGCGUCCGGCUCCACCGCCACCGGUUUUCUACCGGCCUCCCUCGCGGCACUUCUCUCGAGGCCGCUGGAUGCCGCCUCCCUUCAGGCGCCGAUCGGGACACGGAGCGUCGGCUCCCUCUUCGCGCUCCCGCCGGCUGCUACUUCGCCCGGGCAGGCGCUUGUGGCCCCCACCGCCGCCGCCCCGUCAACCGCGGCUGUCGCGCCCUCGGCCACUGCGCCGUUGGUGGCGGAGGAUGUCGCGCUGGCAGGCUUCGCGGCGUCAACCGCGGCCAUCGCGCCCUCUGUCACCGCGCCGGCUGCCCCUCUGACUGUCUCCACGGUGGUCUCACCUCAGCCAGUCUCCUCGAUGGGAUCGCAGCCGCCGCCGCCGUUUCACUUCGGCCAUCUCAUCACCAUCAAGUUGUCGUCGGACAAUUACAUCUUCUGGCGCGCGCAGGUUCUUCCGCUUCUUGGGAGUCACUAUCUGCUUGGCUAUGUCGACGGCUCUCUCCCUUGCCCUCCUGCGCUGGUUGACAGCGUGCACGGUCCGGUCUAUAAUCCGGCUCACCGUGUCUGGACAGGGCAGGAUCAGGCGAACCUCUCCUCCAUCCAGGGGUCGCUCUCUCCGGCCGUUGCUGGGCUUGUUGUCUUCGCCAAGACGUCCCACGAGGCAUGGACUAUUCUUGAGCGCUCGUUUGCGGCACAGUCGCAGGCUCGUGUAUCUGGGCUCCGUCGCCAACUUGGGGAGUGUCAGAAGCUUGACUCCACCGCCACUGAGUUCUACAACAAAGUCAAGAGUCUCGCCGACACGCUGGCCUCCAUUGGACAGCCCCUCACCGACUCUGAGUUCAACUCGUUUAUUGUCAAUGGUCUUGAUGAGGAGUAUGACGCCCUAGUCGAGAUCAUCAAUGAGAGGGGCAACUCCACGCCCAUGCCAGCACACGAGGUCUUUUCACGCCUCCUGCUUACUGAGCAACGAGUCGAGACGCGCCGAUCCAGGGGCAACGGCGCCCUCUCAGCAAACGCCGCCACCAAGGGUGGUCGCUCCUCUGCUUCAUCCAGGGCUCCUUCGGGGCAGUCACCACCACCCGCCUCGGCCCCUCCUCCUACUGCGACGCUACCGGGGGCUGGCGGUCCACGUGUGUGCCAGCUUUGUGGUCGUGAUGGGCACUGGGCCUCGAAGUGUCACAAGCGCUUCCAGCGGGGUUUUCUUGGUCUCGGCAAUGACGGGAAGGAUACACGCAACUUUGCUCGUCAGGUCGCCAUGGCUGAUCGUCCGCCACCGCAGAAGCCACAGGGACACACUCAGUCCUACUCCAUUGAUCCCCACUGGUACAUGGACUCUGGGGCGACAGAGCACCUGACCAGUGAGAUGGGGAAACUUCACACUCGUGAACCCUACCAUGGCUCCGACAAGAUCCACACCGCCAAUGGAGCAGGUAUGCACAUCUCUCAUAUUGGUCAAGCAUCACUUCUCACUAGACAUGCAAAUAGGAGUCUUCAACUUCGCAAUGUUCUUCGAGUUCCAUCUGUGACACGUAAUCUUCUUUCAGUUCCUAAACUCACUCGUGAUAAUAAUGUGCUUUGUGAAUUUCAUCCUUUUGAUCUUUUUAUUAAGGAUCGGGGCACGAGGGACAUUCUUCUUAGUGGGCGGCUCUGCCAAGGUCUCUAUAGUCUGGAGCAUCCUGGCGUCGCUCGCGUCUUCAGUGGAGUUCGGGUAUCUCCGUCACAGUGGCAUGCUCGUCUUGGUCACCCGGCCACACCUAUUGUCCGGCAUGUUUUGCGUCGUCAUGAGCUUCCUAGUGUGUCUAGUAAUAAAGAUGUAGCAGUGUGUGAUGCUUGUCAGCAGGGGAAGAGUCAUCAACUUCCUUUUUCGGAGUCCAGUCGUGAGGUGAAACAUCCUUUAGAACUUGUGUUUUCAGAUGUAUGGGGUCCUGCUCAGACUUCUGUUAGUGGUCAUAAUUACUAUAUCAGUUUUGUUGAUGCUUACAGCCGCUUUACCUGGCUUUAUCUUAUCAAACGUAAAUCUGAUGUGUUUGACAUUUUUGUUCAGUUCCAAAAACAUGUUGAACGCCUUCUCAAGCACAAAAUUGUUCAUGUUCAGUCGGACUGGGGUGGCGAGUAUCGCAACCUCAACUCCUUCUUUCAGUCGCUUGGGAUCACUCACCGUUUAGCAUGUCCACAUACACAUCAGCAGAAUGGUUCAGUAGAACGUAAGCAUCGUCACAUUGUUGAAGCUGGUCUGACUCUUUUGGCCCAUGCAUCUGUUCCGUUUCAUUUUUGGAGUGAUGCUUUCACCACUGCAUGUUUUCUCAUCAAUCGUACUCCCACUCGUGUUUUGAAUAUGAAGACUCCCAUUGAAGUUCUCCUUAAUGAACAACCGGACUACACCUUUCUCAAGGUGUUUGGGUGUGCUUGCUGGCCUCAUCUCCGUCCAUAUAACAAGCGUAAGCUCGAGUUUCGUUCCAAGAAGUGUGUUUUCUUGGUUAUAGCUCUCUUCAUAAAGGGUACAAAUGUCUUCAUGUGCCCACUAAUCGUGUCUACAUCUCUCAGGAUGUUGUGUUUGAUGAGCAUGUUUUUCCCUUUGCCAAACUCCCUGUGUCCACUACCGAGCCACCUGUCAUGCAUUCAUCCUCUGUUGCUUCUGACCAAUUUGAUGAUGUUGCAUAUUCUCCUCUAUUGUUGCCUAACCAUGGUGCAAGCACUGGUCGUGGGGCUCGUUUGGAGAUUCUGGAAGUGCCAUCUUCCUCUUCGUCGCCAUUGCCUUCAUCCUCGGCACCUUCUGUUGUGCAUGAGGAGCACAUGGCGCCCCUGCAUGGCCUCGGUUUCCGUGCUCAUGCACGGCCGAUCGACGUCCUGGCCCGGUCGCCUCUGGCUUCUGGGCUGCCUUCGCCAUCGUCGCACCCUGCAACCCCGCCGACUGGGCCGGCCUCCUCGGUCCCCGUCUCGCCCAGGGCGUCGGGGCAGUCAUCACCAGGCCUGGCCUCGCCCGCCCCUGCCUCGCCCAGGGUGUCUGGGCCCUUCUCACCAGGGCCGGCCUCGCCUGCUCUCGCCUCGCCAAGGCCGUCUGGGCCGGUGUCACCGGAGCUGGCCUCGCCCACUCUCGGUUCGCCCAUGGCCUUUGAGCCCCUGUCGUCGGGCCAGUCUUUGCCAUGCAGCCCGGAGUCGUCUGUCCCGAGCUCGCCUGAGGUGAUUCCUGCAUCUCCGGCGACCGUCACGUCUCCGUCACCUUCGCCUCUGUCGGCUCCUGCUGCUGCUCUACGUCCACAUACGCGCAGUCGGAGUGGCAUUUUUCAGCCUAAGCAACGUCACGAUGGCACAGUUGCUUGGUUAGCGGCAUGCAUGUCUGCUGCUCUCGCAGAUCCAUCCUCUGAGCCACGCACGUAUCAAGCUGCUAUCCGCAUUCCUCAUUGGAGAGAGGCCAUGGAGCAGGAGUAUCAAGCGCUUCUUCGCAAUCAGACAUGGACUCUUGUUCCUCCACAAUCACGGGUAAAUGUCAUUGAUUCCAAAUGGGUUUUCAAAGUGAAGAGGCAUUCUGAUGGGUCCAUUGAGCGCUAUAAGGCUCGUCUGGUUGCUCGUGGUUUUCGACAGCGUUUUGGACUUGACUAUGAAGACACCUUCAGUCCAGUGGUCAAGCCUACUACCAUCAGACUUCUUCUCUCUCUGGCUGUUACUCGAGGUUGGUUUCUUCGUCAGCUUGAUGUUCAAAAUGCUUUUCUUCAUGGUGUCUUGGCGGAGGAGGUUUACAUGCGCCAGCCUCCAGGUUUCUCUGAUCCGGAUCGCCCUGAUCAUCUCUGUCGUCUGUCCAAGGCAAUUUAUGGUCUGAAGCAGGCUCCUCGUGCUUGGCAUGCUCGUCUUGCACUGGCUCUUCGUGCUCAUGGUUUUGCAUCAUCAACUGCUGACUCUUCAUUGUUUCUUCUUCAAAGGCCUGAGGUUACUAUGUACUUGUUGGUCUAUGUAGAUGAUAUCAUUUUGGUCAGCUCCUCUCAGUCGGCUGCUACUGCGCUUGUUCGCUCACUUGGUGCUGAUUUUGCGGUCAAGGACCUUGGGAAGCUUCAUUACUUUCUUGGUGUGGAGGUUACUUCUCGUGAUGCUGGCCUUGUUAUGACGCAGAAGAAGUACUCUCUGGAUUUGUUGCAGCGAGCUGGGAUGCUUAAGUGCAAACCGACGACUACACCUAUGUCUACCACUGAUAAGCUCAAUGCUGUUGAUGGUGUGCUUCUUUCUUCUUCUGAUGCGACAGAGUACAGGAGUAUUGUUGGUGGGCUCCAGUACUUGACGAUCACGCGACCAAACAUUUCCUAUGCUGUUAACCGAGUCUGCCAGUAUCUGCAGUCACCCCGUGACACUCAUUGGUCUGCUGUUAAGCGGAUUUUGCACUAUAUUCGUUUCACGGUGGCUCAUGGUUUGCAUAUUCGGCCGUCUGACUCUGGUUGUCUUUCAGCAUAUUCUGAUGCAGACUGGGCUGGCAAUCCGGAUGACAGGCGAUCCACGGGGGGUUAUGCUGUCUUCUUUGGCUCUAACCUGAUUGCCUGGAGUGCUCGGAAACAGGCUACUGUCUCGCGUAGCAGUACUGAGGCUGAGUAUAAGGCUGUGGCCAAUGCCACAUCAGAGAUCAUCUGGGUACAGUCCUUGCUUCAGGAGUUAAGUAUACCCCAAUCACAGCCUCCUGUUCUUUGGUGUGAUAACAUCGGUGCUACAUACCUUUCUGCAAAUUCGGUAUUCCAUGCCCGAACGAAACACAUUGAAGUUGACUAUCACUUUGUGCGUGAACGUGUCUCUCAGAAGCAACUACAGAUCAAGUUUAUUUCUUCCAAGGAUCAACUUGCUGACAUCUUCACCAAGCCAUUGCCUUUGCCACAGUUUGAGACUUGCAGGCGCAAUCUUAACCUUCUAGAUUCAUUAGAAAGUGGCUAAGAUUGAGGGAGGGUGUUAGACUGUAUUUACAUGUGUAUAUUGUAACAUUGUAUACCACCUCAUUAUAUAUAUGUGAUAGGCCACCCCUAGAGGGUUGUGCCGGUUUCCCCCAAAGCCUAUUGUCUUACAGUGCCGCGUACUGCCAUUAAGUCUCAAGCUUUGGUGGAUUUCAUCAACGACUGGACAGAGCUACAGGCACCUGAGGAGAAUCCCAAUAAUACUUAUUGGAUUAUUCACUUUGAUGGGUCCAGACAGUUGGAAGGCUCGGGGCUAGAGUUGUAUUAACUUCCCCUCGAGGUGACAAAUUUUGUUAUGUGCUCCGGCUUAUGUUUCCUUGCACUAACAAUGCAGCUGAGUAUGAGGCCCUGCUCCAUGGUCUCCGGAUGGCUAAAGAGAUGAACUUGAGCCGGGUGAGAUGCUUAGGAGACUCAGACCUUGUGGCCCAAUAGGUGUCAGGCAAGUGGGAUUCUAGAGAUCCCCUCAUGGUGGCUUACCGUCGUGAAGUCGAUGAUGUGGCUAGGCAUUUCAAGGGUUAUGUAGUGGAACACAUUGAUCGAAGGAAGAAUGAAGCGGCUGAUGCCUUAAGCCGACUGGGGUCUCAGCGUAAGCCGGUGCCGCCUAACACCUUUCUUGAUAUUUUGCAUAAUCCUUCUGUUAAGUUACCUACAGAGGAAGAUCUGGCAAUACCAGACCCGGAGGCACAGCUGGUGGCGGCUCUCCACGUUAUCCCGGAUUGGACAGUGCCUUAUUUGGCUUACAUGACCCGGGGAGAAUUGCCUGAAGAUGAGAACUUGGAAAGACAAAUCGUCCGGCGGUCCAAGUCCAUGACAAUUGUCAAUGGCGAGUUACAUCAUUACAGCGUCACUGGAGCGAUUCAACGUUGCGUGUCACCUACAGAGGGUCAGGAGAUCCUUCGUGAGAUUCAUGAAGGCGAUUGUGGUCAUCAUGCCGGCUCAAAAUCUCUCGUGGACAAAGCUUUCCGUCACGGGUUUUAUUGGCUGACGGCUCAUGCUGAUGCGGAAGACCUGGUCAGUAAAUGUGACGGAUGUCAGAAAUUCUCACGACGAGCCCAUGUGCCGGCUCAAGAAUUGAGGAUGAUUCCAAUUACCUGGCCAUUUGCAGUCUGGGGGCUUGAUAUGGUCGGGCCUUUCAAAAGCUCUAAGGAUAAAAAGACUCACCUCUUGGUGGCGGUUGACAAGUUCACAAAGUGGGUGGAGGCGGAGCCACUCAGUAAGUGUGAUGCAGCCACGGCGGUCCGAUUUAUGAAAAAGGUGAUUUUUCGCUUUGGUUUUCCACAUAGCAUCAUUACUGAUAAUGGCACUAACCUUUCCAAAGGAGCUAUGGAAGAGUUCUGUCAACGAGAGCAUAUCCGGCUUGAUGUUUCAGCUGUGGCUCACCCUUAAUCAAAUGGUCAAGCGGAACGAGCUAAUCAAGAAAUCUUGAAGGGUAUCAAGCCCCGGCUCUUGGUCCCCUUACAGCGGACACCGGGUUGUUGGGUGGAGGAGUUACCUUCUGUACUCUGGAGCAUCAAUACUACACCUAACAGAUCUAUGGGUUACACACCUUUCUUUAUGGUGUAUGGAGCAGAGGCGGUCCUGCCAAGUGACAUCCGACACGACUCACCCCGUGUGGCGGCUUAUGUCGAGGAAGACAAUGAAAAAGCUCGGCAAGAUGCACUUGACCUAUUGGAUGAAGAGCGAGACUUGGCAAUAGCCCACUCGGCGAUUUACCAGCAAGACCUGCGCCGUUACCACAGCCGCCGGGUUAAGUCCAGAACCUUUCAAGAAGGCGACUUAGUGCUCCGACUCAUCCAGGAUCAGUCUGAUAUGCACAAGCUAUCCCCUCCUUGGGAAGGACCCUUUGUGGUCAGCAAGAAUCUGAACAAUGGAUCAUACUACCUUAUCGACGUUCGGGAACACAAAGACUCACGUAAGUCGGAGGAGGAGACCCGUCGGCCGUGGAAUAUCGCUCAUCUUUGGCCUUAUUAUACUUGAGCCAUCGGCUCUAAUGUGUAUAUACUUAUACUAUGUAUACUAUAUAAAGCAAUAAAGCAGGACCUCUGUCCUUUUUUUCCACUCUCAAAGAGGUUUUAUGUGUUUUCCUUGACAGGUGGUGGAGAUGACCAAGGAGAAGCAGAUCAUAUCUGAAUCCGGCUUUCCUUUGGUCCGGCUUAUGAUCAUAUCUGAAUCUAGCCGUGAUCACUUGGGGGCUUCCUAUUCAAACAUAGGUCGUAUUCGAACCAAAGAGAACAUAGCUGUCAAUACCCACUUGAUCGGCAUAUUGCCAAACCCACUUGGGGGCUUCUUGAUCAUAUCUGAAUCAUAGCUUAACUCCUUUUGGGUCUGACGUGGAUCGUAUUCGAAUCAGCGUCAUUAAACAACUCUUAUGGUCACUUGGGGGCUUCCUGUUCAAACAUAGGUCGUAUUCGAACCAAAGAGAACAUAGUUGUCGAUACCCACUUGAUCGGCAUCGCCACAGCCACUGGGGGCUAACAGAUCGUAUCCGAAUCUUAGCUCAACCCCUUUGGAACGGGUCACUGAUCGUAUUCGAAUCAGAAACCCUUGAAUUUUGUUCAUCAUAUUUUGCAAGUGCCAAACAUUAGAUAUCUUGUGAUCCUCUUGAAGGAGUUAAGUUUACCCUCAGGGGUUGGUUUAUAUAAGCCGGGAAAUCAGUUGUAAUCAUCACAGGGCAAUGCAAGGUAUUUUUGCAAAGGACAUAACAGAUUCAUACAAACUACAAAGAGAAUAAUGGCGGCGGCUUAUGCAAGUAUUAAGGGCCAUAAGCAUGCGCAAAGGCAUAGCAAAACUCAAGGUAUCUUCUACUUUGUUACAAGACUCCCCGAGUCUGAAUGAUGCGGCAUUGUUUUCUACGAUGACAUAAGCAGGUGGCGCCUGACAAGCUACUCUUGGGGUUGACUGGAAGCCUCCGGGUUAUCCUUCUCCGUCUCUCCGCCGGCUGCUUUGUCCUGGAAGGAUGAUGAGGCCCAGUCAAUGCCACUCAAGGCUUCAAACUCAGCUUCAUCAUCUAUUAAACCGGUUGGGUCGACUUCAGGAGCAAAGGUGUGCUUACGGGUUGGAGGGAUCAAGCUGACAUCGUCAUAAUGCGGCAUGGGGAUUCUCCGAUUCUCCUUGUCAUAACCCGGCUGACACUUGGUGAGGUCAGUAUCGUUCCCAAUAAGAGUAGCCACCGGACGUAUAUCCUUCACACAGGCGGUGAAAUCCUUAUCAUUAAACACGGUGCCAUCUUCCUUUAAACUUGGAUACCCAAGAGCAAUAUCAGCGGGGUCUAGUUCUGGAAGCCACGCCUUGGCCCGGCUCAAUGCGGCUAUAGCUCCAGCUCUUGCAGAUGCUCGUCUUAACUCUUGGAUUCGCUGAGGUAGCACAGCAAGCCGCUUCAGCACAUCUUGCAGGAGAUAGGGAACAUCAUUUGAUAAAGCCACAAUGGCCAGAGCACGUUGUGACCCGGUGUAGAGUUGUUCCACCAGAGUAUAAACCGCCUUCAGCUUGAUCACCAUGUUCUGUUUAAGAUUUGUGCUCCUGGGGCCUGCGUUAUUAAGCAUAAGGUGAGUUAGAGGAGACAACUGAAAUGGUCAUUCAAGUAGUUUUGCAGUGUUUAAGGUUUGAGUAAGUCACUCACCAAAGAUUGCUGAAACCAUUCGAGAUAUCUGGCGUUUUAAGUCGGACAGUUCGUCCGUUGCUUCCGCAAUCGAUGCCUCUGCUGUCUCGGCCCGGGUCACCAGUGCGGCCUUUUCAUCAGCCCAAAUUUUCUUCUUCGAUUCAAAAUUUUGCUUCAACUUCUCUUGUUAAGAGACGCUGAAUUCAAAUUUGGAGUUGGCCUUUUCAAUUUCACUUUCCUGGGUUGCCAGGCGAUUCUUCAAAUCAGCAAUCUCCGAUUCAAAUUUACUUAUGGUGGCCUGCAUUGCACCGGAUAGUAGUCAAAGUUACGGUAAGUACUAUUAAGUCCCAAGCACUUUGCAAGCAAAGAUACUUGACACUUGGGGGUCAGCCUGUGCAUUCGGUUUUUUCGGUUUGAUUCGGUUCGGUUUAUACGGUUUUCGGUUUUAUACGGUUUUUAUACUUCGGUUUAUACGGUUUUAUACAAAAUACGGUUCGGUUUAAGUAAUAACCAUUUAGUUUCGGUUUGGUUUCGGUAAUAACCAAAAUAACCAAAGUUGACGCGAUUUUGAAUUACAUAUUUUUUCUCAAAAGAAAAUUGGUGUUGUCUCCAAAUAACCAUUUAGUACUAGGCUACUAUUACCACCAGGGACGUACAUGCAUUUAGAGCUAAAGCUAGCCUACAUGCGUACCUUAUGUUAACCCAUUAAGAUUUAAGAGUAAAGACCAUUGACUUUUCAAGCUGACAUGACGUGAUGAUUAUAGUGCACAAGAUCGCCUACAUGCAUACCUGCACUAAGACUUAAAUUUCUCAAAAAAGGAGACCUGAAUUGACAUUUUUCUAGGCAAACCUGAAUUGACAUGCAAGAGGCAAGAGCCCAUGUCCCAUCACAAAAGCAAGCCCACGUGCACAGAAUUAACUAUGAAGCCCACUCAGCCCGCCAGCCCAACACAUGAAAUCUCCACUGUCUGUCGUUGUUGCGUGGUGGUGAGUUCCCAUGAGAAUAGUCCCACCUCGCCAGUUGAGGCAGCACGUAGCCGGCUAGCUGGUUAUAUAAUGGAGCAGCCUUGCAGUAGAAAAACGCACACAACUCUGCGCCUCUCUCUGUUGGCCCUUGCGUGCACAUUUUUUCUAGUUCGGUUAAUUCGGUUAAACCGAUUGGUUUUCGGUUUUUAACUGAAAAAACCGAGGAUCAAAUGGUUUCUAAAUUUCAAAACUGAAACUGAAACCGAAAACUGAAAAAACCGAAAUUUGGUUUCAGUUUGGUUUUUUUGGUUCGGUUUUUGGUUUUCGGUUCGGUUUUGCACAGCCUGACUUGGGGGCUAAUGUAUACCGAAGCUUUCUAAAUUAUUAAGCCGGCCCUGGAUAUUAACUCCCAAAUACCUUGCAAGCAAAGAUUUUUGGCACUUGGGGGCUAAUGUAUAUCGCAAGUUAAAGGUAUUGUGUUACAUCCGGUUCAAUUAUUUUUUCUUUAAGCUGGGCAAGUAGCUCUAACAAUUUUCCUAAGUCUAUAGCAUAUUUAUUCAUAAGCAAUAGACUUGGGGGCUGGUACAGUAAGUGUGAUUGAAAGUAAGCUAGCAUAAGUCAUACCUCAGAUUUUUGCUGUAUCUGCUUCACCAUGUCAAUUUCCAGGUCACGGCUGCUUUGUACUUGAUUGAUAUAGCCGGAGACAAUCUCUCCAAUACUCAAAUGAGUAUAGUCAGUGACGUCCAGCUUGGCCUUCCGGCGUUCCACCAAUUCCUCUUUGGAACACUUGGCAAGUACAGACGGCUGUGCCGGCUCAACAAACUGAGUCUUGAGAAUUUCAACUUCCUGAUCAUUUGCCUUGGCGGGGCUAGGAGCCUCCGGGUUACCAGAAUUGUUGAAGGUUUGUUCAGUAGGCGGGUCAGAGGAAGAUAUAGGAACAUCAUGAGACGGUUGAGGCGGCGGCUCGUGAGCAGAGGCGUCAGGAGCAGCUGUGCCCAGCUCUGGUUCAGUCACAACCGGCUCUUGGGGCGGCUUAUUCUUUUUUGCCCUUUUGCUGGGCUUUACUUGCACACUGUGGAAAAGGUAGACAUGUUAAAUACAGCAAAUAUGAGUAAAAUAAAGCAUAAGGUACAACAAGUUUAUAUUACCCGGGAGCAGUUUUGAAGGCUGGCAUGUUGGACUGCAUAGACUCACCGGAGGAAGGUGAAAUAUCCUGAUAGUUGGAGUCAGAAUAAUUGAGAGGCUAACAAAUGAAACCCGCCAAAGGAAAAAUAAGGUGUAAAUCGGAGAUAACCUCAGUCUGGCAUUUCCUGGUCACAUCAGGUAAGCCGGAGGAGAGUUCCGCGUCUUUGCUGGUCCGGGUCUGCCUCCGGCUCUCAUAAAUCUGUUGCUUCAAAAGAAAGUCAGGAUCUUGGUAAGCCAAAGGAUGUGAAAAUCUUACUUUCUGGGUUACUCUUCGAAUUUUCUGACGCGGCUGAAGCUCGGAGUCGGAGGAGAUUACAAUUACCUCUUCCUCUACGGGUUGGCUGUUGCCCGUGUCUUCCUGAAACAAGGUUAGCAUCAGUAAGGUAGAAAUAAAGGAGAAAGGGAAAUUCAAAGGUUACCUCUUCCUCGUUAUCAUCAGUAUCAUCAAGCUGAAACAGCUCAGAGGCGCUUGGCUUCCUUUUCCUUGAGGUGGUGGGCUUGGUGGUUUUCUUUUCAGCUCUCUUGGCCGCCCUGGCUUUCUUGGCCGCCUCAUGAUCAUAUUGCGUGUUCCAGAAGCUAUCAUUUGCCUGUAAAAGGUUAUAACUGGUUAUGCGUAAGAAUACAGCCUAACAUGAUAAAACAUAACCCGAUGGCUGGAAACUUACUGCAGGGGCCGGGUUCUUCUGGCAAAAAGGUAGUAAGCCGAAGGCGUUAUUAUUCACUGUGCCCUCCUUCAACAAGGACUGAGUUGUAGCUUCCACUACGUCAUCUGGUAAGUCGUCGGGGUUAUGACGUUGAGGGUCAUCCUUCUCGCCUGAAUAAUUACACAUUAAGCCCGGGCGGCGGCUUAACGGAAUUAUUCUCCAAGCAAUCCAGACUCGGACCAAGUCAAUGCCAUCUAAGCCAUUCCCUAAAAGAGCUUUAAUCCUCUUGAUUUUGGGGGUGAGUGGCAAGCGUUCAAUAGCUGUCAACUUAUCCGGCAGCGGGUGAGUAGGUUCAAGGCGCAAUGCGCGGAAGCUGGGUAGUGGAUUUUUGCCAGCCGGAGAAGUAUCUUGGCAGUAGAACCAUGUCUGGUUCCAGUCCUUUGGAUGACUCGGCAAUUCAGCAUAAGGGAACAGGCAGUCUCUCCGCCUUUGAAUUGAUAUGCCACCAAGCUCCAGACUGGGCCCGUUGGCCCGUUCAUUCUGCCGGUUCAAAUAGAACAAUUCCCUGAACAGAAGUAGGCUGGGUUCUUCUCCAAGGUAGACCUCACAGAAAACUUGAAAGUUGCAGAUAUUUGACACGGAGUUGGGCCCGAUAUCUUGAGGUCUUAAGUCAAAGAAGUGCAAAACAUCUCUAAAGAAUUUUGAACCGGGAGGAGCAAAUCCCCGGCUCAUGUGAUCGGUAAAAAUGAUCACCUCCCCUUCCUUGGGUUGAGGUUUCUCUUCAGACGGGUCAGGAGCACGAUAAGACAUGACGUCCUUCUUGGGCAGAUGGCCGGACUUCACAAACUCUGACAGUUUGCUCUCUGUAACAAUGGAUGGGACCCAGUUGCAGGUAAUCGGAGGUUUAACAGCUUUGGGUGCCAUUGGGUAAAUUGAAGCCUACAACAAGAUAAAGGAAAUUUUCAGGUUUAUUAUAACCCGGAGAAUAAGCAUUAUUGGGUUGUCUGAGAUGGCGGCUUAAGUAGGGGCCUAAUGACAUACAGGUAGUUAUGUGAUAAUGUUUAAACAGCUGCAGGUAUUAAAGAUGAUUAAAAUUGUCUUAAGUCGCCAAAAGCAGGCAGUGCUGACAGCCAAUAUUAUCUUAAGCCGGUCACAUGAACUACUAUGGCUGAAACAGAGUCAACAGACGCAGUUUUUGGUUAAGUGUGGAACAAACAGGUUUCACAAGUUGCAAUCAUUUUUUUGGAUCAAACGAUGCUCUGGAAAGGAAAAAAAUUCUAGACCUAAAGCAGUACAGGGAAGUUCAUAUACUCGAGGAGGGCUUCCAAAAACAAGGAAAUGAGAUCUGUUUUUAUACAGAAUAAGAACAAAACAUCCUCCGCAGCAGUUCUAUGUUAUUUUUAUGAUCUGAGCAAGGGAUUAGAGGUGAGAGCUAAUGGAGGUUUGCAUCGGGCGGCGGUGAACAUCGAUGAACUAAAAAACAGUACCAAUGCAGAUCUGAGAGAGGGGAUAAAAAGAACUCAUAGAUGCGGACGAGCUGCGGAGGGUCGCUGUCGUUUUCUGGUCCGAAUCAGGGUGAUGCAGCGGCCUGAGUCGAUGAAGACGAGGGGUUCGACGGCGGCGGCGGCAGAGCUUGAGCAGCGAAGAAAGGAGGUGCAAGGAGGAAGACGACUGAAGAAGGAGAAUGGGAAAGGACCUAGGUCGCGCCUAUUUAUAAGGAAGGGCCGAUUAAGACGGCACAAGAAACAAGGAGAUUGAACAUUAUUAUCUAGCGGCCCUGAUGCCUCGGUUUUCGGGAUAGUCAGUAAAGGCAAGGAUACGUUGAGGAUAUGGCGGAAUAAAAUACGAAGUCAGUGGAAGAUGAUGUCACGGCGGGUUAUCCUGAAUCCAGAAGAUGACGUCACUGCGGGCUAUGACCUUUGCGCUGACAGAAGACAGGAAGAUGUAUGUUUAAGGUAUUUUUAAGAUUGACAUGAACCGGUCCAAAUCAAUCUGGGGCAUAAUGUUGGGGAUAUAACUAUUUGAGUAAACCGGCUGUGAGGGGCCGGGCUAUGUAAAGAAGAAUCAUCAUGAAAGAAGCCCAAGACCCAGCAUAAGGAUGGCGGUUCAUAGGGCUUAAGGCCCGUAGUCACAAACCGCCAUGAUGGCAUGACUUGUAACAUAAGGUAAAGGUAACUAGUCACCGAGCCGGACACUGUUUAUGAGCCGGCCGGGACUCUGUAGGCCGCAGGGCGUCAACCCGUGUAUAUAAGGGGAUGACCCGCCGGUGGCUUAAGGGCAAGAAACAACCAAUCGAGGACCGGGAAUAGCGUAUCUCGCUCCCUGGCCAUCGAAACCUCAAGCAAUACAAACCUAACUAGACGUAGGCCUUCCUUCACUGUAAGGGCCUGAACUAGUAUAAACCUCGCGUGUCCUUUGUCCCGAUUAACCCCUUUAAGCUUCCUAGUUGCGAUGGCUCCACGAUCAAGUCCUUGCAAGAGGACAUCUGCCGUGACAAUUCCAUGACACCAAGUACCCAUCACAAUCCCUAUCUCUCGCAUUACAUUAGUUGCCAUUUGCCUCUCGUUUUCCUGUCCCCCACUUCACCCUUGCCGUUUUAUUCGCCCUCUCUUUCCCAAUCUCCUUCUUCUCUUUCUCCGUUUGCCUUUUUUCUCGCUAGCCUUUUUGUUUACUCGUGUGCUAGUUUGUUUGCUUGUCGUCAUGGCUAGUCUCAUAUCUUCUCCGUUCUCUCCCGAGAAUGAAGUUCUAAAUUUUAAACAAAGGGAGGGAGAAAAUCUAAAAGAUGCUUGGUAUAGAAUUUGCAAUGCUCAAAAUAGAUCUACCAAGAAGCAAUCUACUUCAGUUCUUCUCCACAAUUUUUAUGUAGGUGUUAAUCCUUGGUAUAGAUAUAUCCUCGAUACCAUUACCUGAGGGAACUUCUUGGGUAGCCAUACUUAUGAUUCUUAUAAUGCUAUGUUAGAUUUAUUUGGCUCACCACCUCUUUUGGUUAAUGGAACCAUGUAAACUUUGGAGCAUGUUAUGCAAAGACUUGAAAUUAUUGAAAAUAAAGUUGCUACUAUUGAAUUAACUGAAAAUCUAGAUAAAAAGAUCCACAAUCAAAUUACUCAAUAUGGAUCUAAGGUAGGAAUGACUUUGAAAAAUAUUAAGGAAAAGGAACCCUUAGUUAAUGAGAAGAUAAACUUAGAUUCUACUAGAAUUGAUAAACUUGAGGGUAUCAUUACAAACUUGGGAACCACUUUUUCUUCCGUAAAGAAUACUCCAAGUCCUACUACUAAAAUUUCCAAGCUUAUGUAUGUUCCUAAAAAUAAGGGUGAAUCAUCUAGUAAGGAAACUGCGGAUCUUAAAUCUAUAAGUAUUCAUCCCAAUCUUUUUGCUAUCAUUAAGGAACCAAUUGCUACAAAUGAAUUUUUCGAUCUUGUGCCUAAAGGUUCGAUAAUCACUAGAAAGAAAGAAAUUCCUAAGGGAAAUAGAUGCCUCAUCGAAGAACUGCCUACCAAAGAUGGCAAUACCUAGAUCUAUCCUCGCUUUUAUGCCUAGCUAGGGGCGUUAAACGAUAGCGCUUGUUGGGAGGCAACCCAAUUUUAUUUUUAUUCCUUGCUUUUUGCUCCUUUUUAGUAAUAAAUUAUUUAGCCUCUGUUUUGGUUGUGUUUUUUGUGUUUAAGUAGUGUUUGUGCCAAGUAGAACCUUUGGGAAGACUUGGGGAAAGUCUUGUUGAACUUGCUGUAAAAAACAGAAACUUUAGAGCUCACGAGAACUGCUGUCAUUUUUAUUUAGAGAGUGCUAUUUAGUUAAUUCUUUUUGAAGAUGAUUAAUAGAUAAAUUCCUCACUUCCAGCGAUUUAUUUUAGAAUUUUUGGGGUUCCAGAUAUUGCUCUAGCUACAGAUUACUACAGACUGUUCUGUUUUUGACAGAUUCUAUUUUUCGUGUGUUGUUUGCUUAUUUUAAUGAAUCUAUGGUUAGUAAAAUAGUUUAUAAUCCAUAGAGAAGUUGGAAUACAGUAGUUUUAACACCAAUAUAAAUAAAUAAUGACUUCAUUACAGUGCCUUGAAGUGGUUUUUUGUUUUCUUUCGCUAACGGAGCUCACGAGUUUUCUACUUUAAGUUUUGUGUUGUGAAGUUUUCAAGUUUUGGGUGAAUUCUUGUGAUGGAUUAUGGAACAAGGAGUGGCAAGAGCCUAAGAUUGGGGAUGCCCAUGGCACCCCCAAGAUAAUCCAAGGACACCAAAAAGUCAAAGCUUGGGGAUGCCCCGGAAGGCAUCCCCUCUUUCGUCCACUUCCAUCGGUAAUUUACUUGGAGCUAUAUUUUUAUUCACCAACAUGAUAUGUGUUUUGCUUGGAGCGUCUUGUAUUAUUUGUGUCUUUGUGUUUUAGUGUGCCACAAUCAUCCUUGCUGUACACACCUUUUGAGAGAGCCAUACAUGAAUUAGAAUUUGAUAGAAUACUCUAUGUGCUUCACUUAUAUCUUUUGAGCUAUGUAGUUUUGCUCUAUGUGCUUCACUUAUAUCUUUUGAGCGCUAUAAUUUUGCUCUAUGUGCUUCACUUAGAUUUUUUUAGAGCACAGUGGUGGAUUUGUUUUAAAGAAGCUAUUGAUCUCUCAUGCUUCACUUAAAUUAUUUUGAGAGUCUUAAUAGCAUGGUAAUUUGCUUAAUAAUAACAUGCUUGGUAUUCAAGAUUUGUGAAACUUACUUUUGAGUGUGUUGAAUACUAAGAAAAGUUGGAUGCUUGAUAAUUGUUUUGAGAUAUGGAGGUAGUAAUAUCAAAGUCAUGCUAGUAGAGUAAUUGUGAAUUUGAGAAGUUCUCGAGUUAAAGUUUGCAAGUCCCGUAGCAUGCACGUAUGGUAAACGUUAUGCAACAAAUUUGAAACAUGAGGUGUUAUUUGAUUGUCCUCCUUAUGAGUGGCGGUCGGGGACGAGCGAUGGUCUUUUCCUACCAAUCUAUCCCCCUAGGAGCAUGCGCAUAAUACUUUGGUUUUUGAUGGCUUGUAGAUUUUUGCAAUAAGUAUAUGAGUUCUUUAUGACUAAUGUUGAGUCCAUGGAUUAUACGCACUCUCACCCUUCCAUCAUUGCUAGCCUCUAUGGUACCGUGCAUUGCCCUUUCUCACAUCGAGAGUUGGUGCAAACUUCGCCGGUGCAUCCAAACCCCGCGAUAUGAUACGCUCUUUCACACAUAAACCUCCUUAUAUCUUCCUCAAAACAACCACCAUACCUACCUAUUAUGGCAUUUCCAUAGCCAUUCCGAGAUAUAUUGUCAUGCAACUUUCCACCAUCCAGUUUAUCAUGACACAUUCAUCAUUGUCAUAUUGCUUAGCAUGAUCAUGUAGUUGACAUAGUAUUUGUGGCAAAGCCACCGUUCAUAAUUUUUUCAUACUUGUCACUCUUGAUUCAUUGCAUAUCCCAGUACACCGCCGGAGGCAUCCAUAUAGAGUCAUACUUUGUUCUAGUAUCGAGUUGUAAUCAUUGAGUUGUAAAUAAAUAGAAGUGUGAUGAUCAUCAUUCAAUAGAGCAUUGUCCCAAAAAAAGGCCAAAAAAAGAAGGCCCAAAAAAAUAAAAAAAUAAAAAUGGGCAAUGCUACUAUUCCUUUUUUCCACACUUGUGCUUCAAAGUAGCACCAUGUUCUUCAUAUACAGAGUCUCUUGAGUUAUCACUUUCAUAUACUAGUGGGAAUUUUCAUUAUAGAACUUGGCUUGUAUAUUCCAACAAUGGGCCUUCUCAAGUGCCCUAGGUCUUCGUGAGCAAGCAAGUUGGAUGCACACCCACUUAGUUUCUUUUGUUGAGAUUUCAUACAUUUAUAGCUCUAGUGCAUCCGUUGCAUGGCAAUCCCUACUCCUUGCAUUAACAUCAAUCGAUGUGCAUCUCCAUAGCCCAUUGAUUAGCCUCGUUCAUGUGAGAAUUUCUUCUUUUUGUCUUCUCCACAUAACCCCCAUCAUUAUAUUUUAUUCCACCCAUAGUGCUAUAUCCAUGGCUCACGCUCAUGUAUUGCGUGAAAGUUUAUGAGUUUGAAAUUAUUAAGAUAUGAAACAAUUGCUUGGCUUGUAUCGGGGUUGUGCAUGAUGAGAGCAUUCUUGUGUCAUGAAAAUGGAGCAUGACUAAACUAUAUGAUUUUGUAGGGAUGAACUUUCUUUGGCCAUGUUACUUUAAGAAAACAUAAUUGCUUUGUUGGUUUGCUUGAAGUAUUAUUAUUCUCUAUGUCAAUAUGAACUUUUGUCUUGAAUCUUCCUAAUCUUAAUAUUCAUACCACAAUUAAGAAGAUUUGCAUUGAAAUUAUGCCAAGUAGCACUCUGCAUCAAAAAUUCUCUUUUUAUCAUUUACCUACUCGAGGACGAGCAGGAAUUAAGCUUGGGGAUGCCUGAUACGUCUCCAACGUAUCUAUAAUUUUUGAUUGCUCCAUGCUAUAUUAUCUAAUGUUUUGGACUAUACUGGGCUUUAUUGUCCACUUUUAUAUUAUUUUUGGGACUAACCUAUUAACCGGAGGCCCAACCCAGAAUUGCUGUUUUUCUUGCCUAUUUCAGUAUUUCGGAGAAACAGAAUAUCAAACGGAGUCCAAACGGAAUAAAACCUUCGGGAAUGUGAUUUUCUCACCGAACGUGAUCCAUGAGACUUGGACCCUACUCCAAGGAGUCAAAGAGGCAGUCACGAGGGUGGGGGCGCGCCCACCCCUGCCUCGUGGGCCCCUCGGUGCUCCACCGACGUACUCCUUCCUCCUAUAUAUACCUACGUACCCCCAAACGAUCAGAACAGGAGCCAAAAACCUAAUUCCACAGCCGCAACUUUCUGUAUCCACGAGAUCCCAUCUUGGGGCCUGUUCCGGAGCUCCGCCGGAGAGGGCCAUCAUCAUGGAGGGCUUCUACAUCAUCAUAGCCCCUCCGAUGAACUGUGAGUAGUUUACCUCAGACCUUCGGGUCCAUAGUUAGUAGCUAGAUGGCUUCUUCUCUCUUUUUGGAUCUCAAUACAAAGUUCUCCCCCUCUCUCGUGAAGAUCUAUUCGAUGUAAUCUUCUUUUUGCGGUGUGUUUGUUGAGACCGAUGAAUUGUGGGUUUAUGAUCAAGUCUAUCUAUGAAUAAUAUUUGAAUCUUCUCUGAAUUCUUUUAUGUAUGAUUAGUUAUCCUUGCAAGUCUCUUCGAAUUAUCAGUUUGGUUUGGCCUACUAGAUUGGUUUUUCUUGCCAUGGGAGAAGUGCUUAGCUUUGGGUUCGAUCUUGCGGUGUCCUUUCCCAGUGACAGAAGGGGCAGCAAGGCAUGUAUUGUAUCGUUGCCAUCGAGGAUAACAAGAUGGGGUUUAUUUCAUAUUGCAUGAAUUUAUCUCUCUACAUCAUGUCAUCUUGCUUAAAGUGUUACUCUGUUUUUAACUUAAUACUCUAGAUGCAUGCUGGAUAGCGGUCGAUGAGUGGAGUAAUAGCAGUAGAUGCAGAAUUGUUUCGGUCUACUUGUCACGGACGUGAUGCCUAUAUACAUGAUCAUGCCUAGAUAUUCUCAUAACUAUGCUCAAUUUUGUCAAUUGCUCAACAGUAAUUUGUUCACCCACCGUAGAAUACUUAUGCUCUUGAGAGAAGCCACUAGUGAAACCUAUGGCCCCCGGGUCUAUUCUCAUCAUAUCAAUCUCCAUCACUUUAAUCUUGCUUUGCUUUUUUACUUUUCCUUUUACUUUUCACUUUGUAUCUCUAUACCAAAAAUACCAAAAAUAUUAUAUCUAUCAGAUCUCACUCUCGUAAGUGACUGUGAAGGGAUUGACAACCCCUAAUAGCGUUGGUUGCGAGUAGCUAUCGUUUUGUGCAGGUACGAGGGAGUUGAGCGUGGCCUCCUACUGGAUUGAUAUCUUGGUUCUCAAAAACUGAGGGAAAUACUUAUGCUACUCUGCUGCAUCAUCCUUUCCUCUUCGGGGAAAUCCAACGCAAGCUCAAGAGGUAGCAUGAGUUUAUGUGUUUUGAUGUACCGAAGUUUGUUUGGAGUCCUGGAUGUGAUUACGGGCAUGACGAGGAGUCUCAAAAUGGUCGAGACAUAAAGAUCGAUAUAUUGGAAGCCUAUCACUAGUAGAAAAAUGGCCAUUUGUCCCGGUUCAUAAGGUCCAUUUCUCCCGGUUAGGGAACCGGGACUAAAUGGUCGUUACUAAAGCCCUAAACCUUUAGUCCCGGUUCUUACACCAACCAUGAUAGAUGGGCCUCCACGUGGCCGUUGCGGCUUGCCCUGACAGGGGGGUCUUUUGUCCCAGUUGGUAGCACCAACUGGGACCAAUAAGCUACCACGCGUCAGCAUUUCAGGGGCUAGGGUUUUUUUUCUGAAAGGUGGGGGGGUUUGGGGGGUUUUGUAUGGUUAGUUUUGGGGGGUUUCAUAUAGAUAGCUAAUUAAUUAAUAGAGAGAAGUGUCAUCUCUUAUCUCCGUGCUUGGUCGACGCUAGCUAGUAAGCAAAUGAAGGAAACCAUUAAGUACAGAACUUCGUCAUGAACAUAUUUGUACAGAGAGAAGUGAUAUCGACCUCUCCUUCUCCGAGAGAUUGGUCGAACAACAAGUUUUCGUAUAUAUAUCCGGCGCUACUGGCUACAUAUAUACAAUAUUAAGAUCACUUACAAUAUAAUCCCCUAAUUAUAUAAGAACUUAGCUUCCAUAUGGUAUUCUCCAGCUUUAUUGAUGACGUGGUCAAGAGAGAAUCCUGCCAAUUCCUCUUGAAUUGCUUUGAUGCGAUCUUGUGGUAGGAGUUCAUCCCGCAUCUGCCACAUCUAAUUUGAAGAAGGGGUCAAUACACAUAUAUGAAUGAAACUUAACACAAAUGAUGGUAAUAAAAUGAAAUUGUGAACAUUAUUGCUUACGCACAUCAAAUUGUCUUGUAGAGUAGCCCCGGGUUUUUUUGCAAGUCGCGUUGUAGAUGAACUCGCAAACGUAGUAUCCACAGUAAUCAUUCCCUUGUUCCUGCCACAAGCACUUUACGAGAAAUAGAGGUCAAUCAAACUAAUAAUGGAGCAUUAUAAAUGGCAUUGAUGAAAGUAGCUAGAAUCAACGGGAUCGAGAUGCGUGGAAACAGCUAGCUAGUACUAUUUACUUUCGGUAUGUCCAUCGUAGCUCCCCCGGCAGUCCCGGAGCUUGUGUGGUGAAUACUUUCUAAACCCUACGAGACAAAGAAAACAAUUACUUGAUAUCAGGAAAUGAACAAAAAGUUGCCGAUAUGGUGCGAUAAUGAUCGAUUGAACUUACUUCUCGAGAAUUUUAGUCAUGUCCGCAUAGGUCUCGGAAGAUUUUCGUCUUGAGUCUAAGACGGUUACUAGUCCCUGCUCAAGCUUAAUCUCCAGGAGAAUAUAGUGGAAGCUACGCACGCAUGCAUAACUCAUCAAUUACAUUACUAUAACCUCGAGUAAUAAGGGAAACCGAAUAUGCACAAGACAGUAACACUCACUUGAAGUUGUAAGGAAAGAGUAUUUUAUCUUUGUUUUGAUUUUGAAGCAACGAUUUGAGCAAGUUGGCCUCGGUAUCUUUGGCUUGAAAUUUAACCGUAAACUCAUCUAUGAGAUUUGUGUUAAUGAACCCAAUAUCGUAGAUUUCUGCUUUUCUGCAUUCGACGGUCUUCAAUCUGCAUAAUAUAGUGAGGAUAAUCAUAUAUACAUGCAAUGAAAGAGCUGAGCUAUAUAUACACUCAAUGAUAGAAGUAGUACUUACAGACAGUAGCAAGUUACCGUUAAUUUAUCGAGGGCCUUUUGAUUGAACCACUGGAAGAACUCCUCAAAUGGAACAGUCAACAGUUCAAUUCCCACGAGGUCGUGCUCCUCUUUAACUCUCAGCGUCAAAGUAUCCUUCCCCCCCAGACUCUCUACAGGUUUUCAUGUACCAAUCAAGGAAUAUUUGCAUCAUUGUUGUUAGAAUAGUUCCAUCUCUGACGAGAGGCUUCCCGUACUGGUAUUUGUGUUCGUCCACCUCCAUUAUAUCAAAACUUGCGACGAUAUCGUCGGGCAGGUAAUCUCCAAGAUUGGUAUAACCGGGCACCAUCCUCGGAUCAUUAGCGAUGAUAUCGCUAGACACCUUGAGUGGGGGGCACGAUUGGUUCGCUUGUUCGUCAAGAUGGGCAAAAUUUUUCGCAGCUCAUCGUUCUGCUAACCUUCGAUCACUGAUAGUACUUCCCGACCGCUCCGCUUCGAUAAAUGACUUUCCAAUAAUGCGCUCAUAGUUGGUUUUUGGCAGAGACGGUGGUGGUUUCUUCAGGGCAUCGAGUGUGCGCUUUGCUUUCACCGGAUCUACCUUCUCCUCUGGAGGUGGAUGUUUCUUUGCUUUCACCGCUUCAAAGAAGUCCCUCACUUCGGCUUCCACGAUCUUCUUGUUUUCCUCCACAGACCUCUCGUAUGGAAACUUCUCUAGAGGCUUUAGAGAUGGACCGAAUCUUAAUUGCCUCCCACCUCUGGUUGUACUGCUAGAUGCCGGCCGAGCAGACGGAGCGACUGUGGCUGUCUUCUUUGCUUGCUUACAAGGCGGAGGAGAACGAGUACGACGCGCCGGAGCAGCCGGAGCGGCGGCGUGUCUCUUCCGCCCUUGUUGGCGAGGCGAAGAAGGAGGAGGCUGGCUACUCGGGCGCGCCGGCGUAGGCGGAUAAGGAGGUGGAGUGCCGCCACGCGCCGGAGAAGGAGGCAGAGUGCCCUGAUCACUCGCCGGAGGAGGAGGAGGAGGAGGCGGAGAAGGAAGCGGAGUGCCCUGACUCGCCGGAGGAGGAGGAGGAGGCGGAAUGCCCUGACUCGCCAGAGGAGGAGGAGGAGGAGGAGGAGGAGGAGGCGGAGGCGUCCAGUUCGGAAGGUUGAUGAGCUCCUUCCGCCAUAGGCAUGGAGUCUUCAGAGCUGAACCCAGCCGAGUCUCUCCUUCACCGGUAGGGUGGCCAAGCUCGAGGUCCUCAAAUCCCUACGUAUUUCAUCCACCAUCACCCUAGCAUAUCCUUCUGGAAUUGGACGGCAGUGAAAAGUUGCAUCGGGUUCAGGAGGUCGAACAGAGCAGACAACCGCCUUGACUUUGAAGUUCUGCCAUUGCGUCAUAAGGUGGCAAUUCUGAGACUCCGUGAUAGCAUCCACGGGGUAGCUAGCAGGAGCCGUGAAGACAGGCUCCAUCAGAAGCAACUCGGUGGAAGCCACGCUGCUUCUCCGCUGAGAUAGUGGGGUAGCUUCGGCAGGUUGCUUGCUACGAACUGCUUCUUGUUCCUCUAUUGCUUGUACCCUUGCGUGCAGUGCCUGCCAUUGGGUCUGCUCCACUUUCUUCCUCCUCUCCUGGCAUUUGUAACCGCCUGCGUCCGGAAACCCAGCCUUCCAUGGAACGGAGCCUGGCGUGCCUCGUGCCCGUCCAGGGUGCUCAGGAUUCCCGAGGGCCAUUGUGAGCUCGUCAUUCUCUCUGUCUGGAACGAACAUCCCGUCCUGCGCUGCGGCGAUAUAGAACUUAAGCUUCGUGACGGGUAUUCGCAUUUGCUCUUUUAUCCAAACGCACUUCCCUGUUACAGGGUCCAAGCUUCCACCAACCCCGAAGAACCAAAUCUGGCAAUGGUCUGGCCAGUGCAAUGUCUCUGGUUCUACCCCUUUAUCAAGAAGGUCAUUCUCAGCCUUGGCCCACAACGGCCGGGCUUUGAGGUAGCCACCUGACCCCGUGCGAUGGUGAUGCUCCUUCUUCGCAGCAUUUAUCUUGUUUCUCGCUGACAUAUGCUUACUCUUCUCCAAUGUCUUGUGGGCCACAAAUUCGUCCCAGUGAUCUCUGAUCUUCUCAUACCGGCCGGUGAAUUCUAGUGUCUCUUCUUUGUCCACAAACGUUGUUUUCCGCUCAUUCUUCCACCUCCUAAAUAGUUCUGCCAUCUUCUUAAGAGUAUGAGACUUGAUCAAUUGCUCUUUAACUAGCUUCUCCAAAUCCUCCUCUGGCGGUAGGGCGAAAUUUGCCUUCAGCGUGGUCCAAAGAUCGUCUUUCUGCAUAUCAUUGACAUAAGAGACCUCAUGGGUUCAAUCGGUUCCUUUGUCCCUAACAAGAACCCCACACUGAGUAGCAAAUGCUUCCUUUGUCCGGAUGGGUUCAAUCGGGAUCUUGUCCCUAACAAGAACCCCGCACUGAGCAGCAAAUGCUUCCUUUGUUCGGAUGGGUUCAAUCGGUUGGCCAUCGCGCGUGAUUGUUGUGAUCAUGAACCUUUCAUCCGGGCACAACUUUUUCUUUGGGCCUCGUUUCUUUACCGAAAUUGUGCUCGAUCCGGAGGGCUAGAAAAAAGAAGAAAGAUGAGAGUUAAUAUGUGUACAUACCAAAACAAUGAAUGCAUCAAUUAGCUAGGCAGCACAUGCUUAAUUAAUAUAUAUAUAUAUAUAUAUAUACCUGGCUGGACUCUGUUCGGUCACCGGAGCCGUCAUCACGGUCUCCUUCUUGCACCAGCAUUCAGUCACCGAAGCCAUCAUAAUAAUGUAUUUCCUCCUCCAUUGUUCGAUCACUGUAGCCUGCUUCUUCACCCUGUCCUUCGAGACCAUCAUUAUUGUUAAGAUACGACAUGACAUCACCUCCGACUAAGAUUAUGUCCCCCAACACCUGUUCUGCUACCUCGUCUCGUCCGUGCUCCAUUGUUUCUGCAAAUAUUACAACAUGGCAAUUAUUAUACAAACAUGGCAGCAGGUGGAUAUAUUAGUGGCAAACGUAGACCUAGCUACCUAAUCACAACAAGGAAUCAUAUUAGUGGCCUCGACGCUUCUCUAGGGUUUGGGGUGGGCUCGGCAAUGUUUCUAGGGUUUGGAUCAACUUGUGCACAUCCAUAAUGGGGGCAUUCUUGAUAAAUCUGGACCCUCGACCCCUGGACGACCCUCGACCCCCUCGUGUCACAUUUGUCUAGUGUCAAAGGAUUCAACAAAACCAUGUCUUCAUCAUUAGGCGGAAGUAACAUGCGCAUGAUGGUACGAAGUUCUGCAAAGUUGUUCUGGAACGGAGUCCCGGAUAGGAUAAUUCGCUUUUCCGUACAAAGUUCAGCAAGAGCCUUCUGAAUAUCGCUAUUUGGAAGGCCUUUGCUGAAAUUCGUACAAAAAGGCAAAUUAUUCUAUCCGGAACUCCGUUCCAAAACAACUUUGCACAACUUCGUAUCAUCAUGCCCCGGUUACUUCCGGCUAAUGAUGAAGCCAUGGAUUUCUUCAAUACUUUGACACUAGGAAACCUCUCAACCCCUCGGCGACCCUCGAACCCUCGGUGACCCUCGAACCUCUACCCUAGUUCCCGACCCUCGCUCCUCGAACCAUCGGCGACCCCCCACCCUCAUGUCGAAGUUAUCGAGGAGGGAUAUCGACNNNNNNNNNNNNNNNNNNNNNNNNNNNNNNNNNNNNNNNNNNNNNNNNNNNNNNNNNNNNNNNNNNNNNNNNNNNNNNNNNNNNNNNNNNNNNNNNNNNNNNNNNNNNNNNNNNNNNNNNNNNNNNNNNNNNNNNNNNNNNNNNNNNNNNNNNNNNNNNNNNNNNNNNNNNNNNNNNNNNNNNNNNNNNNNNNNNNNNNNNNNNNNNNNNNNNNNNNNNNNNNNNNNNNNNNNNNNNNNNNNNNNNNNNNNNNNNNNNNNNNNNNNNNNNNNNNNNNNNNNNNNNNNNNNNNNNNNNNNNNNNNNNNNNNNNNNNNNNNNNNNNNNNNNNNNNNNNNNNNNNNNNNNNNNNNNNNNNNNNNNNNNNNNNNNNNNNNNNNNNNNNNNNNNNNNNNNNNNNNNNNNNNNNNNNNNNNNNNNNNNNNNNNNNNNNNNNNNNNNNNNNNNNNNNNNNNNNNNNNNNNNNNNNNNNNNNNNNNNNNNNNNNNNNNNNNNNNNNNNNNNNNNNNNNNNNNNNNNNNNNNNNNNNNNNNNNNNNNNNNNNNNNNNNNNNNNNNNNNNNNNNNNNNNNNNNNNNNNNNNNNNNNNNNNNNNNNNNNNNNNNNNNNNNNNNNNNNNNNNNNNNNNNNNNNNNNNNNNNNNNNNNNNNNNNNNNNNNNNNNNNNNNNNNNNNNNNNNNNNNNNNNNNNNNNNNNNNNNNNNNNNNNNNNNNNNNNNNNNNNNNNNNNNNNNNNNNNNNNNNNNNNNNNNNNNNNNNNNNNNNNNNNNNNNNNNNNNNNNNNNNNNNNNNNNNNNNNNNNNNNNNNNNNNNNNNNNNNNNNNNNNNNNNNNNNNNNNNNNNNNNNNNNNNNNNNNNNNNNNNNNNNNNNNNNNNNNNNNNNNNNNNNNNNNNNNNNNNNNNAAGGGCGGGAAACAGAGACCUUUGGUCCCGGUUGGUGCCACGAACCGGGAACAAAGGGGUGUAUUCGUCCCGGUUGGUGCGACGAACCGGGACCAAAGGGGGGUAUUCGUACCGGUUCGUCCCACCAACCGGGACCAAAGGGUGGCAUAGCGGUGGUAUGGUGGGACUUUAGUCCCACCUCACUAGCUAAGAGAGCUCAGCACCUUUUUAUAAGUCGCGUUGUGGCUCAGGUGCUAAGCUCCUCUCUAAUAUGCAGGCAGUACUUGCCUACCCUUAUCACUGCCAUGUUGGGCCCAUUGGGCCUGCAUCCUGGCCCAUGUACAGAUGAGUUUCUAGUCGUAUGCAGGCCGUGUGGCCUAGUAGGCGAUAAUUUUUCUUUUUUUUCUAGUAUUUUUUUGUUUUUUGAAUUAUUUAUUUUAUUUUGAUUUUUGCUUUAUUUUUUAUUCUUUUUGCUUUUAGGUCAGAAUAAUUAUAAACUUUCUGUUAGUGCCAUUAGUUUCCAAAUUUGAAUAGUUUAAAUUUGAAUUCUUUGAAAUUUGUGUGAAUCACUAGUUUGUGAAUAACUUCACUAUAAAAAUAUAUUUUGAGUGAUUCUUUUUCCUGCUAUUUAAUAUUACUGCGUUUUAUCAUUAUAUUAAAAAACAGAUUUUGUUAUUUUAGUUUCUAUCAAAAAAAAUUCUUUAUGAAAAUUAUUUUUGCUACUAAAGUUUCUAAAAAAAAUUCUUUAUGAUAAUUCUUUUUGCUUUUCAUGUUUUGAUAAUUCUCUCAUUCUUUUAGUUGCAUAAAUUUUAUAUAAUUUUAGUUUAAAAAAUACUAGAGGUUUAUAAAAGCUUUUUAGUUGAUUCCUUUUGCUAUUAGAGUUUUAUAAAAACUUUUUAGUUGAUUGUUUUUGCUACUGAAGAAUAUUAUAGUUUUGUUUUAGUUGAUCAUAACAUAAUAUUUUAAUUGAUUAUUUUAAGUUCAUUAUUUUUGCUAUUAGUUCAUUCUUUUUGCACUAAAUGACCCUGAAAUUGAAAAGCACUACAAAUGAACUCUGAGAAGGUUGAAAGUUGGCAUGGUAUCAUCAUUUCACCCACAUAGCAUGUGCUAAAAAGUUGAGAGGGUUACGGCAAAAACUGGAUGCACUUCGUGUACAAAAUGGACAAUCUCUUUUCAAGUAUCAGGGUUUCGGACGAAAACUCAUCUGUUACAAAGGGAUUUCAUUGUUUUGAACUUAUUUCAACUCCAGACUUUUUGUGUGUUCAAAAUGCACCAUUCAAAGCCACAUGGAUAGAUAAGUGACCAAAUUAAUAGAAGUUCAUCAUCACAUUAUGUGUGUCAAAAACCAUUACAGAUUCACAUGGAUAGAUAAGUGACCAAAUUAAUAGAAGUUCAUCAUCACAUUAAAAACAAAGUACAUACGUAGUUCUUAUUGAACAACAUAUAAAUCUCCGGAGCAUCUAGUUAAACCAUAUAUUGAAACUAUGUAAAACCUUUCAAUGCAACAACAAAUGCAAUCAUAAUCACAAUCAAGGUAAAAAUUGAUCAAUGACAUAAUGAUACCAAACCUCGGUAUGAAUGGCAUAUUUUCUAAUUUAUCUAAUCUUCAACCGCAUUGCAUCCAUCUUGAUCUUGUGAUCAUCGACGACAUCCGCAACAUGCAACUCAAAUAUCAUCUCCUCCUCCUCAAUUUUUUAAUUUUUUCCUUCAAGUAAUUGUUUUCUUCUUCAACUAAAUUUAACCUCUCGACAAUAGGGUCGGUUGGAAUUUCCGGUUCAACUACCUCCUACAUAAAUAAAAUUUGUGUCACAUUGGUCGGCAUAAUUGUCAUAAACAAUAAAUGAACCAAAUAGUUAUAAAAAUAUAAUAUAUACCACAUCUGAAUCAUAGACAGGACGAGGGCCGAUGGGGGUGGAUACCAAAAUCAUCGCACUAUAUAAUAACAAGCAACAAUAAAGUAAGAAAAUUGGACAAGUAUCUAUCUAAAGUAAGAAUUAUUUUCUUUCAGAAAGAAGAUAAGAACAAGAGGCUCACCACGGUGGUGCCGGCGACGAGAUCGGCGCGGGCGAUCGACGGCGGUGAAGACGGGGACGGGACGGGACGGACCGCUAAACCUAUGCAAAUCUCGGGGAAAAUGGAGCUUGGAGGUCGAGCUUCGAGAGGAGAAAGCUUAACUAGUGUCGCUCGGGAAUUUCAUGAAACAUCUCAUGUGCAUCAGAGGUGAGCUAGAGCACCCAAAUGCCCUCUCCUCGUCGGCCAGAAAAAACAAAGCACUAUGGAGUGCUCUGCUGCGGCGAUGGGGUAUAUAUAGGCAACUCAUUUGUCCCGGUUUGUGGCUGGAACCAAGUCUAAAGCUCCUCCUUCUGUCCCGGUUCGCGCCACGAACCGGGACCAAUAUAUGUGGGCUAGGAGCGAGGCCCAUUGGUCCCGGUUCAUGCCAAGAACCGGGACAAAUGUGUCUAGACAAACCGGGACCAAUGCCCACGAGGCCCCGACCGGCCCCCUGGGCUCACGAACCGGGACAUUUUCCCCCCAUAGGUCCCGGUUCGUAGCUGAACUAGGACUAAUGGGCUGGCCAGGCCCGAACCAAAGCCCUAUUUUCUACUAGUGUAUGUUUGGACAUCAGAAUGGUUCCGGGUGAGUUCGGGAAUAUACCAGAGUACCGGGAGGUUACCGGAACCCCCCGGGAAGUAUAUGGGCCUUAUUGGGCCAUAGUAGGAGAGAGGAGAAGGGAGCCUAGGAGGGGGCUCCCCCCAAGCCCAAUCCGAAUUAGGUGGGGGCCGCCCCCCCCCCUUUCCUUUCCCCCUCUCUCCCCCUUCCUCCCUCUCCUAAUCCAACUAGGGAAGGGGGGGGGAAUCCUACUCCCGGUGGGAGUAGGACUCCCUUGGGUGUGCCAUAGAGGGCCUGCCCCUUCCCCUCCUCCACUCCUUUAUAUAUGGGGGAGGGGGGCACCCCAUAGACACACAAGUUGACAAUUGUCUUAGCCGUGUGCGGUUCCCCCCUCCACCAUAAUCCACCUCGGUCAUAUCGUUGCAAUGCUUAGGCGAAGCCCUGUUCCGGUAGCUUCAUCAUCACCGUCAUCACACCGUCGUGCCGACGAAACUCUCCCUCGACACUCAGCUGGAUCUAGAGUUCGCGGGACGUCUCUGAGCUAAACGUGUGCAAAUCUCGGAGGUGUCAUACCUUCGGUGCUAGGAUCGGUCGGAUUGUGAAGACGUUCGACUACAUCAACCGCGUUUUCAUAACGCUUCCGCUUACGGUCUACGAGGGUACAUGGACAACACUCUUCCCUUCUCAUUGCUAUGCAUCACCAUGAUAGAUCUUGCGUGUGCGUAGGAAUUUUUUGAAAUUACCGGGUUCCCCAACACCGUUUCCGGUGAUCCUUAUAUCAAUUUUGACCGAAAUCACCUCAUCUUUCCAGUGGCAUACUUGGUUUGCCAAGUUGAUGCCUUGAUCAUCUUUUCCCUUCUGGUGUACUGAUAAUCCCCAAGUGCAGGGAAUCAUCGUAGCAAUUCCCAAAGGUGGAAGUGAUAAGUAUGUAGUGUCGAACCCACAAGGAGCUAAAGGUAAGAUCAAUAUUCUCUCAAGCCCUAUCUGCCAUUGAUACGAGUCUACGUACACCGAACGUUUGCUUCCAACUAGAAACGAGAAAUACAACUACGUCGUGGGUAUGAAGAGGAUAACUUUGCAUGAUAUUGGAGAGCUAAAAUAUAAAAGUAGGUGUUGUUAUCAUAAAGUUAGAAUAUAUUACUAAAUAUUAUAAAUAGCGAGUGUGGAAUAAUGAUGGGUCGGUGUGCGGAAUUAUCCUAGGCAAUUGUUAACAAGAUCGGUGGUCGUCAUUGCAAUUUCAUAUGAGGGAGAGGCAUAAGCUAACAUACUUUCUCUUCUUGGAUCAUAUGCACUUAUGAUUGGAACUCUAGCAAGCAUCCACAACUACUAAAGAUCAUUAAGGUAAAACCCAACCAUAGCAUUAAAGCAUCAAGUCCCCUUUAUCCCAUAUGCAACAACCCCCUUACUCGGGUUUAUGCUUCUGUCACUCAAGCAACCCACUAUAAGCGAAUCAUGAAUGUAUUGCAACACCCUACAGCGGAAUCCCUCACGCUUGCGCGACACGGAGGGCACAAUAGGACAACACCAAAAUAAAACAUACAACUCAUACCAAUCUAGAUCAUCAAUCAACCCAAAGACAAAUGAUAUCUACUCAAAACAUCAUAGGAUGGCAACACAUCAUUGGAUCAUAAUAUGUGGCAUAAAGCACCAUGUGCAAGUAGGGAUUACAGCGGGGGGCGGGAGAGUGGACCGCGUAAAAGAGAUGAGGAUGGUGAUGUUGAUGAAGACGAUCACCGCAGCGAUGAUUCCCCUCCCGAUGGCACUCCGAUGCCAUCGAGAGAGAGGAGGAAAGGUUCUCCCCCUUGUGCUUCCUCCUCCAUGGCCUCCCCCUGGAUGGGGAGAGGUUCUCCCUCUGGAUCUGGGCCUUCAUGGCGAUGAUGUCCCCUCCGAGAUCCUCCUCCAUAGCCUCCGGUGAUGAUGGCCCCCUCCGGCGGGGUGCCAGAGAGGGUCUAGAUUGAUUUCUCAUGGCUACAGAGGCUUGCGGCAAACUUCCGAUCUAGGUUAUUUUCUGGGGGUUUCUGUAUUUAUAGGAAUUUUUGGCGUCGGUUUCACGGCAGGGGGUCUCCGAGUCCUCCACGAGAUAGGGGACCACGCCCAGGGUGGGGCGCGCCCCCAUCCUCGUGGAUAGCUUAGGACUCUUCUGGCCCAACUCUUUUACUCCGGGGGCUUCUUUUGGUCCAUAUAAAAUCACCAAAAAUCGGCACGCCAAUUCGACUCUGUUUGGUAUUCCUUUUCUACAAUACUCAAUAAUAAGGGGAAAACAGAAACUGGCACUAGCCUCUAGGUUAAUAGAUUAGUCCCAAAAAAUCAUAUAAAAUAGCAUAUAAAUGCAUAUAAAACAUCUAAGAUGGAUAAUAUAAUAGCAUGAAUACUUCAUAAAUUAUAAAUAUGUUGGAGACGUAUCAACAUCCCCAAGCUUAAUUCCUGCUCGUCCUCGAGUAGGUAAAUGAUAAAAGAAAUAAUUUAUGAAGUGUGAAUGCUAGCAAGUGCAUAAGUUUCAUCAAUGAUAGUUCCAAUCACUUUUUCUAGCAUCAUUAUAUAUCAUAAUAGUAUCUCAACUCAUGAAACUUCUCAUGAUCAAGUAACAAGCUAUUCACAUGUUAAAGUAUAGAUCAUAAACUUUCUUGAAAACUAAUAAACCAUGCUCUUAGUCAUCAAACAAUUGCAAUUCAUCUUAUUUUCGGGAAGGGUCUAUGUAAGAGCUUUGAUUCGGCAAACUCCACAUACUCAACUAUCAUUUAAUCUUUCACAAUUGCUAACACUCAUGUGAUAUUUAUGGGUUCAAAGUUUUAAUCGGACACAGAGAAAGAUAGGGGCUUAUAGUUUCGCCUCCCAACCUUUUACCUCAAGGGUAAUGUCAACAAUAAUAAUUUAUGAGAACCUACAUCCAAGUGGAUAUAUAUAUCCGGAUCGAUCCAACACAAAGUGCUUACCAAAGGAAAAAGUGUAAAAAGGAAAGGUGAUGACCACCAUGACUCUUGUACAAGGGUAGAAGAUAAAAGUAAAAGAUAGGCCCUUCGCAGAGGGAAGCAGAGGUUGUCAUGCGCUUUUAUAGUUGGAUGCACAAAAUCUUAAUGCAAAAUAACGUCACUUUAUAUUGCCACUUGUGAUAUGGACCUUUAUUAUGCAGUCCGUCGCUUUUAUUUCUUCCACAUCGCAAGAUCGUAUAAAGCUUAUUUUCUCCACAUUAAUAGAUCAUACAUAUUUAGAGAGCAAUUUUUAUUGCUUGCAACAAUGACAACUUACUUGAAGGAUCUUACUCAAUCCAUAGGUAGAUAUGGUGGACUCUCAUGGCAAAACUGGGUUUAAGGAUAUUCGGAAGCACAAGUAGUAUCUCUACUUGGUGCAAAGAAUUUGGCUAGCAUGAGGGGGAAAUGCAAGCUCAACAUGUUGGAUGAUCCAAGACAAUAUAACGUUUCGAAUAUAGGAAAACAUAACCCAUUAAGUUGUCUUCCUUGUCCAACAUCAACUUUUUAGCAUGUCAUAUUUUAAUGAGUGCUCACAAUUUCAAAAGAUGUCCAAGAUAGUAUAUUUAUAUGUGAAAUCUCUCUUCCUUCAAUAUUCUUUCAUGAAUUGUUCAAGUGACCAAUUCUGCGUUUGCUAACUUCCAAUAAGUUUACUACCUAUACUUAUUAUGUGUGAAGUCAUUACUCCCCAUGUUGUAAGCAUAUGAAACAUAUAUAAAUUCAGAUUUAUAAUAUUCAAUUCAUUCAACCAUUUACUCAUAGGAUAUAUGUGAAGCACGUGAGUAAAUGACAAACUACUCCAAAAAGAUAUAAGUGAAGAACACUGAGUAGUCAAAUAAUUAACUAGCCAUGGAAGUAUUCUUUUUCAUUCAAGAUUUAAGAUCCAAUGAUUUUAUUCAAACAGCAAGUAAAAUUUAAAUUACGCUCCAAGCAAAACACAUAUCAUGUGAUGAAUAAAAAUAUAGCUCUGAGUAAGGUAUACCGAUAGUUUUGAAGACGAAAGAGGGGAUGCCUUCCGGGGCAUCCCAAGCUUAGGCGCUUGGGUCUUCCUUGAAUAUUAACUUGGGGUGACUUGGGCAUCCCCAAGCUUAGGGUCUUUCCACUCCUUAUUCUUCUCAUAUCGAUAUCUCACCCAAAGCUUGAAAACUUCAAUCACAUAAAACUUAACGGAACUUCGUGAGAUAGGUUAGUAUGAUAAAGAGUAAACCAUUCACUUUGAUACUGUCAAAGACAAGGUUCAUAAUUGUUCUCACACAAUUCCUACUGUACCAAAUCAUUUCUACAAUUUAUAUUGAGAAAUAUAAGCCAUAGAAACUAGAAAUAAGCAGACUAUGCAAUGAAAACAGUAUCUGUUAGAAACAGAAAAAUAUGUAAUGAUAUGAACACCAACCAUACUUAUGCUACUCCAAAAAUUCUGAAAUAAAUUGGUGGAUGUGAGGAAUCUGUCUAUUAAUCUUCUGAAAAAAUAAUCAACUCAAUUGCACUCUUCUGUACAAAAUUACAGCUAAUCUCGUGAGCGCAAAGUUUCUGUUUUUUACAGCAAGAUCACAUUAACUUUCACCCAAGUCUUCCCAAAGGUCUUACUUGGCACUUUAUUGAAACAAAAGCUAUAAUACAUGAUUACUACAGUAGCUUAAUCAUGAGAACACAUAAAGACAAUAAGGGUAAAUAUUGGGUUGUCUCCCAACAAGCGCAUUUCUUUAAUGCCUUUUAGCUAGGCAUGAUGAUUUCAAUGAUGCUCACAUAAAAGAAAGAAUUGAAACAUAAAGAAAGCAUCAUGAAGAAUAUGGCUAGCACAUUUGAACCUAACCCACUUCCUAUGCCUAGGGAUUUUAUGAGCACACAAUUUACGGGAACAAGAAUCAACUAGCAUAGGAAGGCAAAACAAGUAUAACUUCAAAACUUUAAGCACAUAGAGAGGAAACUUGAUAUUAUUGCAACUCCUACAAGCAUUUAUUACUCCCUCAUAAUAAUUUUUAGUAGCAUCAUGAAUGAGUUCAACAAUAUAGCCAGCACAUAAAACAUUCUGUUCAUGAUCUACAAGCAUACAAAUUUUACUAGUCUUCACAUAAGCAAAAAAAUUCUCAUUCGGAAUAGUGGGAGAAAACUUCUUCUAAAUACACUUUAGAUGAUAGUAUUAAUCAUACUCCAAAAGAUAUAAGUGAAGUUCAUGGAGCAUUCUACAAUUAAUAUAUACUAACCAAUAUCCAUGCUCAAAAUAUAUAAGUGAAGCACACAAAGCAUUCUAUAAAACCAUACUCAAAAGAUUUAAGUGAAGCACAAAGAGCAAUUAUAUAAGAUCAUAAUUAAAAGAUAUAAGUGAAGCACAUGAAGUAUUCUAUAAAUCAAUGAAGGGCUAUCUCAUACUAGCAUGUUUCUUAAAGGAAAAAAACACAAAGGACACAAAUUAUGUGAACAAAACAAAAACCGAGGUAUACCGAUAAUUGUUGAAGAAGAAAGAUGGGAUGCCAACCGGGGCAUCCCCAAGCUUAGAUGCUUGAGUAUCCUUGAAAUUUUUACUUGGGGUUCCUUGGGCAUCCCCAAGCUUGAGCUCUUGAUUCUCUUUAUUCUUCUCAUAUUGAUAGCUCCUCGAUCUUCGAACACUUCAUCCUCACAAAACUUUAACAAAAACUUUGUGAGAUUCGUUAGUGUAAUAAAGAAAAUAACUACCUUUAGGUACUGUUGAAAACUUAUUCCAAUUUCAUAUUAGAACUAUAUCUACUAUAUUACAACUUAACCAUGGUUCAUACCCCCCGAUACUACCCAUAGAUUCAUCAAAAUAAGCGAUCAACUCAUAGAAAAUAGAAUCUGUGAACAACAGGACAGUCUGUAGUAAUCUAGAGGUUUAGUAAACUUCUGUAACUCCAAAAAAUCUAAAAAAUAUGAAAAUUUAAAAAUUUUGUGCAGGAGUAAUGUGCAAAAAGUUUCAGACCCAUUUGACUUUCCAGUAAAAAAUGUAAAAUCACUCGCUACAGCCAAAGUUUCUGUUUUUGUACUGCACAAAGUAAACAAGCAAUCUAAUCAUCCUAAAACCAAGGCUUGGCACAUUAUUUUUUAUAAUACAAUGGAUAUAUACAAGGCAAUAAUUAUUUAUAGAUAAGCUUCCAUGAAUUUUUUUACAUUGUUUCCAUGAGCAUGAACACAAGUGUUCAAGGUCGACCCUCAUUUCUCACAUGCAUAACCUUCCAAUCACUUCUCUUAUUGAAAAACUUUUUAGGUAUGAGAGGCAAGUAAUUUUUUUGUAUUUUAAUUCUUUUAAUUUUUUUUGUAUGUUUCACCCACAACUAAAUAGAAACAAAAAGGAAAAAACAAAAUCUACUUAGUGAAGAAAGCAAACAAGCACACACGAGAAUAUCAACCCCACGCUAUUGCUCCCCGGCAACGGCGCCAAAAAAGAGCUUGAUAAUCCCCAAGUGCUGGGAAUCAUCGUAGCAAUUACCAAAGGUGGAAGUGAUAAGUAUGGAGUGUCGAACCCACAAGGAGCUAAAGGUAAGAUCAAUAUUCUAUCAAGCCCUAUCUGCCACUGAUACGACUCUACGUACACCGAACGUUUGCUUCCAACUAGAAACGAGAAAUAAAACUACGUUGUGGGUAUGAAGAGGAUAACUUUGCAUGAUAUCAGAGAGAUAAAAUAUAAAAGUAGGUGUUGUUAUCAUAAAGUUAGACUAUAUUACUAAAUAUUAUAAAUAGCGAGUGCGGAAUAAUGACGGGUCGGUGUGUGGAAUUAUCCUAGGCAAUUGUUAACAAGACCGGUGGUCGUCAUUGCAAUUUCAUAUGAGGGAGAGGCAUAAGAUAACAUACUUUCUCUUCUUGGAUCAUAUGCACUUAUGAUUAGAACACUAGGAAGCAUCCGCAACUACUAAAGAUCAUUAAGGUAAAACCCAACCAUAGCAUUAAAGCAUCAAGUCUCCUUUAUCCCAUACGCAACAACCCCUUACUAGGGUUUAUGCUUCUGUCACUCAAGCAACCCACUAUAAGUGAAUCAUGAACGUAUUGCAACACCCUACAUCGGGAAUCCCUCACGCUUGCGCGACAUGGAGGGCACAAUAGGACAGCACCAAAAUAAAACAUACAACUCAUACCAAUCUAGAUCAUCAAUCAACCCAAAGACAAAAGGAUAUCUACUCAAAACAUCAUAGGAUGACAACACAUCAUUGGAUCAUAAUAUGAGGCAUAAAGCACCACGUUCAAGUAGGGAUUACAGUGGGGUGCGGGAGAGUGGACCGCAUAAAAAAGAUGAGGAUGGUGAUGAUGAUGGUGAUGUUGAUGAAGACGAUCACCGUGGCGAUGAUUCCCCUCCCGAUGGCACUCCGACACCACCGAGAGAGAGGAGGAGAGAUUCUCCCCCUUGUGCUUCCUCCUCCAUUGCCUCCCCCCUGGAUGGGGAGAGGUUCUCCCUCUUGAUCUUGCAUGAUGGCCCCUCUGGGAUCCUCCUCCAUAGCCUCCGGUGAUGAUGGACCCCUCCGGCAGGGUGCCAGAGAGGGCCUAGAUUGAUUUCUUGUGGCUACAAAGGCUUGCGGCGGCGGAACUUCUGAUCUAGGUUAUUUUCUGGGGCUUUCUAUAUUUAUAGGAAUUUUUGGCGUCGUUUUCACGUAAGGGGGGGUCUCCAAGUCAUCCACGAGAUAGGGGCCCACGCCCAGGAGGGUGGGGCACGCCCCCACCCUCGUGGAUGGCUCAGGACUCUUUUGGCCCAACUCUUUUACUCCGGGCGCUUAUUUUGGUCCAUAAAAAAUCACCAAAAAUUGGCACGUCAAUUGGACUCCGUUUGGUAUUCCUUUUCUGUAAUACUUAAUAAGAAGGGGAAAACAGAAACUGGCACUGGGCUCUAGGUUAAUAGGUUAGUCCCAAAAAAUCAUAUAAAAUAGCAUAUAAAUGCAUAUAAAACAUCUAAGAUGGAUAAUAUAAUAGCAUGAAUACUUCAUAAAUUAUAGAUACGUUGGAGACGUAUCAUGUACCCAUAUGCAUUGCACAUCAUACCUUGCAUAUUAGCAUGUCUUGCAUCAUGUUGCUUGUGCAUUGCACUGUGCUUGAUUGUUGUUCCGUUGCUUCUGUUCUUGCUUUGGGUAGAGCCGGGAGACGAGUACAUGAAUGAACCUGUUGAGUACGCUAACAAGGAUCAAGCUUUCGACAACUCUGAGAACAUUGCAGGCAAGAUGACCAUACCCUCGAUAUCACUUAUAUCUUUGCUUGCUAGUUGUUCGUUCUAUUGUUAUGUCACGCUACCUACCACUUGUUCUNNNNNNNNNNNNNNNNNNNNNNNNNNNNNNNNNNNNNNNNNNNNNNNNNNNNNNNNNNNNNNNNNNNNNNNNNNNNNNNNNNNNNNNNNNNNNNNNNNNNNNNNNNNNNNNNNNNNNNNNNNNNNNNNNNNNNNNNNNNNNNNNNNNNNNNNNNNNNNNNNNNNNNNNNNNNNNNNNNNNNNNNNNNNNNNNNNNNNNNNNNNNNNNNNNNNNNNNNNNNNNNNNNNNNNNNNNNNNNNNNNNNNNNNNNNNNNNNNNNNNNNNNNNNNNNNNNNNNNNNNNNNNNNNNNNNNNNNCCUCCUAGCAAACCGUUGUUUGGCUAAGUUAUCGCUUUUGCUCAGCCCCUCUUAUAGUGUUGUUAGUUGUAGGUGAAGUUGAAGUUUGUUCCUUGUUGGAACAUGGAUAUGUUGGGAUAUCAUAAUAUCUCUUAUUUAAUCAAUGCAUCUAUAUACUUGGUAAAGGGUGGAAGGCUCGGCCUUAUGUCUGGUGUUUUGUUCCACUCUUGUCGCCCUAGUUUCUGUCAUACCGGUGUUAUGUUCCUUGAUUUUGUGUUCCUUACGCGGUUGGGGUUAUGGGACCCCCUUGACAAUUUGCUUUGAAUAAAACUCCUCUAGCAAGGCCCAACCUUGGUUUUACAUUGCCAACCUAAGUCUUUUCCCUUGGGUUCUGCAGACCCGAGGGUCAUCUUUAUUUUAACCCCUGGACCAGUGCUCCUCUGAGUGUUGGUCCGAACCGAGCAACCUGCGGGGCCACCUCGAGGAAACUUGAGGGUUGGUUUUACUCGUAGCUUGACCUAUCCGGUGUGCCCUGAGAACGAGAUAUGUGCAGCUCCUAUCGGGAUUUGUUGGCAUAGUCGGGUGGCUUUGUUGGUCUUGUUUUACCAUUGUCGAAAUGUCUUGUAACCGGGAUUCCGAGACUGAUCGGGUCUUUCCGGGAGAAGGAAUAUCCUUCGUUGAUCGUGAGAGCUUGUGAUGGGCUAAGUUGGGACACCCCUGCAGGGUAUAAACUUUCGAGAGCCAUGCCCGCGGUUAUGUGGCAGAUGGGAAUUUGUUAAUAUCUGGUUGUAGAGAACUUGACACUUGACUUAAUUAAAAUGAAUCAACCGCGUGUGUAGGUGUGAUGGUCUCUUUUUGGCGGAGUCCGGAAAGUGAACACGGUCUUGGGUUAUGUUUGAACAUAAGUAGCUUCAGGAUCACUUCUUGGUCACUUCUAGCUUCACGACCGUUGCGUAGUUUCUCAUCUUACUCUUAUUUGAGUAUGUUAGCCACCAUAUUUGCUUAGCGCUUGCUGCAGCUCCACCUCAUUACCUUAUCCUACCCAUGAGCUUAAAUAGUCUUGACUUCGCGGGUGUGAGAUUGUUGAGUCCUCGUGACUCAUGGAUACUUCCAAAACAGUUGCAGGUACCGAUGAUAGCAGUGCGGGUGAUGCUACCGAACUCAAGUGGGAGUUCGACGAGGACCUUGGUCGUUACUAUGUGUCGUUUCCUGAUGAUCAGUAGUGGAGCCCAGUUGAGACGGUCGGGGAUCUAGCAUUUGGGGUUUAUCUUCCUUUUCAUUUGGAUUUGACCAUAGUCGGUCUAUGAUUGUUUUUGGAUGAUGUAUGAAAUUAUUUAUGUAUUGUGUGACGUGGCGAGUGUAAGCCAACUCUAUUUAUCCCUGUCUUGUUCAUUACAUGGGAUGUUUGUGGAGAUGACCGUUCUUGUGACAAAACCACUACGCGGUUAUGCCUCUAAGUCGUGCCUCGACACGUGGGAGCUAUAGCCGCAUCGUGGGCGUUACAAGUCGGUAAUCAGAGCCAUCCCCGACUUAGGAGCCCCCUGCUUGAUCGAAUCACUGACGUUGUUGAGUCUAGAACUGAGUCUUAGGAUUAUAUAUAACGGAGAGUAGGAUUCUUUUUACUCCUCAGUCCCUUCGUCGCUCUGGUGAGGCCUCCCGAUGCAGACGUUUUGACUUUCCUCUCCUCAAAUUUCAAGAAUUUUUUUUAGGAUCACACAGGUAACUUGGAAUCGUUCCGAUAUUCUUGUGACGACAACAUUGUUCUUGGUGCUUCCUGACAUUUAGGGGUUGUGGCAGUGUCCCGGGGAGUUGAGCUCCGAGGUGUUGUCGUCACAAUUUUAUCGUUGCAGUUCUGGAAUACCUGAGUUCGCCGACAUCAAAAAUCUCUUUUAUGAAGUUGUUGGUGAGAUAACCUCGACGCCACCCAGUACUGGGGCGGGAGUUUGGGAGUAUUGCCAUAACUCGUAUAACAGAUGCUUUUCAAAGGUUGAGGUACAUGAUUUUCGAAGGUUUCUUGGUUAUGUGUUGACGGAUGGAUGCAGUUGGAGCGUAGGGCUUGUUAGUUGUGUGAUAUAUAUUGUGCCUCCCUAUAUCCCCAACACCAGAUUGCAUAACCAGAAAGUUUUGGGAGUUUAUAGGUGGGAAUUCAAGUAGCUCUAGUAUUUCUUCCCACAGAUAUUUGGUUUGUGAUUGAGUAAUCCUUACCACUUAUUUGUUUCUAAUCGUACCUUGUUGUUUCAUUCAUCAACCUUUGUCUAAGUGGCUUCUCAACUUAAUGGACGUGUGAUGUUAACUUUGGAAUUCAUUCGUUCAAUCCGGUUCAAAUGUUUAUUGUGAAGACUAUAUGUUGCAAUUUCUAUCCAUUGAUACAGCUUGAAUAUCUGUCUAUCAAGAUUCUAAUGGAUGUCACCCUCUUCAGGAUGGAUCCUCCAACGCGUCUGAAUCCGGAACUCAAUGAGGGGAGUCAGACGAACCCCCCACCUCCACCUCCGCCUCCGGAGGCAUGGCAAGCUGUCAUGGCAGCCACCAACGCCAAUGCACAGAUGCUUUUGCAACUCUUGCAAGAGCGCAACCAAGGCUAAGGCAACCAAGGGAAUCAAGGCCAAGGGAGUUUCAACAAUCAGCCUCAGUUUCCUACCCUCAACCAGUUCCUUGCAAAUCAGCCGAAGUCUUUCAGCUACUGUGCCGAGGCCACGGACGCUAAUGAUUGGCUCGUGGACAUCAACAAGCAUUUUGCAUGUAGCAAUGUUAGGCCUGAGGACUUUAUCAAGUUUGCUUCUUUUCAGCUCAAGGACCAAGUUGCUGAUUGGUAUCAACAAUACAAAGAUUCCAGGGGAGGUCGUGCGAUUACCUGGGAUGAUUUCUGCCAAGACUUCAAAGCUCAUCAUAUUCCAACAAGUGUUGUUGAGAGCAAGCGUGAGGAGUUCCGCAAUCUCAAGCAAGGCAUCAUGUCCGUGUACCAAUACAACAUCCAGUUUCAGAAACUUGCCCGCUUUGCAAGGCAGGAUGUUCCUAAUGAAAAGAGCAUGAUCUAUCACUUCAGGGGUGGCCUCAAAGAAGAUCUGCAGUUAGCUCUCGUGCUUCUUGAGCCUACUAAGUUUGAUCAAUUCUAUAACAUGGCCCUCAAGCAAGAAGGUGCUCAGCUCAAGUGUGAGGCUUCUAAGAAGAGAAUCAGGGACACAGUUCAGUCUUCUUCUUCCUCACAAGUGGCAGCUAAGCAACAGAAGUCCUGGCUUCCUCCUCCUCCAUUUCGUCAGCCCUACCAGCAGAAGAACAAAGGUGGUCAUGGAUCCUCCCACCCACCCAACUUAGGCUAUCAGAACAAGUCACAGACUCAAGCUCCAAGGUCAAGUGCUCCUCCUUCUUAUCAUCGUCCACUCUCAGAGGUGACUUGCAACAAGUGUCAACAGAAAGGUCACUAUGCGAACAAGUGCUUCAACCAAAAGCGCCUUCCACCUCCUCCUCUUGUGAGAUCUCCUAGCAGUGCAAUGGUCAAGCAUAAUCCCAAGAAUGCUAAGGUGAACAUGAUGAAUGCAGCUCAAGUAGAGGAUUCUUCUCAAGUGAUCGUGGGUAAUCUUCCAGUUAAUGAUAUUCCUGCAAAAGUCUUAUUUGAUUCUAGUGCAUCACAUUGUUUCAUGUCAAGACCAUUUCUUGACAAGCAUGAAUUCACUUCUUUACAUUUGGGUAAACCCAUGGUUGUCAUUUCUCCGAGUAAACGUUUGAGCUCUAGUUUGGUGGUUCCAGAUGUUUCCAUCAAGAUGGGCAACUAUAAGUUUCUGUCUAAACCAAUUGUUCUUGGUGACUCAGAUAUUGAUAUAAUUCUCGGCAUGGACUGGCUUUCUAAGCACAAGGCUCAACUUGAUUGUGCUGCCAGGGAGAUUCAAUUGAUACACUCUUUUGACGAUGUGAUCAUCUAUGCCGCUCGGGAUGAAACCAUUCGACUGUUUUCUCUCAAUGAGAAGGGCGAAUUGGAUGCAAUUUCUCAAAUUCCAAUCGUUUGUGAAUACCAAGACGUCUUUCCAGAAGAGCUUCCGGGAAUGCCUCCUCACCGGCCAGUUGAAUUCGUUAUCAAUCUUGAGCCUGGUACGGAACCCGUUUGCAAGCGUCCUUACAAGCUUGGACCUAAGGAGUUGAAGAAAUUGAAGAAACAGCUCGAUGAACAAGAGCAUUUGGGUUUGAUCAGACCGAGUUCAUCUCCGUGGGGUUGUGGUGUUCUUUUUGUCCGGAAGAAGGAUGGCACGGACCGACUUUGUGUCGACUACCAUCCAUUGAACAAGAAGACAAUUAAGAACAAGUAUCCACUUCCCAACAUCAAUGAGCUUUUCGAGCAACUUAAAGGUGCUAAAGUAUUCUCAAAGCUUGACCUCCGUAUGGGUUAUCAUCAGAUUCACAUUCGUGAACAAGAUAUUCCCAAGACAACAUUCAUAACAAGUUUUGGUUAUUAUGAAUAUACUGUCAUGUCUUUUGGCCUUGUCAAUGCUCCUCCAACAUUCUCUCGCAUGAUGAACUUCAUCUUCAACCCGUACACAAAUGAAUUCGUCCUGGUGUAUCUCAAUGAUGUCUUGGUCUUCUUCAAGAAUAAGAAGGAUCAUGCCAAACAUUUGAGAUUGGUGCUCGACAAGCUCAGAGAGUAUCAAUUAUAUGCGAAGUUUUUAAAAUGUGAGUUUUGGAUUGAUGAAGUUCUUUGCCUUGGUCAUAUCAUCUCAGCCAAGGGCAUUACUGUUAAUCCGGAGAAGUUUCUGCAAUUGUGAACUAGGAGCCUCCUUAGAAUGUCAAGCAGCUCCGCAGUUUUCUUGGACUUGCAAGCUAUUGCCGAAGAUUCAUUGAGAAUUUCUCAAAGAUUGCAAAGCCUCUUUCCAACCUCCUCCAGAAGCAUGUCAAGUAUGUCUGGACUCCUGAGUGUGAUGUCGCCUUCAACACCCUCAAAGAGAAGCUAGUCUCAGCUCCUAUCUUGACUCCACCUGACGAAUCCAAGCCAUUCGAAGUUUUCUGUGAUGCCUCUUUGCAAGGUCUCGGUGUUGUGUUAAUGCAAGAGAAGAAAGUUGUGGCUUAUACCUCUCGCCAGUUGAAGCCCAACGAAAAGUACUACCCCACUCACGAUCUUGAUUUGGCGGCAGUUGUCCAUGCAUUAAUAACAUGGAGACAUCUCUUGUUGGGAAGGCAAGCGGACAUUUUUCACAUAUCACAAGAGCCUCAAGUAUAUCUUCACUCAACCCAACCUCAACCUCAGGCAAACUCGUUGGGUCGAAAUGAUUCAAGAGUACAAUCCAAGUAUUGAAUAUACUCCAGACAAGGCCAAUGUGAUUGCAGAUGCUUUGAGUAGAAAGGCUUAUUGCAACAGUUUAAUUCUCAAGCCAUUCCAACCAGAUCUUUGUGAAGCUUUCCGCAAACUCAACCUCCAAGUUGUUCCUCAAGGUUUUCUUGCCAACCUUCAAGUCACUCCAACUUUGGAAGACCAAAUUCAUUAGGCACAACUCCUUGAUACCAUGGUGAUGAAGGUGAAACGCGGUAUUGCCAAGGGCCAACUCAAAUACAAGUGCUAUCGCAUUGAUGACAAAGACACUUUAUUCUUUGAGGACCGGAUUGUGGUUCCUAAAGGUGAUCUAAUAAAGGUCAUAAUGAACGAAGCGCACAAUUCUCUUCUAUCCAUUCAUCCUGGCAGUUCGAAGAUGUACCAUGACCUCAAGCAGUCGUAUUGGUGGACUUGAAUGAAGCGAGAGAUUGCUUAAUUUGUGAAUGAAUGUGAUGUCUGUCGAAGGGUGAAAGCAGAACACCAACGACUAGCUGGUCUCCUCCAACGUCUUGCUAUUCUAGAAUGGAAGUUUGAUCAUAUCGAAAUGGACUUUGUCACUGGAUUUCCCAAGUCUAAGCGUGGGAAUGAUGAUAUUUUCGUUGUCAUUGACAAGCUUACAAAAGUGGCUCAUUUCCUUCCAAUCAAAGAAUCUAUCAUAGCAGCUCAGUUGGCAGUGCUAUACACCUCCAGAAUUGUCUCCUUGCACGGUAUUCCGCAAUUGAUAUCUUCAGACCAUGGAAGCAUUUUCACCUCCAAGUUCUGGGACUCCUUCCAGAAGGCCAUGGGCACCAACAUUCGCUUUAGCACAGCUUUCCAUCCUCCAACAAGUGGGAAAGUCAAGCGAGUCAAUCAAAUCCUCGAAGACAUGCUCAGGGCUUGUGUCAUCUCUUUCGGUAUGAAGUGGGAAUAUUGUCUUCCAUAUGCCAAAUUCUCCUACAACAACAGCUUCCAAGCGAGUUCGGGCAAGGCCCCAUUCAAAAAUCUUUAUGACAGAAAGUGUCGUACUCCUCUCAAUUGGUCAGAGACUGGUGAACGCCAACUUCUUGGCAACGACUUGAUCACAGAAGCUGAAGAAAUGUGGAAAGUCAUCCGUGAAAAUCUCAAAGCCGCGCAAUCGCGCCAAAAGAGUUACUAUGAUAGCAAGCACCGUGACUCGGUUUUUGAGAUCGGAGACCAUGUCUACCUUCGCGUCUCUCCAAUGAAAGGUACUCGACGCUUCGGUACCAAAGGGAAGCUUGCCCCAAGAUACGUGGGUUCUAUCAAGAUCAUUGGCAAAAGAGGCGACCUCACCUAUCAACUUGAACUUCCGUCUAACUUCGCAAACGUGCACGAUGUGUUUAACGUGUCACAACUUUGCAAGUGCUUCAAGACUCCCGAGCGCUCUAUCAGCUUCGAAGAGAUUGAUCUCCAAGAAGAUUUGUCUUAUCAUGAGCAUCCUGUUGCUAUUCUUGAAGAAACCGAGCGCAAAACUCGCAACAAGUCAAUCAAAUUCCUGAAAGUGAAGUGGUCACACCAUUCCAACUGAGAAGCCACCUGGGAACGCGAGGAUCACCUCCGUUCCGAAUAUCCAGAGUUCUUUCAAUCCUAGAUCUCGGGACGAGAUCCUCUUGUAGUGGUGGAGUGUUGUAACACCCCGGAUGUAACUUUCCAUAUUUGUAACUCUGACUCUUGCCAUUCUCCGCUAUGUGAUAUGAUAUUCCCUUCGUGGUUGGGUUUUUCUCUCGUUUUGCAUUUUGUUCAUGUCAUGCAUUCCAUCUCAUAUCAUCAUGUGCAUCUCAUUUGCAUUCGUAUUCAUCUCAUGCAUCCGGUCAUUUUCCCCGUUGUCCGUUUCGCACUCCGACGCUCUCUCGUGCACCCGUUGCACCCCUCUAAUCUUGUUUUAUGAGCGGGAGAAACACGUUCCCGGAAUGGGUCGAGAUUUGAAGAGUGGCUUUGGUACACCACCGGUAGGCCGCCUGUCAAAUUUCGUUCCAUUUGGAGGUUGUUUGAUGCCCCAACGGUUAACCGGGUAACCGUAAAAGCCUCUCUCUUGUUGCAGCCCAACACCCCUCCAAAACAACCCACUAGCCCAUCUAAACCCCAUCCAUGCUCUCCGUCGUUGGAUCACGACCGUGUGGGCGAAAACCGCACCUCAUUUGGACUCUCCUAACUCCCUCUACCUAUAUAUAUGCAUCUCCCCACGAAAUCCCGGGUCCAAACCCUAGCAAAUCGCCUCACUCCGCCGCCGGACACGUCCGGAUCCCACCGAACGAGUCGCCGCCGCCGCCCGCAGCCAGUGGCGUGCUACCACAUGGCACUCGCUCGCCCACCGCCGNNNNNNNNNNNNNNNNNNNNNNNNNNNNNNNNNNNNNNNNNNNNNNNNNNNNNNNNNNNNNNNNNNNNNNNNNNNNNNNNNNNNNNNNNNNNNNNNNNNNNNNNNNNNNNNNNNNNNNNNNNNNNNNNNNNNNNNNNNNNNNNNNNNNNNNNNNNNNNNNNNNNNNNNNNNNNNNNNNNNNNNNNNNNNNNNNNNNNNNNNNNNNNNNNNNNNNNNNNNNNNNNNNNNNNNNNNNNNNNNNNNNNNNNNNNNNNNNNNNNNNNNNNNNNNNNNNNNNNNNNNNNNNNNNNNNNNNNNNNNNNNNNNNNNCGCGGGAGGCCCUCCGGCCCGAGCCGCCCCGCGCUCUGCCGCCUCGCCCGGCCUGCGCCGCUUCGCCGCGCGCCGCUCGCCGCACGCGCUGCUGCCGCCGCCCCGUGCCCGCAGCUUGCCAGAAUCUGCCGCCGUUGCCUGGCGCCGCCCUAACCGGAGACCUCGUCGGCGCCUUCUCCGACGAGCUUCCCCGCCUCCGGCCACCGUCUCCUUCCACUCCGGCCACUUGUCUGGUGAAGAUCCCGGCGAACCUCGUCAUCCACGCAAACCCUAGAUCCGGAUCUCGGAGGGUAUAUUUCUCUAAGUCCCGGAGAUCCCUAACAUUUUUAUGCCUCCUUCAUCAUGUUGUAUCUCCAUGACCGUAGCUCCGAAUCAUGCAUAUGAUAUACCGAAAUGUUCGUCUCGUGAAGAUCUUCAUGUUAGUGUCAUUCGCAUGCAUGUUACUGUCCAUAUUGAUGCCAUUAUCAUCAUUGUAAGAGUGCUAUAAAAUGUUGUCUGCUGGAUCUUAGCAGAACUUGAUGAUUUGUCAUUUUUGUUGCAUUUUGUGUGUGCAUCCUAUGAGCAUGAUGUAUACAUGUUUUAUGAUCUCCAUAAUUCCAUAUUUAAAGGGGUGCAAGUCUUGUAUUUUUGAGAUCUAUGUGGUGACUAGCACAAGCAUGCAAAGUAGGCUUCAUAAUGUUGCUGAUUUCAGACAGUGAUUUUUCCAAGUCAUUUUCCUGCUACAUUUUGAUGCCAUGUAAACUUGUUGCUACCAUGGGAUCCAUGCACAUUUUGAGAUAGUUCAGUAAGCAUGUUUUCUAGAUGUAAUAUUGAUAUAUCCAUUCAUGCCUCAGGUUGCAAUUAUGGAGUAAUCUAGCAUGUCAUUUUCUUGCUCUACUUUUGCUAAAUAUUAUUCCUGGCAGAUUGUUAACAUGAUAAUCCAUAUUGCCAUGUGUUUUGCUAGUGAUGCAUGUACCCUAUGAACUUGCUCUUGCCAUGUUUAGCUACUUGAAUAUGUCUACUUACUGUUGGUUACCUUGCUAUGCCAUGAAAUGGUUUGUAGUGAGUGGCAUGAGCUUGCAAAUUGGCUAUCAUGAAUCUGUUUCUGCCAUUCUUGUUUUUCUUUUAAGUCUAAAAUUGUUAAUAUAACUUGCCAUGUUUGCAUGGGUGCCACAUCAUUUUCCAUGCCUCUUUGGUUAAAAUUCAGUAAGGGAGUUUUGUUGUAUGUGUUUAGCACUAGCAUGCCAUGCCUUUGUUUGCCAUGAUAUGUUCCUGUAGCAUGUUGUUUGCUAGCUCUAAACAUUGCUAUAUAUUGUUGUUUUGUCAUGCUUAGUAUUUUCUCUAAGUCCGUGAAGCUGAUAUCUUUUGCAUUUUUGCCAUGCUAUUUUGAGCUUGUUCUAGUGAGAACUAGUAGGAGCUCAGUGUUCCUGAUUUGUAGAGCUUCAUGUGUACUUUAUUCUCAUAUGCUUUCUUGCUAUGUUGGAGUGCUGUAGCAUAGUUUCUUGUUGCAUCCUAAGUGCUAUCAUGUUGUUAAUCGCAGAUUUGCAUCAUUCUUGUUUUGCUUGUCAUCUGCAAAUCGUGCAUCCGUUUCCGGUCAUCCUUAUAUCGAUUUCGACGGAAAUCAUCUCAUCUUUCCAGUGGCAUACUUGGUUUGCCAAGUUGAUGCCUUGAUCAUCUUUUCCCUUUCGGUGUACACAUAUGCAUUGCACAUCAUACCUUGCAUAUUACCAUGUCUUACAUCAUGUUGCUUGUGCAUUGCACCGUGAUUGAUUGUUGUUCCGUUGCUUGUGUUCUUGCUUUGGGUAGAGACGAGAGACGAGUACGUGUACGAGGAACCUGUUGAGUACGCUAACGAGGAUCAAGCUUUCGAGAACUCUGAGAACAUUGCAAGUAAGAUGACCAUACCCUCGAUAUCACUUCUAUCUUUGCUUGCUAGUUGUUCAUUCUAUCGCUAUGUCGCCCUACCUACCACUUGUUCUAUCAUGCCUCCCAUAUUACCAUGUCAAGCCUCUAACCCCCCUUCCUAGCAAACUAUUGUUUGGCUAAGUUACUGCUUUUGCUCGACCCCUUUUAUAGCGUUGUUAGUUGUAGGUGAAGUUGAAGUUUGUUCCAUGUUGGAACAUGGAUAUGUUGGGAUAUCAUAAUAUCUCUUAUUUAAUUAAUGCAUCUAUAUACUUGGUAAAGGGCGGAAGACUCGGCCUUAUGCCUGGUGUUUUGUUCCAUUCUUGCCGCCCUAGUUUCCGUCAUACCGGUGUUAUGUUUCUUGAUAUUGCGUUCCUUACGCGGUUGGGGUUAUGGGACCCCCUUGAUAGUUCGCUUUGAAUAAAACUUAUCCAGCAAGGCCCAACCUUGGAUUUACAUCGCCAACCUAAGCCUUUUCCCUUGGGUUCUGUAGACCCGAGGGUCAUCUUUAUUUUAACCCCACGGGCCAAUGCUCCUCUGAGUGUUGGUCCGAACUGGGCAACCUGUGGGGCCACCUCGGGGAAACUUGAGGGUUUGUUUUACUCAUAGCUUGACCUAUCUGGUGUGCCCUGAGAACAAGAUAUGUGCAGCUCCUAUCGGGAUUUGUCGGCACAGUUGGUCGGCUUUGCUGGUUUUGUUUUAACAUUGUUGAAAUGUCUUGUAACCGGGAUUCCGAGACUGAUCGGGUCUUUCCGGGAGAAGGAAUAUCAUUCGUUGAUCGUGAGAGUUUGUGACGGGCUAAGUUGGGACACCCCUGCACGCUAUAAACUUUUGAGAGCCAUGCCCGCGGUUAUGUGGUAGAUGGAAAUUUGUUAAUAUCCGGUUGUAGAGAACUUGACACUUGACUUAAUUAAAAUAAAUUAACCGCGUGUGUGGCUGUGAUGGUCUCUUUUCGGCGGAGUCCGGGAAGUGAACACAAUCUUAGGUUAUGUUUGAACGUAAGAAGCUUCAGGAUCACUUCUUGGUCACUUCUAACUUCACGACCGUUGUGUAGCUUCUCAUCUUACUCUUAUUUGCGUAUGUUAGCCACCAUAUUUGCUUAGCGCUUACUGCAGCUCCACCUCAUUACCUUAUUCUACCCAUGAGCUAAAACAGUUGCAGGUGUCGAUGAUACCAAUGCAGGUGAUGCUACUGAACUCAAGUGGGAGUUCGACGAGGACCUUGGUCGUUACUAUGUGUCAUUUCCUGAUGAUCAGUAGUGGAGCCCAGUUGGAACGAUCGGGGAUCUAGCAUUUGGGGUUUAUCUUCCUUUUCAUUUGGAUUUGACCGUAGUUGGUCUAUGAGUGCUUUUGAAUGAUGUAUGAAAUUAUUUAUGUAUUGUGUGACGUGGUGAAUGUAAGCCAACUCUAUUUAUCCCUGUCUUGUUCAUUACAUGGGAUGUUCAUGGAGAUGACCCUUCUUACGACAAAACCACUAUGCGGUUAUGCCUCGUGCCUCAACACGUGGGAGCUAUAGCCGCAUCAUGGGCAUUACACAACAGGUGAUCAAAGUGUGUACAUCGAGAAAGCAUAUCAACCAAGCACUAAUGGAAGCAUACACAAAAAUAAAGUCCUGACACGCCGAAAAAAUUGAUAUAUCGGAUUAUACAAAUGCACCUAUUUGUUCGCUAGUAUAUAUUCUCUACAACCUCUACUCAAGGAUGAGAUAUUUAUUUCAAAUAGGGUCUAAUCUGUAUCCGCCCACAUAUGUUGCCAAUAUUUUUGAUCAUUGGUUGGACAGUAUUCCUUAUAGGUUCAAAAUGCUAAUAAAGGUGAGAGUGUACGCCUUAUUAUGGUCGGUUUGGCUAUGUAGAAAUGAUCUAGUUUUCAAUAACAAAAACUCUUUACCUUUACAGGUUAUUUUCUGUUGUACGCAAUCACUUCAUACGUGGUCUAUACUUCAUCAUACGGAGUUCCAACCGCUAUUCAAGGUGGUGUGUACGGAAUUAGAGCGAGUGGCCAUGAAGGGUUUUCUCCAGCAUAACCUCCGUAUCAGCCCAUCACCUCCUUCGACAUAGUCAUAGUGGCGGUGCUAUUUGACUCUACUGGUGCUGAUAUGUAUUGUUCGUGUUUGACAAUGUGUAUCCUAACUAUGCAGAGGCCAAAUGUUACUCAUCAUGAUUUGUAUCCUCUUCAUACCACGUUAUGAGUUAAUAAAAACGUCCUUUAUCGAAAAAGUUCCAAAUUCUCAAUGUCCCUGAGAGUAUGCUCUAUUGUGUGGCACUGGUUCACUGAGAUCAGAGUAUUCUGUAAAUUACCUGUUUCCACCGUGCUUGAGUUCAUGUGUGCUUAUUGUUGGUUCAUGUGUGCUUAUUGUUGGUACUAGAUGACUCGUUGCGCCAAUGGCGCAAAGGCCGAGAGAGAGCCAAGUAGUGUGAGAAUAUUUAGACACCCAAGUCGAAAACCAAAUGUGGCCAACAUUCCCGCAUCCUCUGCUUGGAAGCCGCCUUUUCUCACUGGAUGUAACAUAGAUACAUAAUUCUUCAAGAGCAAAUUUCAGAGAAUAUAAAGCAUGGAAGGCUUUAAGUUGUACUAUUGAGACCAUACCACCAUAUCUUCAUUUAGUUUCUUUGGAAAUCUGAAGGUCUAAGAGGACGGUACAUGUGAGAAGCUAUGAAUCUACAACAAAAAACUAAACUAACUUCCAAACAAACAUUUCAAGUUUGGAAGCCACAAAGAAGCAGCCAAGAUCUCUCGUUGUAGUGCAGAUUCAAGAAAAUGGGCCGAAUGACCAUCACAACGACAUGUAGAAGCAGCAAAAAUAUAGGCUUGGUGUGUAACUGAUCAUGAAAGAUAGCCUGGUCAGUUUCUCCAUUGUUGGCUUAUACUGAGCAAGAAGAUCAGCCUGCAGAGAAGGAAAAUGAAGGACUGCUUUAUUCUGCGGUACAUCCACAAUAGUACAGAC
rnacentral:lncRNA from 1 species